GUCGCCGACCUCACGCAGGAGCUCGGCGCGUACGACGUGGUCUUCCUCGCCGCGCUCGUCGGCAUGGCGGCCGAGGAGAAGGCCAAGGUGAUAGCCCACCUGGGCGCGCACAUGGUGGAGGGGGCGUCCCUGGUCGUGCGGAGCGCGCACGGCGCGCGCGGCUUCCUGUACCCCAUCGUCGACCCGGAGGACAUCAGGCGGGGCGGGUUCGAGGUGCUGGCCGUGCACCACCCCGAAGGUGAGGUGAUCAACUCUGUCAUCGUCGCCCGUAAGGCCGUCGACGCGCAGCUCAGUGGGCCGCAGAACGGGGACGCGCACGCACGGGGCGCGGUGCCGCUGGUGAGCCCGCCAUGCAGCUUCUCCACCAAGAUGGAGGCGGGCGCGCUUGAGAAGAGCGAGGAGUUGGCCACCAAAGAGCUGGCCUUUUGAUUCCAAAAUGUGCGUGCUGAAUCAUCUGUCCUCAACUCCGUCAUUCUGUCGCCUGCGAUCGUGGUAAAUUCCCUACUCGUGUGUGUUUUGAUGUUUGUGCCUACGAGAGAUAUGCGUUCUGCCUUCUGGAGUUGUGGUGUUAAUUUCCUACUCGUAAGUACUACUUGUAUUUGUACCUGGAGUAAUGGUACGUAAGAGAAAUAAUGUGUGAUUUAAAGUGCAAUUGCUAAAUCCCAAAAUAAGUAUGUCAACUUUGUACUAAUUUUAGUACAAAGUUAUACUAAGGUUAAGACACUUAUUUUAAAAGGGAUGGAUUAAGAAAGAGCAGGGCGAUUCUUUGGCCCAUGCAUGCACGACACUAUGGAUGACCUUCGAUCUCUCGGCUCGUCCUUGAGAGGUGUCAGAUGCCUUGUGUCCAGGUGUUUUUGUUGGCGGUCUCUUGAUGUAGUAGCAAUGUCGGGUUAUGUGGAUGUUGUGUAUUCGAAGAGACUGGCGGGGUCACCUGUGCGGUUGUGGGGUUUCUUGCCGUGUGAGUAGUUAGUAUGUGCUUCGUUUGUAUUGGUUUUCGGCCGGUUUUCCGUAAAUUAACUAGGCAAUUCUCUUCUUCUUAAUUAAUCGAUAAGGCAAAACUUUUGCCUCCAUUUUGGAAAAUUAUCCUCAAUAAAUAACGAACGUGAGAUCCUACCAUCGUCUACAUGGCGUCCAGUAAACCUGGCGUGCGAAGCUACCAUUAACUCAUUGAAAACCCCAGUUUUGCUAUCUCCAAAUACUCCCUCCGUUUCGAAUUAUAAAAUGUUCUAACUAUUUUCUGAAUCGAAUAUAUUUAAUGUGUAUAUUUACUCAUUUCAGUCCGUAUGUAGUUCAUAUUCAAAUUUCCAAGCAUCCUACAAUUUGGAACAAAGUAGAUAAUUAGUAAGCCGACACCAACAAUCAUCCAAUCUGGUUACUAUGAUUCACGCAAGUACUAUAUAGUAAAAAGAUAUCCAUCAUAUAGCUAUUUCUAAAUGGAUUGAGAAAUAGUCACCCAUAAAAAUUAUUGACAUAAUUACUAACAAGAUAAUAAUUUCUCAUGGAAUUAUCAUAGUCUUCUGGUCUCCGAGGCGUGUCAGGAUGGACAAUGGAACAUCGGGUUCCGUCGGUCAUUUGGACAGGACGAGGCUAAUGAAUGGGAUAGGUUGAGGACAGAAGUCCCUCUGGUGUUGUCGCAAUCGCCGGACAACAUUUCCUGGAGCCUCUCCCCAUCUGGAGAGUUCUCCGUUAGAUCAGCUUAUCAGGCACUUUGCCGUGCACCGACCAUACAGUGGUUAUCCCCAUUGUGGAAGGUGUCGGUGCCCCCAAAAAAUCAUGAUCUUCCUAUGGCAGUUUCUUCGUGAUUGCUUGCCCUCGAGAACCGAGGUUCUGAAGCAGCACGGCCCGGGCGAUGAUUUGUGUCCCCUUUGUCAUGUCCCGGAGACGGGAACCCACAUCAUGUUCUCGUGCUUAGCGGUGCGGUCUCUUUGGAGCUUCGUUCGCGAGGCAUUAGGAUCUGAGUGGGAGGCAGGGGACCUUGCAGAGUUCCUACAGGCCAGAGCGACGCAGGAGGGCCGCAAACGCCGCCUAUUCUGCCUUUUCUUUGCGGCGAUGACUUGGACCAUUUGGACGAUGCGUAAUAAGAUGGUGAUUGAACAGAUCUUCCCGAGAUGAGCAUCUGACUCGUUCUUCAAAUUUCUUGCCUUGUUGCAGCUAUGGCACCCACUUGCUAGGCAGCGGGAUCGUGACUGUUGGGGAACGUAGUAAUUUCAAAAAAAUUCCUACGCACACGCAAGAUCAUGCUGAUGCAUAGCAACGAGAGGGGAGAGUGUCGUCCACGUACCCUCGUAGACCGUUAAGCGGAAGCGUUAUGACAACGCGAUUGAUGUAGUCGUACGUCUUCACGAUAGACCAAUCCUCAGUACCAAACGUACGACACCUCCGCGUUCAGCACAAGUUCGGCUCGGUGACGUCCCGCGAACUCACGAUCCAGUAGAGCUCGAGGGAGAGUUCCGUCAGCACGAAGGCGUGGUGACGAUGUUGAUGAAGCUACCCACGCAGGGCUUCGCCUAAGCACCGCUACGAUAUGACCGAGGUGGAUUAUGGUGGAGGGGGCACCGCACACGGCUGGGAGAGAUCAAUGAUCAACUUGUGUGUCCUAGGGUGCCCCAUGCCCCCGUAUAUAAAGGAGCAAGGGGGGAGGUCGGACGGCCCUGUAGGGCGCGCCAGGAGGAGGAGUCCUCCUCCUAGUAGGAGUAGGACUCCCCUCUUUCCUACUCCUACUAGGAGGGGGAAAGGAAGGGGGAGAAGGAGAAGGAAAGGCCCCCCCCUUCCUAGUCCAAUUCGGACCAGAGAGUAAGGGGGCGCGCGGCCUGCCCUGCCCGGCCCCUCUCUCUCCACUACGGCCCAACAAGGCCCAUUAACCCCCGGGGGCUUCCGGUAACCCCUCCGGCACUCCGGUAAAAUCCCGAUUUCACCCGAAACUCUUCCGAUGUCCAAAUGUAGGCUUCCAAUAUAUCAAUCUUUAUGUAUCGACCAUUUAGAGACUCCUUGUCAUGUCCGUGAUCAUAUCUGGGACUCCGAACUACCUUCGGUACAAAAAACAUAUAAACUCAUAAUACCGAUCGUCGCAGAACUUUAAGCGUGCGGACCCUACGGGUUCGAGAAUUAUGUAGACUGUUGGGGAUCGUAGCAGAAAUUAAAAUUUUCUACGAAUCACCAAGAUCAAUCUAUGGAGUUUACUAGCAACGAGAGGGGAGGAGUGCAUCUACAUACCCUUGUAGAUCGCGAGCGGAAGCGUUCAAGAGAACGGGGUUGACGGAGUCGUACUCGUCAUGAUCCAAAUCACCGAUGAUCCAAGCGCCGAACGGACGGCACCUCCGCGUUCAACACACGUACGGAGCGGUGACGUCUCCCACGCCUUGAUCCAGCAAGGAGGAGGGAGAGGUUGAGGAAGAAGGCUCCAACAGCAGCACGACGGCGUGGUGGUGGUGGAGUGACAGUUCUCCGGCAGGGCUUCGCCAAGCACACGCGGAGGAGGAGAGGUGUUGGGGAGGGGAGGGGUUGCGCCUUGGGAAAGGUAUGGCUGCCCUCCCACCCCUCCACUAUAUACAGGGGCAAGGGAGAGGGGGCCGGCCCCCUCAGAUCCCAUCUGGUGGGAGGGGCGGCGGCCAGGGGGAGGUGGCUUGCCCCCCAAGCAAGGGGGGGGGCCUUUAGGGUUCCCCCAAACCCUAGGCGCAUGGGCCCUAGGGGGGUUGGCGCCCAGCUCACUUAGGGCUGGUUCCCUUCCACCUACAGCCCAUAAGGCCCUCCGGGGCAGGUGGACCCCCGGAACCCCUUCGGUGGUCCCGGCACAAUACCGGCAUACCCCCGAACACUUCCAGUGACCGUAUGGUGACUUCCCAUAUAUAAAUCUUUACCUCCGGACCAUUCCGGAACUCCUCGUGACGUCCAGGAUCUCAUCCGGGACUCCGAACAACAUUCGGUAAUCACAUACAAACCUUCCUUAUAACCCUAGCAUCAUCGAACCUUAAGUGUGUAGACUCUACGGGUUCGGGAAUCAUGCAGACAUGACCGAGACACCUCUCUAGCCAAUAACCAACAGCGGGAUCUGGAUACCCAUGUUGGCUCCCACACGUUCCAUGAUGAUCUCAUCGGAUGAACCACGAUGUCGAGGAUUCAAGCAAUCCCGUAUACAAUUCCCUUUGUCAAUCGGUACUUUACUUGCCCGAGAUUCGAUCGUCGGUAUCCCAAUACCUCGUUCAAUCUCGUUACCGGCAAGUCACUUUACUCGUUCCGUAAAGCAUGAUCCCGUGACUAACUACUUAGUCACAUUGAGCUCAUUAUGAUGAUGCAAUACCGAGUGGGCCCAGAGAUACCUCUCUGUCAUACGGAGUGACAAAUCCCAGUCUCGAUCCGUGCCAACCCAACAGACACUUUCGGAGACACCUGUAGUGCACCUUUAUAGCCACCCAGUUACGUUGUGAUGUUUGGUACACCCAAAGCAUUCCUACGGUAUCCGGGAGUUACACGAUCUCAUGGUCUAAGGAAAUGAUACUUGACAUUAGAAAAGCUUUAGCAAACGAACUACACGAUCUAGUGCUAUGCUUAGGAUUGGGUCUUGUCCAUCACAUCAUUCUCCUAAUGAUGUGAUCCCAUUAUCAAUGACAUCCAAUGUCCAUGGUCAGGAAACCGUAACCAUCUAUUGAUUAACGAGCUAGUCAACUAGAGGCUCACUAGGGACAUGUUAUGGUCUAUGUAUUCACACAUGUAUUACGAUUUCCGGAUAACACAAUUAAAGCAUGAACAACAGACAAUUAUCAUGAACAAGGAAAUAUAAUAAUAAAUAUUUUAUUAUUGCCUCUAGGGCAUAUUUCCAACAGUCUCCCACUUGCACUAGAGUCAAUAAUCUAGUUACAUUGUGAUGAAUCGUACACCCAUAGAGUUCUGGUGUUGAUCAUGUUUCGCUCAUGGAAGAGGUUUAGUCAACGGAUCUGCGACAUUCAAAUCCGUAUGCACUUUACAAAUAUCUAUGUCUCCACUUUGAACAUUUUCACGAAUGGAGUUGAAGCGACGCUUGAUGUGCCUGGUCUUCUUGUGAAACCUGGGCUCCUUGGCAAGGGCAAUAGCUCCAGUGUUGUCACAGAAGAGAGUCAUCGGCCCCGAUGCAUUGGGAAUAACUCCUAGAUCGGCAAUGAACUCCUUCAUCCAGAUUGCUUCAUGUGCUGCCUCCGAGGCUGCCAUGUACUCCGCUUCACAUGUAGAUCCCGCCAUGACGCUUUGCUUGCAACUGCACCAGCUGACUGCCCCACCAUUCAAAAUAUACACGUAUCCGGUUUGUGACUUUGAGUCAUCCAGAUCUGUGUCGAAGCUAGCAUCGACGUAACCCUUUACGACGAGCUCUUCGUCACCUCCAUAAACGAGAAACAUAUCCUUAGUCCUUUUCAGGUACUUCAGGAUGUUCUUGACCGCUGUCCAGUGUUCCACGCCGGGAUUACUUUGGUACCUUCCUACCAAACUUACGGCAAGGUUUACAUCAGGUCUGGUACACAGCAUGGCAUACAUAAUAGACCCUAUGGCCGAGGCAUAGGGGAUGACACUCAUCUUUUCUUUAUCUUCUGCCGUGGUCGGGCAUUGAGCCGUGCUCAAUCUCACACCUUGCAAUACAGGCAAGAACCCCUUCUUGGACUGAUCCAUAUUGAACUUCUUCAAUAUCUUAUCAAGGUAUGUGCUUUGUGAAAGACCUAUGAGGUGUCUCGAUCUAUCUCUAUAGAUCUUGAUGCCUAAUAUGUAAGUAGCUUCUCCAAGGUCCUUCAUUGAAAAACACUUAUUCAAGUAGGCCUUUAUGCUUUCCAAGAAUUCUAUAUCAUUUCCCAUCAAUAGUAUGUCAUCCACAUAUAAUAUGAGAAAUGCUACAGAGCUCCCACUCACUUUCUUGUACACACAGGCUUCUCCAUAAGUCUGCGUAAACCCAAACGCUUUGAUCAUCUCAUCAAAGCGAAUGUUCCAACUCCGAGAUGCCUGCACCAGCCCAUAGAUUGAGCGCUGGAGCUUGCAUACUAUGUCAGCAUUCUUAGGAUCGACAAAACCUUCCGGCUGCAUCAUAUACAGUUCUUCCUUAAAGAAGUCGUUAAGGAAUGACGUUUUGACGUCCAUUUGCCAUAUUUCAUAAUCGUAGAAUGCGGCAAUUGCUAACAUGAUUCGGACGGACUUCAGCUUCGCUACGGGUGAGAAGGUCUCAUCGUAGUCAACUCCUUGAACUUGUCGAUAACCCUUAGCAACAAGUCGAGCUUUAUAGAUGGUAACAUUUCCAUCCGCGUCCGUCUUCUUCUUAAAGAUCCAUUUAUUUUCUAUCGCUUGCCGAUCAUCGGGCAAGUCUGUCAAAGUCCAUACUUUGUUUUCAUACAUGGAUCCUAUCUCGGAUUGCAUGGCUUCAAGCCAUUUGUUGGAAUCUGGUCCCGCCAUUGCUUCUUCAUAGUUCGAAGGUUCACCGUUGUCCAACAACAUGAUUUCCAGGACAGGGUUGCCAUACCACACUGGUGCGGAACGUGUCCUUGUGGACCUAUGAAGUUCAGUGGUAACUUGAUCAUGAUCGUCAUCAUUAACUUCCUCUCUAGUCGGUGCAGGCACCAUAGAAACAUUUUCUUGUGCUGCGCUACUUUCUGGUUCGAGAGGGGUCAUCUCAUCAAGUUCCACUUUCCUCCCACUUACUUCUUUCGAGAGAAACUCUUUCUCCAGAAAGGACCCAUUCUUGGCAACGAAGAUCUUGCCUUCGGAUUUGAGGUAGAAGGUAUACCCAAUGGUUUCCUUAGGGUAUCCUAUGAAGAUGCAUUUUUCUGACUUGGGUUCGAGCUUUUCAGGUUGAAGUUUCUUGACAUAAGCAUCGCAUCCCCAAACUUUAAGAAACGACAGCUUAGGUUUCUUUCCAAACCAUAAUUCAUACGGUGUCGUCUCAACGGAUUUCGACGGAGCCCUAUUUAAAGUGAAUACGGCAGUCUCUAAAGCAUAACCCCAGAAUGAUAGCGGUAGAUCGGUAAGAGACAUCAUAGAUCGCACCAUAUCCAAUAGAGUGCGAUUUCGACGUUCGGACACACCAUUACGCUGAGGUGUUCCAGGCGGCGUGAGUUGUGAAACAAUUCCACAUUUCCUUAAGUGUGUGCCAAAUUCGUGACUCAAAUAUUCCCCUCCACGAUCUGAUCGUAAGAACUUUAUUUUCCUGUCACGUUGAUUCUCAACCUCACUCUGAAAUUCCUUGAACUUUUCAAAGGUCUCAGACUUGUGUUUCAUUAAGUAGACAUACCCAUAUCUACUCAAGUCAUCAGUGAGGGUGAGAACAUAACGAUAGCCACCGCGAGCCUCAACGCUCAUUGGACCGCACACAUCAGUAUGUAUGAUUUCCAAUAAGUUGGUUGCUCGCUCCACUGUUCCGGAGAACGGAGUCUUGGUCAUUUUGCCCAUGAGGCAUGGUUCGCAUGUGUCAAAUGAUUCAUAAUCAAGAGACUCCAAAAGUCCAUCUGCAUGGAGUUUCUUCAUGCGUUUGACACCAAUGUGACCAAGGCGGCAGUGCCACAAGUAUGUGGGACUAACAUUAUCAACCUUACAUUUCUUGGCAUUCACACUAUGAAUAUGUGUAACAUCACGUUUGAGAUUCAUUAAGAAUAAACCAUUGACCAGCGGGGCAUGACCAUAAAACAUAUCUCUCAUAUAAAUAGAACAACCAUUAUUCUCGGAUUUAAAUGAGUAGCCAUCUCGCAUUAAACGAGAUCCAGAUACAAUGUUCAUGCUCAAAGUUGGCACUAAAUAACAAUUAUUGAGGUUUAAAACUAGUCCCGUAGGUAAAUGUAGAGGUAGCGUGCCGACGGCGAUCACAUCGACCUUGGAACCAUUCCCGACGCGCAUCGUCACCUCGUCCUUCGCCAGUCUCCGCUUAUUCCGCAGCUCCUGCUUUGAGUUACAAAUAUGAGCAACCGCACUGGUAUCAAAUACCCAGGAGCUACUACGAGCGCUGGUUAGGUACACAUAUAUAACAUGUAUAUCACAUAUACCUUUGGUAUUGCCGGCCUUCUUAUCCGCUAAGUACUUGGGGCAGUUCCGCUUCCAGUGACUGUUUCCCUUGCAAUAAAAGCACUCAGUCUCAGGCUUGGGUCCAUUCUUUGUCUUCUUCCCGGUAGCUUGCUUACCGGGCGCGGCAACUCCCUUGUCGUCUUUCUUGAAGUUCUUCUUACCCUUGCCUUUCUUGAACUUAGUGGUUUUAUUCACCAUCAACACUUGAUGUUCCUUUUUGAUCUCCACCUCCGCUGAUUUCAGCAUUGAAUAUACCUCAGGAAUGGUCUUUUCCAUCCCCUGCAUAUUAAAGUUCAUCACAAAGCUCUUGUAGCUAGGUGGGAGCGACUGAAGGAUUCUGUCAACGACCGCGUCAUCCGGGAGAUUAACUCCGAGCUGAGACAAGCAGUUGUGCAACCCAGACAUUUUGAGUAUGUGUUCGCUGACGGAACUAUUCUCCUCCAUCUUACAACUGUAGAACUUGUCGCAGACUUCAUAUCUCUCGACCCGGGCAUGAGCUUGGAAAACCAUUUUCAGCUCUUGGAACAUCUCAUAUGCUCAGUGCUGCUCAAAACUCUUUUGGAGCCCCGAUUCUAAGCUGUAAAGCAUGCCGCACUGAACCAGAGAGUAAUCAUCACUACGUGACUGCCAGGCGUUCAGAACAUCUUGAGUUGCUGGGAAAACAGGUGCAUCACCUAGCGGUGCUUCAAGGACAUAUGCUUUCUUGGCAGCUAUGAGGAUAAUCCUCAGGUUACGGACCCAGUCCGUGUAGUUGCUACCAUCGUCUUUCAGCUUGGUUUUCUCUAGGAACGCGUUGAAGUUGUGGGCAACAUUGGCGUGGGCCAUUUGAUCUACAAGACAUAUUGUAAAGGUUUUUAGACUAAGUUCAUGAUAAUUAAGUUCAUCUAAUCAAAUUAUUAACGAACACCCACUAAGACAGACAUCCCUCUAGUCAUCUAAGUGAUACAUGAUCUGAGUCAACUAGGCCGUGUCCGAUCAUCACAUGAGACGGACUAGUCAUCAUCGGUGAACAUCUUCAUGUUGAUCGUAUCUGCUAUACGACUCAUGUUCGGCCUUUCGGUCUCUUGUGUUCCGAGGCCAUGUCUGUACAUGCUAGGCUCGUCAAGUCAACCUAAGUGUGUUGCGUGUGUAAAUCUGGCUUACACCCGUUGUAUGCGAACGUUAGAACCUAUCACACCCGAUCAUCACGUGGUGCUUCGGAACAACGAACCUUCGCAACGGUGCACAGUUAGGGGGAACACUUUCUUGAAAUUUUAGCGAGGGAUCAUCUUAUUUAUGCUACCGUCGUUCUAAGCAAAUAAGAUGUAAAACAUGAUAAACAUCACAUGCAAUCAAAUAGUGACAUGAUAUGGCCAAUAUCAUUUUGCUCCUUUUGAUCUCCAUCUUCGGCGCGCCAUGUUCAUCAUCGUCACCGGCAUGACACCAUGAUCUCCAUCAUCAUGAUCUCCAUCAUCGUGUCUUCAUGAAAUUGUCUCGCCAACUAUUACUUCUACUACUAUGGCUAACGGUUAGAAAUAAAGUAAAGUAAUUACAUGACGUUCCAGUUGACACGCAGGUCAUAAAUAAAUUAAGACAACUCCUAUGGCUCCUGCCGGUUGUCAUACUCAUCGACAUGCAAGUCGUGAUUCCUAUUACAAGAACAUGAUCAAUCUCAUACAUCACAUAUAUCAUUCAUCACAUCCUUCUGGCCAUAUCACAUCACAUGACACUUGCUGCAAAAACAAGUUAGACGUCCUCUAAUUGUUGUUGCAAACUUUUACGUGGCUGCUAUAGGUUUCUAGCAAGAACGAUUCUUACCUAUGCCAAAACCACAAAGUGAUAUGCCAAUUUCUCUUUACCCUUCAUAAGGACCCUUUUCAUCGAAUCCGAUCCGACUAAAGUGGGAGAGACAGACACCCGCUAGCCACCUUAUGCAACUAGUGCAUGUCAGUCGGUGGAACCUGUCUCACGUAAGCGUACGUGUAAGGUCGGUCCGGGCCGCUUCAUCCCACGAUGCCGCCGAAUCAAGAUAAGACUAGUAACGGCAAGUAAAUUGACAAAAUCGACGCCCACAACAACUUGUGUUCUACUCGUGCAUAGAAACUACGCAUAGACCUAGCUCAUGAUGCCACUAUUGGGGAUCGUAGCAGAAAUUAAAAUUUUCUACGAAUCACCAAGAUCAAUCUAUGGAGUUUACUAGCAACGAGAGGGGAGGAGUGCAUCUACAUACCCUUGUAGAUCGCGGGCGGAAGCGUUCAAGAGAACGGGGUUGAUGGAGUCGUACUCGUCGUGAUCCAAAUCACCGAUGAUCCAAGCGCCGAACGGACGGCACCUCCGCGUUCAACACAUGUACGGAGCGGUGACGUCUCCCACGCCUUGAUCCAGCAAGGAGGAGGGAGAGGUUGAGGAAGAAGGCUCCAACAGCAGCACGAUGGCGUGGUGGUGGUGGAGUGACAGUUCUCCGGCAGGGCUUCGCCAAGCACACGCCACUACUAGAAUCAGCUAAUUUGCCAUCUGCCAGCUCUUUACCGUCUGCUAGCUGACGGCAAAGAAGCUCUUUGCCAUCAGCUACCCAAAAGCAGACGGCAAAGAAGCUCUUUGCCAUCUGCGAGCUCUUUGCCGUCCGCCAGCAGACGGCAAAGAAUCUUUGCCGUCCGCUGGCAGACGGCAAAGAGAGAGGUGGCCCCCACCCCCGCCCGUUUGGAAAAAACUUAACGGCGCACCUCUUUGUCGUCUGCCAGCAGACGGCAAAGAGGCAAAAGGGCGGACGGCAAAGAGAGGCGGACGGCAAAGACGACACUACCUAACGGCCCGUACCCCCCGCCCGUUACUCUGUUCUCUCCUCGCCGAGCCCCGCCACCACUUCCCACCCCACCGCCGUCGCCGACGCCCGCCGCGCGCCGCCGCCCCCACCACUCGCCGCCNNNNNNNNNNNNNNNNNNNNNNNNNNNNNNNNNNNNNNNNNNNNNNNNNNNNNNNNNNNNNNNNNNNNNNNNNNNNNNNNNNNNNNNNNNNNNNNNNNNNNNNNNNNNNNNNNNNNNNNNNNNNNNNNNNNNNNNNNNNNNNNNNNNNNNNNNNNNNNNNNNNNNNNNNNNNNNNNNNNNNNNNNNNNNNNNNNNNNNNNNNNNNNNNNNNNNNNNNNNNNNNNNNNNNNNNNNNNNNNNNNNNNNNNNNNNNNNNNNNNNNNNNNNNNNNNNNNNNNNNNNNNNNNNNNNNNNNNNNNNNNNNNNNNNNNNNNNNNNNNNNNNNNNNNNNNNNNNNNNNNNNNNNNNNNNNNNNNNNNNNNNNNNNNNNNNNNNNNNNNNNNNNNNNNNNNNNNNNNNNNNNNNNNNNNNNNNNNNNNNNNNNNNNNNNNNNNNNNNNNNNNNNNNNNNNNNNNNNNNNNNNNNNNNNNNNNNNNNNNNNNNNNNNNNNNNNNNNNNNNNNNNNNNNNNNNNNNNNNNNNNNNNNNNNNNNNNNNNNNNNNNNNNNNNNNNNNNNNNNNNNNNNNNNNNNNNNNNNNNNNNNNNNNNNNNNNNNNNNNNNNNNNNNNNNNNNNNNNNNNNNNNNNNNNNNNNNNNNNNNNNNNNNNNNNNNNNNNNNNNNNNNNNNNNNNNNNNNNNNNNNNNNNNNNNNNNNNNNNNNNNNNNNNNNNNNNNNNNNNNNNNNNNNNNNNNNNNNNNNNNNNNNNNNNNNNNNNNNNNNNNNNNNNNNNNNNNNNNNNNNNNNNNNNNNNNNNNNNNNNNNNNNNNNNNNNNNNNNNNNNNNNNNNNNNNNNNNNNNNNNNNNNNNNNNNNNNNNNNNNNNNNNNNNNNNNNNNNNNNNNNNNNNNNNNNNNNNNNNNNNNNNNNNNNNNNNNNNNNNNNNNNNNNNNNNNNNNNNNNNNNNNNNNNNNNNNNNNNNNNNNNNNNNNNNNNNNNNNNNNNNNNNNNNNNNNNNNNNNNNNNNNNNNNNNNNNNNNNNNNNNNNNNNNNNNNNNNNNNNNNNNNNNNNNNNNNNNNNNNNNNNNNNNNNNNNNNNNNNNNNNNNNNNNNNNNNNNNNNNNNNNNNNNNNNNNNNNNNNNNNNNNNNNNNNNNNNNNNNNNNNNNNNNNNNNNNNNNNNNNNNNNNNNNNNNNNNNNNNNNNNNNNNNNNNNNNNNNNNNNNNNNNNNNNNNNNNNNNNNNNNNNNNNNNNNNNNNNNNNNNNNNNNNNNNNNNNNNNNNNNNNNNNNNNNNNNNNNNNNNNNNNNNNNNNNNNNNNNNNNNNNNNNNNNNNNNNNNNNNNNNNNNNNNNNNNNNNNNNNNNNNNNNNNNNNNNNNNNNNNNNNNNNNNNNNNNNNNNNNNNNNNNNNNNNNNNNNNNNNNNNNNNNNNNNNNNNNNNNNNNNNNNNNNNNNNNNNNNNNNNNNNNNNNNNNNNNNNNNNNNNNNNNNNNNNNNNNNNNNNNNNNNNNNNNNNNNNNNNNNNNNNNNNNNNNNNNNNNNNNNNNNNNNNNNNNNNNNNGACACCCCGACCCCCGACACCUCCCGAAAAGGUGUUCUUUGGCCUUCCAGAAGCCGACGGGGUCAUAUAUUUGUGAAUUACUAGUUAGGUCAUAUAUCUUUCGAUUUUUUUAUGAAAAACAUCAUAUAUAAUUGUGUUGAUCGGGUAGUUUUAAAUGUGCAGUUGUUUCAUCGCUGCGAGGUUUGGUGUUCGACGACCUCGCCGUGCGUUUGACGAGCUCUGCCCCUUCGUUCGUGGGUGAGCACAAAUGACAUGUCCUCCUCCCCCAUUAAUUAUUUGAUCUAUUCCGAUGAAACUUGAUAGCUAGCCAUAUAUGUGUCUUGAAUCAUCAGUAUGCGUAACCAAUAUGUGUCUCCCGUUCGAAAGCGUCAUAGUUAUAAAUAUGCAUGCAUUUGCAUAUUUAUAACCUCGAUUCUUUCGAAUUGUCCAACGCUAUCCAUGGACAGCCCGAGUAUGUUUAGAUUGGGUUCAUUUUCCCAUAUGCUUUGCUCCGGAUCCGACGCAUAAAUUUCGUCAUUGCCUCCCCUGUUGUUCUCCGGGUACACAUCCUCUCUGUUUAUUGCAGAGACGUGUAUCAGGAGAACAGCGGGGAGGUGCUGCCGAAAUUUUGCGUAGGAUCCGGAGCAUAGCAUGGGAAAAUGAACCCAAUCUAAACAUACUCGGGUGGGAUUAGGACCUAUCAUUACCUAUUAGAGUGUAGGUUGCAUGGACGUAAUAAAAUUGACAAAGUAGAUCAACUGAUGAAUAUAUACAUGGUGAAUUAUAUAUAUAUAUAUUUGUUGUGUGUCUAGUAGCUCUGAAAGUCAAGAUGAGUGAUCGUGCGUGGAUGUACACCGGUCACACUGGUCAGAACAAAUGGAGCACUGAAUGGUUCAAAAAACCAAGGGGUUUGUGCGAGCCGCAUUUGCAAAUGGCCAGAGGAAAACCUGGUGCCCCUGUUUACGGUGCGACAAUUGGGAAAAGAGGACAGAGGCUGAAAUGGGCAAACACCUGCAGAAGAGUGGUUUUACGCCCGAUUAUACGGUGUGGACAUUCAUGGUGAGUCUGCCCAACGUGACCGAGCUGAGGUGGAUCGUCGUCGCACCAACGAGCAUGGUACCGGGAUGGAAAACAUGGUGCAAGACUUCGAUGAUGCUCGGGAUUCGGACGAGGAGAUGGAGGAAUCUGCAAAGGCCUUCAAUGAAAUGUUGGAGUCUUCAAAACGUCCGCUCCAUGAGCACACUGAGCUUUGUCAGUUGGAUGCCAUCUCACAAGUAAUGGCUUUGAAGGCUCAGUUCAACUUGGGCAGAGAAUGCUACGAUGCAAUGAUGACAGUAUUUGGACGCUUUCUACCCAAAGGCCAUGUAAUGCCUGCAAACCUGUACCAGUCGGACAAAAUCCUCCGUGCACUGAAGAUGCCCUAUGCUAAGAUACAUGCCUGUGAGAAAGGAUGUGUCUUGUUUAGGCUUGACUAUGCGGACUUGAACUAUUGUCCCAUUUGCAAGUCUUCCAGGUAUGUUAUGGUAGACAACGGUAUGGGUGAGAAGACACAGACCAAAAUCCCCGUUAGUGUUCUUCGGUAUAUGCCAAUCGUACCAAGACUUCAACGUCUUUUCAUGGUCGAAGAGACGGCCAGACAGAUGACAUGGCACAAAACGGGCAAAAGAACCAAACUAGAUGCAGAUGGGAAUUUGAUGAUUGUACACACAUCGGAUGGUGUUGCGUGGAAAAAGUUUGAUGAAUUACAUGGUGACAAAGCGGCAGAUCCGAGGCAUCCUCGAGUCGGCAUCAGCACGGAUGGGUUCAGUGUGUUUGGUAUGACGGCAGCCCAAUAUAGUUGUUGGCCCGUAUUUGUCUUUCCACUCAAUCUCCCCCCGGACAGAUUAUGCAAAGAAAGAACAUUUUCCUGACGUUGAUAAUUCCAGGGCCCAACUAUCCGGGGAAAAAUAUGAAUGUGUACAUGCAACCGCUUAAGGACGAAUUGCAAGAAGCCUGGGAUAAUGGGUUCAAGACAUACGACGCCUAUAGCAAACGGAACUUCAUAAUGCGUGUCUGGUACAUGUACUCGACGCAUGACUUGCCGGCGUAUGCGCUAUUCGUUGGCUGGUGUGUGCAUGGAAGGUUCCCGUGCCCCACAUGCAAGGGAGCUCUUGAGUUUCGUUGGCUUCAGGCCGGUCGCAAGUUUUCUUGCUUUGACAUGCAUAGACAGUUCCUGAAUCCUCGCCAUAAGUUCAGGAAAGACAAGAAGAACUUCAUCAGAGGUAGAGUUGUCAAAAACUCUGCACCACCUGCAUUGACAGGCCAACAGACCCUGGAUCAGUUAAACGCUCUCGAGCCAGAUCCAGAGCGUCCAGGGUACUUCAAGGGGUAUAAUUCUAAGCACGCCUGGACUCACAAAACAUGCUUACGGGAUCUGCCUUACUUCAAAGACCUCCUUUGCCCACACAACAUCGACGUGAUGCACACUGAGAAGAAUAUCGCCGAGGCACUUUUUGGUACAUUGUUCGGCAUAGAUGGGAAGUCAAAGGACAAUACUAAGGCUAGAGUCGAUCUGGAGGCGCUAUGUGAUAGGCCGUUACAAAACAUGAAAGAACCGAAAGGAAAGCAGAACUGGACGAAGCCAAAGGCAUGGUUCAAUCUUGGAAGGCCAGCUAUGAGGGAAAUUAUCUUGUGGGUGAAAAUGCAGUUGAUGUUCCCCGAUGGGUAUGCAGCGAAUCUACAGAGGGGAGCCAGUCUUGAUAAAUUGAAGAUAUUUGGUCUCAAGAGUCAUGAUUGGCACAUAUGGAUUGAGCGGGUAAUGCCGGUGAUGUUGCGUGGCUUCAUCCCUGAGGAUGAAUGGCUAGUACUGGCAGAACUCAGCUAUUUCUUCCGUGUUCUUUGUGCGAAAGAACUAUCGCCUGGCGUGCUAGAAGAAAUGGAAGAGUUGGCGCCGGAGUUGAUCUGCAAGUUAGAGAAGAUCUUUCCACCGAGCUUCUUUAAUCCAAUGCAACAUUUGAUUUUGCAUCUCCCGACCGAGGCAAGAUUGGGGGGGCCCGUGCAAAAUCGUUGGUGCUACCCAACUGAGAGGAUGCAGAAGACACUUCGACAAAAAUGUAAAAAUAAACGUAGAAUUGAAGCAUCGAUGGUUGAGGCAUUCAUCACUGAGGAGGCGGCAAACUUCGUGACAGCACACUACGAAGCCAAAAAUCGUCAUUUGCAUAAUCCGAAGCCUCGGUACAAUGCUGACGACCCUAAAAAGGGUGGAUCCAACCUCAGCCUAUUCAAAGGGAAUCUCGCACCAGCCAGUGUUUCAAAUCCAGUAUCUUUGGAUAACGAACAAUGGCGGACCAUUUCGUUGUAUAUCUUCAACAACCUGAUAGAAGUGCGGCCGUACAUCGAGUAAGUUCUCGGUACAUAGUUUCGCAACUUCUAUUUCCUUUGAACUGCUCUUAUUCCUGGAUAUUUCAUACAGUCGAUACGUCGCCUUAUUCUCGUAUGGAGCGGUGAUCCAAAAGGAUUCUGUCGAAGAGUAUGAGCUUCUCGCAAAGCAAGGAGGCGGCUAUCCCGGUUUCAUCUCUUGGUUCAAACAAACGGUAAUUUCUAUUAGACUUGUAGGCUAAUUUGUAGGCGGCUAUCCCGGUUUCAUUCGCUAAUUUGUGCGUACUGCAACAAUCCUUUCAUAUUAAACUUGUAGGCUAAUUCAGAGUCUAUGGACGCCGAAUUGAGACAAGUCGCUAAUGGUUUUGACUAUAAGGUCCGUUCAUUUGACAAAUACGACAUCAACGGGUAUCGCUUUCGUACCUAUGGCAAAGAGCUAUCUAUGGCCGACCGAAAGUCUACAAAUUGUUGUGUAUCUGCUAUCGGCGAAGGAGGUACCGAGUAUUAUGGGAGAGUUGAAGCAAUUUAUGAACUUCUAUUCUAUGGUGAAAACCCACCGAAUGUCGUAGUCUUCAAAUGUUAUUGGUUUCAGCCGAAGGAGACUAGAAGGACUCAUGAACAUAUAGGGCUAGUUGAAAUCAACCAAAGAACCCAUUUAGAUGUUCCUGAUGUCUAUAUUACGGCUCAACAGGCGACCCAAGUAUUCUAUCUACCGUGGGCCUGCCAAACUAAUCCAAAUCUGAAAGGUUGGGAUGUUUAUUAUUGCCUCUAGGGCAUAUUUUCUUCAGUCUCCCACUUGCACUAGAGUCAAUAAUCUAGAUUACACAGUAAUGAUUCUAACACCCAUGGAGUCUUGGUGCUGAUCAUGUUUUGCUCGUGGAAGAGGCUUAGUCAAAGGGUCUGCAACAUUCAGAUCCGUAUGUAUCUUGCAAAUCUCUAUGUCUCCCACCUGGACUUGAUCCCGAAUGGAAUUGAAGCGUCUCUUGAUGUGCUUGGUUCUCUUGUGAAAUCUGGAUUCCUUUGCCAAGGCAAUUGCACCAGUAUUGUCACAAAAGAUUUUCAUUGGUCCCGAUGCACUAGGUAUGACACCUAGAUCGGAUAUGAACUCCUUCAUUUGCUGCUUACGAAGCAGCUAUGUACUCCGCUUCACACGUAGAUCCUGCCACGACGCUUUGUUUAGAACUGCACCAACUGACAGCUCCACCGUUCAAUGUAAACACGUAUCCGUUUUGCAAUUUAGAAUCGUCCGGAUCAGUGUCAAAGCUUGCAUCGACGUAACCAUUUAUGACGAGCUCUUUGCCACCUCCAUAAACGAGAAACAUAUCCUUAGUCCUUUUCAGGUAUUUCAUGAUGUUCUUGACCGCUGUCCAGUGAUCCACUCCUGGAUUACUUUGGUACCUCCCUGCUAAACUAAUAGCAAGGCACACAUCAAGUCUGCUACACAGCAUUGCAUACAUGAUAGAGCCUAUGGCUAAAGCAUAGGAGACAUUUUUCAUUUUCUCUCUAUCUUCUGCAGUGGUCGGGCAUUGAGUCUGACUCAACUUCACACCUUGUAACACAGGCAAGAAUCAUUUCUUUGCUUGAUCCAUUUUGAACUUCUUCAAAACUUUAUCAAGGUAUGUGCUUUGUGAAAGUCCAAUUAAGCGUCUUGAUCUAUCUCUAUAGAUCUUGAUGCCCAAUAUAUAAGCAGCUUCACUGAGGUCUUUCAUUGAAAACUUCUUAUUCAAGUAUCCUUUUAUGCUAUCCAGAAAUUCUAUAUCAUUUCCAAUCAGCAAUAUGUCAUCCACAUAUAAUAUUAGAAAUGUUACAGAGCUCCCACUCACUUUCUUGUAAAUACAGGCUUCUCCAACAGUCUGUAUAAAACCAUAUGCUUUGAUCACACUAUCAAAACGUUUAUUCCAAUUCCGAGAUGCUUGCACCAGUCCAUAAAUGGAUCACUGGAGCUUGCACACUUUGUUAGCUCCCUUUGGAUCGAAAAAACCUUCUGGUUGCAUCAUAUACAGCUCUUCUUCCAGAAAUCCAUUCAGGAAUGCAGUUUUGACAUCCAUUUGCCAAAUUUCAUAAUCAUAAAAUGCGGCAAUUGCUAACAUGAUUCCGACAGACUUAAGCAUCGCUACGGGUGAGAAAGUCUCAUCGUAGUCAACUCCUUGAACUUGUCGAAAAUCUUUCGCAACAAGUCGAGCUUUGUAGACAGUAACAUUACCGUCAGCGUCAGUCUUCUUCUUGAAAAUCCAUUUAUUCUCUAUGGCUUGUCGAUCAUCGGGCAAGUCAACCAAAGUCCAUACUUUGUUCUCAUUCAUGGAUCCCAUCUCAGAUUUCAUGGCCUCAAGCCAUUUUGCGGAAUCUGGGCUCACCAUCGCUUCUUCAUAGUUCAUAGGUUCGCCUUGGUCAAGUAACAUGACCUCCAGAAUAGGAUUACCGUACCACUCUGGUGCGGAUCUUACUCUGGUUGACCUACGAGGUUCGGUAGUAACUUGAUCUGAAGAUUCAUGAUCAACAUCAUUAACUUCCUCACUAAUUGGUGUAGGUGUCACAGAAACCGCUUUCUGUGAUGAACUACUUUCCAAUAAGGGAGCAGGUAUAGUUACCUCAUCAAGUUGUACUUUCCUCCCACUCACUUCUUUCAAGAGAAACUCCUUCUCUAGAAAGGAUCCAUUCUUAGCAACGAAUGUCUUGCCUUCAGAUCUGUGAUAGAAGGUGUACCCAACAGUCUCCUUUGGGUAUCCUAUGAAGACACAUUUCUCCGAUUUAGGUUCAAGCUUAUCAGGUUGAAGCUUUUUCACACAAGCAUCGCAACCCCAAACUUUAAAAAACGACAACUUCGGUUUCUUGCCAAACCAUAGUUCAUAAGGCGUCGUCUCAACGGAUUUAGAUGGUGCCCUAUUUAACGUGAAUGCAGCCGUCUCUAAAGCAUAACCCCAAAAUGAUAGCGGUAAAUCAGUAAGAGACAUCAUAGAUCGCACCAUAUCUAGUAAAGUACGAUUACGAUGUUCGGACACACCAUUACGCUGUGGUGUUCCGGGUGGCGUGAGUUGCAAAACUAUUCCGCAUUGUUUCAAAUGUAGACCAAACUCGUAACUCAAAUAUUCUCCUCCACGAUCAGAUCGUAGAAACUUUAUUUUCUUGUUACGAUGAUUUUCCACUUCACUCUGAAAUUCUUUGAACUUUUCAAAUGUUUCAGACUUAUGUUUCAUUAAGUAGAUAUACCCAUAUCUGCUCAAAUCAUCUGUGAAGGUGAGAAAAUAACGAUACCCGCCGCGAGCCUCAAUAUUCAUCGGACCACAUACAUCAGUAUGUAUGAUUUCCAACAAAUCCGUUGCUCGCUCCAUUGUUCCGGAGAACGGCGUUUUAGUCAUCUUGCCCAUGAGGCAUGGUUCGCAAGUACCAAGUGAAUCAUAAUCAAGUGAUUCCAGAAGUCCAUCAGUAUGGAGUUUCUUCAUGCGCUUUACACCAAUAUGACCCAAAUGGCAGUGCCACAAAUAAGUUCCACUAUCAUUAUCAACUCUGCAUCUUUUGGCUUCAACAUUAUGAAUAUGUGUAUCACUACUAUCGAGAUUCAUCACAAAUAGACCACUCUUUAAGGGUGCAUGACCAUAAAAGAUAUUACUCAUAUAAAUAGAACAACCAUUAUUCUCAGAUUUAAAUGAAUAACCGUCUCGCAUCAAACAAGAUCCAGAUAUAAUGUUCAUGCUUAAUGCUGGCACCAAAUAACAAUUAUUCAGGUCUAAAACUAAUCCCGAAGGUAGAUGUAGAGGUAGCGUGCCGAUGGCGAUCACAUCGACUUUGGAACCAUUUCCCACGCGCAUCGUCACCUCGUCCUUAGCCAGUCUUCGCUUAAUCCGUAGACCCUGUUUCGAGUUGCAAAUAUUAGCAACAUAAACAGUAUCAAAUACCCAGGUGCUACUGCGAGCUCUAGUAACGUACACAUCAAUAACAUGUAUAUAUCAUAUACCUUUGUUCACCUUGCCAUCCGUCUUAUCCGCCAAAUACUUGGGGCAGUUCCGCUUCCAGUGACCAGUCUGUUUGCAGUAGAAGCACUCAGUCUCAGGCUUAGGUCUAGACUUAGGUUUCUUCUCUUGAGCAGCAACUUGUUUGCCGUUCUUCUUGAAGUUCCCCUUCUUCUCCCCUUUACCCUUUUUCUUGAAACUGGUGGUCUUGUUGACCAUCAACACUUGAUGCUCCUUUUUGAUUUCUACCUCCGCAGCCUUUAGCAUUGCGAAGAGCUCGGGAAUUGUCUUAUCCAUCCCUUGCAUAUUAUAGUUCAUCACGAAGCUCUUGUAGCUUGGUGGUAGUGAUUGAAGAAUUCUGUCAAUGACACUAUCAUCUGGAAGAUUAACUCCCAGUUGAAUCAAGUGGUUGUUAUACCCAGACAUUUUGAGUAUAUGUUCACUGACAGAACUAUUCUCCUCCAUCUUGCAGCUAUAGAACUUAUUGGAGACUUCAUAUCUCUCAAUCUGGGCAUUUGCUUGAAAUAUUAACUUCAACUCCUGGAACAUCUCAUAUGCUCCAUGACAUUCAAAACGUCGUUGAAGUCCCGGUUCUAAGCCGUAAAGCAUGGCACACUGAACUAUCGAGUAGUCAUCAACACGCGACUACCAGGCAUUCACAAUGUCCGCAGUUGCCGGCGCAGGUGGUACACCUAGCGGUGCUUCCAGGACGUAAUUCUUCUGUGCAGCAAUGAGGAUAAUCCUCAACUUACGGACCCAGUCCGUGUAAUUGCUACCAUCAUCUUUCAACUUUGCUUUCUCAAGGAACGCAUUAAAAUUCAACGGAACAACAGCACGGGCCAUCUAUCUACAACAACAUAGACAAGCAAAAUAUUAUCAGGUCCUAAGUUCAUGAUAAAUUUAAAUUCAAUUAAUCAUAUUACUUAAGAACUCCCACUUAGAUAGACAUCCCUCUAAUCAUCUAAGUGAUCACAUGAUCCAUAUCAACUAAACCAUAACCGAUCAUCACGUGAGAUGGAGUAGUUUUCAAUGGUGAACAUCACUAUGUUGAUCAUAUCUACUAUAUGAUUCACGCUCGACCUUUCGGUCUCAGUGUUCCGAGGCCAUAUCUGCAUAUGCUAGGCUCGUCAAGUUUAACCCGAGUAUUCUGCGUGUGCAAAACUGUCUUACACCCGAUGUAGAUGAACGUUGAGCUUAUCACACCCGAUCAUCACGUGGUGUCUCGGCACGACGAACUUUGGCAACAGUGCAUACUCAGGGAGAACACUUUUAUCUUGAAAUGUAGUGAGAUCAUCUUAUAAUGCUACCGUCAAACAAAGCAGAAUAAGAUGCAUAAAGGAUAAACAUCACAUGCAAUCAAUAUAAGUGAUAUGAUAUGGCCAUCAUCAUCUUGUGCCUUUGAUCUCCAUCUCCAAAGCACCAUCAUGAUCACCAUCGUCACCGGUGCGACACCUUGAUCUCCAUCGUAGCAUCGUUGUCGUCUCGCCAACUAUUGCUUCUACGACUAUCCCUACCGCUUAGUGAUAAAGUAAAGCAAUUACAGGGCGAUUGCAUUGCAUACAAUAAAGCGACAACCAUAUGGCUCCUGCCAGUUGCCGAUAACUCCGUUACAAAACAUGAUCAUCUCAUACAAUAAAUAUAACAUCAUGUCUUGACCAUAUCACAUCACAACAUGCCCUGCGAAAACAAGUUAGACGUCCUCUACUUUGUUGUUGCAAGUUUUACGUGGCUGCUACGGGCUGAGCAAGAACCGUUCUAACCUACGCAUCAAAACCACAACGAUAGUUCGUCAAGUUAGUGAUGUUUUAACCUUCUCAAGGACCGGGCAUAGUCACACUCGGUUCAACUAAAGUUGGAGAAACUAACACCCACCUGCCACCUGUGUGCUAAACACGUCGGUAGAACCAGUCUCGCGUAAGCGUACGCGUAAUGUUGGUCCGGGUCGCUUCAUCCAACAAUAUCGCCGAACCAAAGUAUGACAUGCUGGUAAGAAGUAUGACUUGUAUCGCCCACAACUCACUUGUGUUGUACUCGUGCAUAUAACAUCUACGCAUAAACCUGGCUCGGAUGCCACUGUUGGGGAACGUAGUAAUUUCAAGAAAAUUCCUACGCACACGCAAGAUCAUGGUGAUGCAUAGCAACAAGAGGGCAGAGUGUCGUCCACAUACCCUCGUAGACCAUUAAGAGGAAGCGUUAUGACAACGCGGUUGAUGUAGUCGUACGUCUUCACGAUCGACCGAUCCUCAGUACCGAACGUACGGCACCUCCGCGUAAUUCAGCACACGUUCGGCUCGGUGACGUCCCGCGAACUCACGAUCCAGUAGAGCUCCAGGGAGAGUUUCGUCAGCAUGAUGGCGUGGUGACGCUGUUGAUGAAGCUACCGACGCAGGGCUUCGCCUAAGCACCGAUACGAUAUGACCGAGGUGGAUUAUGGUGGAGGGGGGCACCGCACACGGCUGGGAGAGAUCAAUGAUCAACUUGUGUGUCCUAGGGUGCCCCUGCCCCCGUAUAUAAAGGAGCAAGGGGGAGGCCGGACGGACCUGUAGGGCGCGCCAGGAGGAGGAGUCCUCCUCCUAGUAGGAGUAGGACUCCCCUCUUUCCUACUCCUAUACUCCUACUAGGAGGGGGAAAGGAAGGGGGAGAAGGAGAAGGAAAGGGGGCGCCCCCCCCUUCCUAGUCCAAUUCGGACCAGAGGGGAAGGGGGCACGCGGCCUGCCCUGGCCGGCCCCUCUCUCUCUCCACUAGGGCCCAACAAGGCCCAUUAACCCCCGGGGGCUUCCGGUAACCCCUCCGGCACUCCGGUAAAAUCCCGAUUUCACCCGGAACUCUUCCUAUGUCCAAAUGUAGGCUUCCAAUAUAUCAAUCUUUAUGUCUCGGCCAUUUCGAGACUCCUCGUCAUGUCCGUGAUCAUAUCUGGGACUCCGAACUACCUUCGGUACAAAAAACAUAUAAACUCAUAAUACCGAUCGUCACAAAACUUUAAGCGUGCGGAACCUACGGGUUCGAGAACUAUGUAGACAUGACCGAGACACGUCUCCGGUCAAUAACUAAUAGCAGAACCUGGAUGCUCAUAUUGGUUCCUACAUAGUCUACGAAGAUCUUUAUCGGUCAAACUGCAUAACAACAUACGUUGUUCCCUUUGUCAUCGGUAUGUUACUUGCUCGAGAUUCGAUCGUCGGUAUCUCAAUACCUAGCUCAAUCUCGUUACCGGCAAGUCUCUUUACUCGUUCCGUAAUGCAUCAUCCCGCAACUAACUCAUUAGUCACAUUGCUUGCAAGGCUUAUAGUGAUGUGCAUUACCGAGAGAGCCCAGAGAUACCUCUUCGACAAUCGGAGUGACAAAUCCUAUUCUUGAUCUAUGCCAACUCCACGAACACCAUCGGAGACACCUGUAGAGCACCUUUAUAAUCACCCGGUUAUGUUGUGAUGUUUGGUAGCACACAAAGUGUUCCUCCGGUAUUCAGGAGUUGCAUAAUCUCAAAGUCAUAGGAACAUGUAUAAGUCAUGACGAAAGCAAUAGCAGUAAACUAAACGAUCAAGUGCUAAGCUAACGGAAUGGGUCAAGUCAACCACAUCAUUCUCCUAAUGAUGUGAUCCCGUUAAUCAAAUGACAACUCAUGUCUAUGUUUAGGAAACUCAACCAUCUUUGAUCAACGAGCUAGUCAAGUAGAGGCAUAUUAGUGACACUAUGUUUGUCUAUGUAUUCACACAUGUAUUAUGUUUCCGGUUAAUACAAUUCUAGCAUGAAUAAUAAAUAUUUAUCAUGAUAUGAGGAAAUAAAUAAUAACUUUAUUAUUGCCUCUAGGGCAUAUUUCCUUCAGUCUCCCACUUGCACUAGAGUCAAUAAUCUAGAGUACACAGUAAUGAUUCUAACACCCAUGGAGUCUUGGUGAUGAUCAUGUUUUGCUCGUGGAAGAGGCUUAGUCAACGGGUCUGCAACAUUCAGAUCCGUAUGUAUCUUGCAAAUCUCUAUGUCUCCCACCUGGACUUGAUCCCGGAUGGAAUUGAAGCGUCUCUUGAUGUGCUUGGUUCUCUUGUGACAUCUGGAUUCCUUUGCCAAGGCAAUUGCACCAGUAUUGUCACAAAAGAUUUUCAUUGGUCCCGAUGCACUAGGUAUGACACCUAGAUCGGAUAUGAACUCCUUCAUUUGCUGCUUCCGAAGCAGCUAUGUACUCCGCUUCACACGUAGAUCCCGCCACGACGCUUUGUUUAGAACUGCACCAACUGACAGCUCCACCGUUCAGUGUAAACACGUAUCCGGUUUACGAUUUAGAAUCGUCCUCCGCGGUGAUGCGCUAUGGCAGGAGAGAGUAGGGGAGGUGUGUAGCAAGCACGCGUGGCGAAGGGAGCACCGCGAACACAUCGCCUGCUCCACUGUUGUCCGUCGAUUGCGCGAACGCCAUCUCCAGGUACCUGACUACAUCCUGGGGGUUGCCACGGCGGAGCGAGUGGUUGAGGUCAUGCGGCGGGUGCUCGGCCCGCUUGCACGUGGCGAAGGCGAGAGCCUUGAGCCAGGUGGUGCCGCACUUGGGGAAGCUGGCAAGGAGGACGUCCGACGGCCUCGGCUUGAAGACCGAGUGUACGGCCGGAACGGCCAUGAGGAACUCCUCCAACAGCCAGAACCCGCCGUACUGCCUCAGAUGGAACGGGAGGAACCGUGUGUCGAGGGGAAGCGAGGUGAUCGCAAGCUCGGCAAUGUCGUCGGCGGCAGAGGCAGCCAUGGAUAGCGCCGUUGUGCGUGCGUGCGUUCGGCUGUGUUGGUGCGCGAGUUGUACUGUGGCCUUGUAUAAGCAGCAGCUAGAUAACGAUGCCCCGCCACGCGAGGUAGUUCCAUCGGUAGGCUGCUCCGCCUGCACGUCAGCACGGGCGAUGCUGACGAUAAGAUAAGCAUCAAUAAUCAAUUGCUGGCACUUGUACUUUUCUUCUGAAUUUGCUGGUUCAUGCCGUAUGUAUGAGCCUGCCGGAUACGAACCCCAGCACUGCACAGGUGUACAUGCAAAAACUAAUUAACGAUGAGUUAUACUCAUGUUCAUGCAUGCACAUGUACUCCCUCCUUUCCUAAAUACUCCAGGAGUACAUGCACGUACGACCCAGCCUAGCCGCCGCCUCCGCCGCUCCCAAAUUGGUCCUCGCCGCACCACGGCACCAGCCUGGUCCUCUCAACCCCAUCUUGGCCGCCGCGCUGCCCAGCCUCUCCCCCGCCUGGUCGUCGCCACAGACAGCACUCCAGGCAGGUACUCCUCGCUCGUGCACUGAAAUUAACAGCAGAAUUUGAUGAAUCAGUAACAACAGCUUCAGUAAUUUACAGCAGGAUUUAAAUAAACCAGCAGAAAUCAGGAGUUUAUUGCACGUAGGUUCUGCUCUUAGUUCCAUGUUACUGAAGAUGCGCUGUUUAUUUAAAUAAACCAACAGAAACCAUUAGAAUUUGAAAUUCAAGUGCUCCUGAAGUGUUCCAGGAUUCUGGUUUUUUGACUUGGGGAUCUGUUGUUUCUAAAUAAACCAGCAGAAAUCAAAUUCCAUUGUUAUUCAUUAAAAAAACUGAUUAUUACUCCUGAUAAUUAUGCUUACAGUUUCUUGUACUGCAUUCAAUUCUAAUUUUUCAACUGAGUACUGCAUGCAAUGCCAUUGUUAAAAAACAGCAGCAAUAACAAGUCCUACUCCAAGAACUACUCUUAAAUUUAAUUUACUGAAGAGAAGAGAAGAGAAGAACACUAAAUUCCUACACUACUGAACAAGUGCAGUACACUACUGCUGCAAUUGCUAUUCCAGUCAUUGGAAACAAUACUCCAAUACUGCUGUAUUGGAAGCAAUACUGCAGUAGUUCAAGCAGUACUUCAGUGCUGUAGUUCAAGAUACUGAAACUUGCCAAUUGGCAACAGUACUGUUGCUGUAGAACUACUGAAACUACUCAUGCAACACUAAGCAUGGGAUACACUAAGAAUUUUCAGUGGAGAAAUUAACAGAAUUAAGAAAGCAUCAGGAAGUUAACAAGACAAAUUUAAGCUACUGAAAAAGUACUGCAACCAAAACAGUACUGCACUUCAUUUUAAGCUACUGUACCAAGUCAACAGAAGAUUCAUGAAAGAUUAAUAGUAGCAGAAGCUUCAUGUGCAAAAUUACUGAAUUUGCAAAAAUUUGUAAACUGGUUUUUUUGCCAAGGAAACAAAAUUUUACUAGUAAGGUACACGUGCAUUGCACGCAUGAGAUUUGGUAACCAAAUUAUGAAUAAACACCACACUAUAGCAUGUAAGCUUUGAGUCAUAUAUGAAUGAUGUAGAUGUUCAUUUAAUUCUUAUAGUUCAUCUCAUCCAAAAUCAAUUAGUUUUAUAAAAAAAUCUAUUUUAAGAUUCAUGGAAUUGUGCAUUGUAAAGGUAAAAACAAAAGGUGACAAUUCAUUUAGAAAAAAAGGUUUGGGCAAUUAAGAUAUGGAAGAUUCUAGAGAAGAAAGGAGAAGUGCUUGUGUGUUUGAGGUUUGUGCAUUAUGCUUAAGUUCAACCAUGGAGUCUUCUAGAUUGUACAUGCAUGUGGCAAAAUCUGGUGGAAUGUAGAUGAUAUCCAACGGCCAGUAGUGCUCGGAUUUGCCAUCUCUAUACCGUCGGAUUGGCUUCAUCCAACGACCAACUUUCAAAGUUAUUCGCACACUAUAUAGGUGUAUAGAUGUUCUGUUUCAUGAACUAACUAGUAAGGUACACGUGCAUUGCACGCAUGAGAUUUGGUAACCAAAUUAUAAAUAAAUACCACACUAUAGCAUGUAAGCUUUGAGUCAUAUAUGCAUGAUGUAGAUGUUCGUUUAAUUCUUAUAAUUCAUCUCAUUCAAAAUCAAUUAGUUUCAUAAAAAAAACUAUUUUAAGAUUCAUGGAAUUGUGCACUGUAAAGCAUAAAGUAAAAAACAAAAAGUGACAAUUCAUUUAGAAAAAAAAGUUUGGACAAUUAAGAUAUGGAAGAUUCUAGAACAAAGGAGAAGUGCUUGUGUUUUGAGGUUUGUGCAUUAUGCUUAAGUUCAACCAUGGAGUCUUCUAGAUUGUACAUGUGGCAGAAUCUGGUGGAAUGUAGAUGAUAUCCAACGGCCAGUAGUGCUCGGAUUUGCCAUCUCUGUACCGUCGGAUUGGCUUCAUCCAACGACCAACUUUCAAAGUUAUUCGCACACUAUAUAGGGGUAUAGAAUAGUCUUACCUUUGAAAAUAUUCAGCUCAUCUUGGAGUACUUGUUAUCAAAGGUAUCAUGAGCUGAAUAUUUUCAAAUGAUUUGCAGCAGUAUACACCCAACAUCACAUCCUACUUGUAGCCACUAGCCAUCAAGUUACUACUGUACUUGCAACAUCAAAUCUUCUUACAACACUUCUUUUAAAGACAGUGUUUGAGGUUCAGAAGUGACUAAGACAACUUUACUGGUUUUCAGGGUUCAGACUUGAGAGCCUCUUGUGUUUGUUUUCCUUUUGCAUCUGUGAUUGUUUUCAAACUGCAACCAAGCUGAACUUUUAGGGUUGAUGGAUGCUACAGAGAGCUGCUGCUACAGGCAUUUGGUUUUGCAACUGAAUUCAGAAACAAUGGAGAGGUCAGUUUCGUGUGAUCAUGACUUUUAUGUUCUCCCCAUGAUACCUUUCAAAAUACGGUAUUCAGCUCAGCUUGGAGUACUCAUUACACAUCACCCAUCAUUGCAAAAACUUGAAUGAGCAACUCAUUUCAUCUAAUAAGCAGUUGCAGAAUAUUCGCACAAAGAAAAUAACCUUAAAUGAACUACAGUGAGAUGUAAAGAGCCACCACUACAAUUGAAUUUUACUCAGAAAGAAUUGUGUCCUGGAGAGCAUGGCAUUAUACCUGAACUGUACUCCAUUCCAGAUAGCCACAUGGAAAAGAAAACGACCCCCAAAACUGAGAAACAGGAUCCCACAUGGAGUAAUCUACAUUACGAGGUUGGUGAUGAACUCACCUAGCAUUUCACCAAGUUCACUGAAGAAAUCAUUGAGCAGGUUGCGCUUAUGCUUAUCCCUCUCUGCUUUUUGAAUAAUCAUCGGGACCUUCUUCUUGCACUUUCAGCAAUGGAAACACGGGCCUCAUUGCAGAGUACUCUAUUGCGGUUUUGGAAUCUCAGGAAUUUUGGAGCAGACCAAAACAUCCUCACACAGAUUAGCAGGUGAUGUUUCUCUUUUGGUCAGAAUUUUUUCAAUGAAAUCCAUUGCAGAAUAGGUGUUGAAUUACCACCACAAUUAGCCAACGUUGCUCUCUUGCAGCUCCAGGGCAUUCGCUGGCGCCCAUGAAAUUCAGUUAAAGGCUGAGCUAAUAAGGGAGAGGCUUUGGGUAGUGGCAGCUGCUCACCGAGUCGCCGAAGCAGAGGCCAGGCAGGCCACCGCCGGGGAAGAAGACGCCGUCACCCCGCCUGUGCUCACCGAACCCGCUGCCGUUCCGUCCAUGGUCGGGCCUGCCCCGCUGGGCCUCGGCCUCGGCGGUGGCGAUGUGCUGCCGAAUGAAGGCCUCGAACUCCAGCUCCGACGCGCUCUGCUUCGGUCCAGCACCACCAUCUUCCUCCGGCUGCUCCGGUCCAGCACCGCCGUCCUCCUCCCGCUGCUCCAAUCCAGGACCGCUGUCCUCCUCCCGCUGCUCCAACACGGAUCGAGCACCGCGGCUCCAAAAUUGUCACUUUUUACCAAGAGCGCGGUGGUGCUGGAACCUGCGUUGGCACCGUCGGAGCGAGCUAGCAGAACGGGAGUCCGGGCACUGAGGGGCGACGGGGAGACACUAGUAGAAAACAGGGCUUUGGUUCGGCCAGAAAAGAGCAUUAAUCCCGGUUGCAUUAUGAACCGAGACUAAUGUGAGCAUUAGUCCCGGUUCGAGCGGCUAGGGCACCGUACAGGCAUUAGUCCCGGUUCAAAUGGGACCAUUAGUCCCGGUUGGUGCCACGAACCGGGACUAAAGGGUGUGAUGCCCAUUAGUACCGGUUCGUGGCACCAACCGGUACUAAAGGUUAGACCUUUAGUCUCGGUUCGAGCCACCAACCGGUACUAAUGGGGUUUGAGGCAUUAGUAUCGGUUCAUGGCACGAACCGGUACUAAAGGUCACAUUCUCAAACUCUACNNNNNNNNNNNNNNNNNNNNNNNNNNNNNNNNNNNNNNNNNNNNNNNNNNNNNNNNNNNNNNNNNNNNNNNNNNNNNNNNNNNNNNNNNNNNNNNNNNNNNNNNNNNNNNNNNNNNNNNNNNNNNNNNNNNNNNNNNNNNNNNNNNNNNNNNNNNNNNNNNNNNNNNNNNNNNNNNNNNNNNNNNNNNNNNNNNNNNNNNNNNNNNNNNNNNNNNNNNNNNNNNNNNNNNNNNNNNNNNNNNNNNNNNNNNNNNNNNNNNNNUUUUCAGUUUUGUAAAAAGCAAAAGAAAAUGAUAAAAACUUCAAAAAUUAAAAUCCUUCCAGAUGUAGUUAUAUUACUACAUGUACUAGUUAGGAAAAUUUAAAAACUUCAAUUUGGACAUGUUUUGCAGAAAGUGUAGGGAAAAUGUAAAAUGGCUAUUAUUCUCUCAUGCUUCACUUAUAUUAUUUUGAGAGUCUUAAACAGCAUGGUAAUUUUCUUAAAUUUGGAAAUUAAUCCUAAUAUGUUAGGUAUUCAAGACUAGUAAAAAACUUUCUUAUGAGUGUGUUGAAUUCUAAGAGAAGUUUGAUGCUUGAUGAUUGUUUUGAGAUAUGGAGGUAGUGAUAUUAAAGUUGUGCUAGUUGAGUAGUUGUGAAAUUGAGAAAUACUUGUGUUGAAGUUUGCAAGUCCCGUAGCAUGCACGUAUGGUAAACGUUAUGUAACAAAUUUGAAACAUGAGGUGUUCUUUGAUUGUCUUCCUUAUGAGUAGCGGUCGGGGACGAGCGAUGGUCUUUUCCUACCAAUCUAUCCCCCUAGGAGCAUGCGUGUAGUGCUUGGUUUUUGAUGACUUGUAGAUUUUUGCAAUAAGUAUGUGAGUUCUUUAUGACUAAUGUUGAGUCCAUGGAUUAUACGCACUCUUACCCUUCCAUCAUUGCUAGCCUCUUCGGUACCGUGCAUUGCCCUUUCUCACAUUGAGAGUUGGUGCAAACUUCGUCAGUGCAUCCAAACCCCGUGAUAUGAUACGCUCUGUCAUACAUAAACCUCCUUAUAUCUUCCUCAAAACAUCCACCAUACCUACCUAUUAUGGCAUUUCCAUAGCCAUUCCGAGAUAUAUUUCCAUGCAACUUUCCACCGUUCCGUUUAUCAUGACACGUUCAUCAUCGUCAUAUUGCUUUGCAUGAUCAUGUAGUUGACAUCGUAUUUGUGGCAAAGCCACCGUUCAUAAUUUUUCAUACAUGUCACUCUUGGUUCAUUUCCUAUCCCGGUAUACCGCCGGAGGCAUUCAUAUAGAGUCAUACUUUGUUCUAGUAUCGAGUUGUAAUCAUUGAGUUGUAAAUAAAUAGAAGUGUGAUGAUCAUCAUUCACAGAGCUUCAACGUGCGAUGUGCGACCUCAUCCCCACGUCAUCUGGCGAUGUCAUGAUAUAUUUUCCUAGAGCUUCCGCAUCAUCCGGCCACUUAAGCUUCUCCAUCAAAAUCCCUGGCCGAUUGAUUUUCCUUGCUCAUAUUCGUCUUCUUCCCUCGAGCCUUUCCCCUUCCAUAUCUUUUCCAAUCCCCAAUCAAUUACCAUAUGGCUCCCCCGCUUCUUAUUCCUUCUAUUAACAAUCUCCCUUUACUUGUCGCUUUGGCUACAUAUAUAUCUCAACUGAUUAGCUUGCUUCCAUGGCUGGAACUACAAGGUGUCAAAUUCAAUAGGGAUUUAGUUGGCGGGAAGGAUCCACGGUGGUGUUGGACUGGUGGCAAAGGUAGCCGGUUCAUUGGGUAUUGUCGCCGCUGCUAGCUAUUACAUCAUCGUCUGCAUCAUCGACAUAACCGACCAAUCGGCACCCUCGAUGGCAACACUAUUGCACAAAAGUUGACGGGGUCAGGUAGUGUGCAAGCGCAGGUACAGAUUGAUGGGCGCCCUCUACCAGCACAACUGUAGUAGUCCAUGGCGUCGGGCAACAUGCAAGCUCUGCUGCAGAUCGAUAGUUCAUAGUUGAAGCGGCAGGAAAGGCAUGCAACCAGAAGGUGCUCCUUUUUUACUUUCGGCUGCCCACUUCCUUCAGUUAUUUGUUGCUCCUCCUCUCCCCCAAUUAAUCAUGUGCAGAACAUUUUUGCUACUUAAUUUCAAAUCUUGGAAUCUUCUAUUCUAUUGUUAUUAUGUAAAUUCUGGGGAGGCAAAUUCAUUUCGGUUUCUGAUGUUGUCGAGUACUAUCAGUGGCAAAUCUGUUUUCUGUCCUUGAAAAUUUCUGAUGGCGUGGUCAUGGACCAGGCUCUGAUCGUCGUUCAUGUCCUUCAAAAAAAUUUGUUGUCUAAUUUUUGGAUUAGGCUCUGUUAGUUCAUUGGUUUUUUUGGUUUGUUUCCAAGUCCCCGCGCCUUCCUGUUAUGGUGUGCCACACGAUUUCCUCAAGUGCUUCUUCGUGGAGUCUGCAGGCGGAGAACUGGAGGAAGGUGAAUAGCAGUGAGCAGAGCUACAACUCUUUCUAUUCUCUCACCCGUUUUCUUCCUGUCUGCCUCCCUCCACAUCUCUUUUUCCAGGAGGGUGAAGGAUGGACUGCGGUUGACAUUUAUUAGGUUGGAUUAGAUAUGCUAAAUUAUCUGAUUACCAUGGUCACCAAGGCACUUAGAUGUAUAUAUGCUUGGCCAUAGAAGUCCUCCCUCUAUAUGUUGUGUCGUUCAGUUUUCCUCUGUUUCAACCUGCCGCCAUGAAAUAGCUGAUUGUCCCUACAGUUGCUUGCUAUGUGAUCCAUGGUGUUGCUACCUUGCAUAAGUACAUAUUAUUGGCUCCUUUUCCCUACCACACUAAUAGGUUAGUACAAUUAUUUGAUUGAUUGCGCAUGUAGUUUCAUUAUUAUUUUUCCUUUCAAUUUCAUCAUGCUAUUACAAGUAUAUGAUAUAUAUUCUUAUGACAUGUGCAGUUCUAUGUAGAUUUCCUUUUAUCAGAUACUGUUGGAAUUGGGUGGUUAAGAAAUAAUUUUACAUAAAGGAUCAAGAAACAAUGGUUGCUCAUUUUCUGUUAUGUUCCCAUAUACUAUUAUCAAAUUUAUUUAUGUAGGAUCUCAAAGGUUUGUAAUUUUCUUUAAUCUUGGAUAGAAGUCUUCACCUCUACCAUGUAAUUUGUUCUUUCCUUCUGUCUAAUAAUGUAGGAAUAAUUAACAAUCGAGAAUAAAAAUGUUAUUAUGCUGACCCGAUUCUUGCUAACAGUUUUAAAGCACACACUAACUUCUGGUGUUUGUUUCAAUCUAGCACCUUUCUUUGUAAGAUAAAGCAUAUAAACUUCUCUAUGUACUUCAGGUACAUGGUGAUUAAAACGAAUUAUGAGAAUACUAUUCCUUCAAAGAUUAUAGAGUGUGUGUUUUAUCUAAACUCGCAACUACUGAACUUUGUGUUGGGGAAUGCAGUAUUUCAAAAAAAAGUUACCUACGAUCACGCAAGAUCUAUCUAGGUGAUGCAUAGCAACGAGCGGGGAGAGUGUGUCCACGUACCCUCGUAGACCGAAAGCGGAAGCGUUUAGUAACACGAUUGAUGUAGUCGAACGUCUUCGCGAUCCAACCGAUCCAAGCACCGAACGUACGACACCUUCGUGUUCAGCACACGUUCAGCUCGAUGACGUCCCUUGAGCUCUUUAUCCAGUUGAGGACGAGGGAGAGUUCCGUCAGCACGACGGCGUGGCGACGGUGAUGAUGAAGUUACCGGUGUAGGGCUACGCCUAAGCACUACAACGAUAUGACCGAGGUGUGUAACUGUGGAGGGGGGCACCGCACACGGCUAAGACAAUUAAUCUUGUGUGUUCUAGGGUGCCCCCCUGCCCCGGUAUAUAAAGGAGAGGAGGGGAAGGCCAACCGGCACUGUAGGGCGCGCCACGAGAGGGGAGUCCUACUAGGACUCCAAGUCCUAGUAGGAUUCCACCUGAGGAAAGGGGGAAGAAGGAAGGGAGAGGGAGAAGGGAAGGAAAGGGGCGCCGCCCCCUUCCCCUAGUCCAAUUCGGACCCAAGGGGGAGGGGGCGGCCAGCCCCCUUGAGGCCCUUCUCUCUCCCCACUAAGGCCCAUCAUGGCCCAUUAGUUCCCCGGGGGGGUUCCGAUAACCCUCCGGCACUCCGAUAAUUAUUCGUUACCUCUCGGAACUCAUCCGGUGUCCGAAUAACACCGUCCAAUAUAUCAUUCAUUAUGUCUCGACCAUUUCGAGACUCCUCGUCAUGUCCGUGAUCUCAUCUGGGACUCCGAACAAACUUCGGUCAUCAAAUCACAUAACUCAUAAUAUAAAUCGUUAUCGAACGUUAAGCGUGUGGAUCCUAUGGGUUCGAGAACUAUGUAGACAUGACCGAGACACAUCUCCGGUCAAUAACCAAUAGCGGAACCUGGAUGCUCACAUUGGCUCCUACAUAUUCUACGAAGAUCUUUAUUGGUCAAACCACAUAACAACAUACCCGAGAUUCUACGAAGAUCUUUGUCAUCGGUAUGUUACUUGCCCGAGAUUCGAUCGUCGGUAUCAUCAUACCUAGUUCAAUCUCAUUACCGGCAAGUCUCUUUACUCGUUCCGUAAUGCAUCAUCCUGUGACUAACUCGUUAGUCACAUUGCUUGCAAGGCUCAUAGUGAUGUGCAUUACCGAGAGGGCCCAGAGAUACCUCUCCGAUACACGGAGUGACAAAUCCUAAUCUCGAUCUAUGCCAACUCAACAAACACCAUCGGAGACACCUGUAGAGCAUCUUUAUAGUCUCCCAGUUACGUUGUGACAUUUGAUUGCACACAAGGUGUUCCUCCGGUAUUCAGGAGUUGCACAAUCUCAUAAUCUGAGGAACAUUUAUAAGUCAUGUAGAAAGUAAUAGCAGAAAAACUAAAUGAUCAUUAUGCGAAGCUAACAGACGGGUCUUGUCCAUCACAUCAUUCUCUAAUGAUGCGAUCCCAUUCAUCAAAUGACAACACAUGUCUAUGGCUAGGAAACUUAACCAUCUUUGAUUAAUGAGCUAGUCAAGUAGAGGCAUACUAGGGACACUCUGUUUGUCUAUGUAUCCACACAUGUACUAAGUUUCCGGUUAAUACAAUUCUAGCAUGAAUAAUAAACAUUUAUCAUGAUAUAAGGAAAUACAAAUAACAACUUUAUUAUUUCCUCUAGGGCAUAUUUCCUUCAGUCUCCCAUUUGCACUAGAGUCAAUAACCUAGUUCACAUCGUCAUGUGAUUUAACACCAAUAGUUCACAUCGCCAUGUGACCAACACCCAAAGGGUUUACUAGAGUCAAUAAUCUAGUUCACAUCGCCAUGUGAUUAACACCCAAAGAGUACUAAGUUGUGAUCAUGUUUUGCUUUGUGAGAGAAAUUUAGUCAAUAGGUCUGUCAUUCAGAGCUGUAUGUAUUUUGUAAAUUUUCUAUGUCUACAAUGCUCUGCACGGAGCUACUCUAGAUAAUUGCUCCCACUUUCAAUAUGUAUCCAGACUGAGACUUAGAGUCAUCCGGAUCGGUGUCAAAGCUUGCAUCGACGUAACCCUUUACGACGAACCUUUUCUCACCUCCAUAAUCGAGAAACAUAUCCUUAUUCCACUAAGGAUAAUUUUGACCGAUGUACAGUGAUCUACUCCUAGAUCACUAUUGUAUUCCCUUGCCAAACUCAGUGUAAGGUAUACAAUAGAUCUGGUACACAGCAUGGCAUACUUUAUAGAACCUAUGGCUAAGGCAUAGGGAAUGACUUUCAUUCUCCUUCUAUCUUCUGCCGUGGUCGGGCUUUGAGUCUUACUCAAUUUCACACCUUGUAACACAAGCAAGAACUCUUUCUUUGACUGUUCCAUUUUGAACUACUUCAAAAUCUUGUCAAGGCAUGUACUCAUUGAAAAAACUUAUCAAGCGUCUUGAUCUAUCUCUAUAAAUCUUGAUGCUCAAUAUGUAAGCAGCUUCACCGAGGUCUUUCUUUGAAAAAACUACUUUCAAACACCCCUUUAUGCUUUCCAGAAAAUUCUACAUCAUUUCUGAUCAACAUUAUGUCAUUCACAUAUACUUAUCAGAAAGGCUGUAGUACUCCCACUCACUUUCUUGUAAAUACAGGCUUCACCAAAAGUCUGUAUAAAACCAUAUGCUUUGAUCACCUUAUCAAAGCGUCUAUUCCAACUCCGAGAUGCUUGCACCAGUCCAUAGAUGGAUUGCUGGAGCAUGCACACUUUGUUAGCACCUUUAGGAUUGACAAAACCUUCUUGUUGCAUCAUAUACAACUCUUCUUUAAUAAAUCCAUUAAGGAAUGUAGUUUUGAUAUCCAUUUGCCAGGUUUCAUAAAAUGUGGCAAUUGCUAACAUGAUUCGGACAGACUUAAGCAUCGCUACGAGUGAGAAAAUUUUAUCGUAGUCAACACCUUGAACUUGUCAAAAACUUUUUGCGACAAUUCGAGCUUUGUAGAUAGUAACACUACUAUCAGCGUCCGUCUUCCUCUUGAAGAUCCAUUUAUUCUCAAUGGCUCGCCAGUCAUCGGGCAAGUUAAUCAAAGUCCAUACUUUGUUCUCAUACAUGAAUCCCAUCUCAGAUUUCAUGGCCUCAAGCCAUUUCGCGGAAUCUGGGCUCAUCAUCGCUUCCUCAUAGUUCGUAGGUUAGUCAUGGUCUAGUAACAUGACUUCCAGAAUAGGAUUACCGUACCACUUUGGUGCGGAACGUACUCUGGUUGACCUACGAGGUUCGGUAGUAACUUGAUCUGAAGUUUCAUGAUCAUCAUCAUUAGCUUCCUCACUAAUUGGUGUAGGAAUCACUGGAACUGAUUUCUGUGAUGAACUACUUUCCAAUUCGGGAGAAGGUACAGUUACCUCAUCAAGUUCUACAUUCCUCCCACUCACUUCUUUCGAGAGAAACUCCUUCUCUAGAAAGGAUCCAUUCUUAGGAACGAAUAUCUUGCCUUCGGAUCUAUGAUAGAAGGUGUACCCAACAGUCUCUUUUGGGUAUCCUAUGAAGACACAUUUCUCCAAUUUGGGUUCGAGCUUAUCAGGUUGAAGUGUUUUUUCACAUAAGCAUCGCAGCCCCAAACUUUAAGAAACGACAACUUAGGUUUAUUGCUAAACCACAGUUCAUAUGGUGUCAUCUCAACGGAUUUAGAUGGUGCCCUAUUUAACAUGAAUGCAGCUGUCUCUAAUGCAUAACCCCAAAACGGCAGUGGUAAAUCGGUAAGAGACAUCAUAGAUCCCACCAUAUCUAAUAAAGUACGGUUACGACGUUCGGUCACACCAUUACGCUGUGGUGUUUCAGGUGGCGUGAGUUGCGAAACUAUUCCACAUUGUUUCAAAUGAAGACCAAACUCGUAACUCAAAUAUUUGCCUCCGCGAUCAGAUCGUAGAAACUUUAUUUUCUUGUUACGAUGAUUCGUAACUUCACUCUGAAUUUCUAAACUUUUCAAAUGUUUCAGACUUGUGUUUCAUUAAGUAGAUAUACCCAUAUCUGCUUAAAUCAUCUGUGAAGGUCAGAAAAUAACGGUACCCGUCGCGAGCCUUGAUAACCCACAAGUAUAGGGGAUCAAUUGUAGCCUCUUUCGAUAAGUAAGAGUGUCGAACCCAACGAGGAGCUAAAGCUAGAACAAAUAUUCCCUCAAGUCCUAUCGACCACCGAUACAACUCUACGCACGCUUAACGUUCGCUUUACCUAGAACAAGUAUGAAACUAGAAGUACUUUGUAGGUGUUUUUGGAUAGGUUUGCAAGAAUAUAAAGAGCACGUAAAUAAAAACUAGGGGCUGUUUAGGUAAAGAAGCAAUAAAUUUAGUAUAGCGAGUGUGGAAAAGUGGUGGUAGGAGUUGUGAAAUUGUCCCUAAGCAAUUGACUACUUUACUAGACCGAUACCAAGUUUUAUGUGGGAGAGGCCACUGCUAGCAUGUCAUCCCUGACUUGGAAUUCUAUGCACUUAUGCUUGGAACUAUUAGGAAGCAUCCGCAACUACUAACAUUCACUAAGGUAAAACCCAACCAUAGCAUUAAGUUAUAUUGGUCCCCCUUCAAUCCCGUAUGCAUCAAUUUCUAUGUUAGGUAGAAGCUUCUGUCACUCUUGCCCUCCAAUACAUAGUCCUAUCAACAUACAACUAACCCUAUGGUGUGAUCCACGCGCGCGCUCAUAUGAUGGGCACCAAAGGACAGCAACAUAACACAAGCAAAUUAAAUCAAUCAUAGCAAUUCAUCAACCACCGAUAGGACAACGAAAAUCUACUCGGACAUCAUAGGAUGGCAACACAUCAUUGGAUAAUAAUAUGAAGCAUAAAGCACCAUGUUCAAGUAGAGGGUACAUCGGGUUGCGGGAGAGUGGACCGCUGUAGAUAGAGGGGGGAAGGUGAUGGAGAUGUUGGUGAAGAUGGCGGAGGUGUUGGUGUAGAUCGCGGUGAGGAUGAUGGCCAUGGCGGUGUUUCGGCGCCACCGGAAGAGAGGGGGAGAGGGGCCCCUUUCUUCUUCUUCUUCCUUGACCUCCUCCCUAGAUGGGAGAAGGGUUUCCCCUCUGGUCCUUGGCCUCCAUGGCAUGGGAGGGGCGAAAGCCCCUCCGAGAUUGGAUCUGUCUCUCUCUGUUUCUGCGUUCUGGGAUUCUGCCCUUUCACCGUUUCUUAUAUAUCCGGAGAUCCGUAACUCCGAUUGGAUUGAAACCUUCGCCAAGAUUUUUUUUCCCGAAAAUUAGCUUUCUUGCGGCCAAAGAAGAGCAGCAACCGCCUUACGGGGGGCCCACGAGGGUCAGGGGCGCGCCCCUGCCUCGUGGCCACCUCGGGCACCGUCUCGCGUUGAUUCUUCCUCCCAUAUUUUCCAAAUAUUCCAAAAAUAUUCUCCGUCCGUUUUUAUCCCGUUUGGACUCCGUUUGAUAUGGGGUUUCUGCGAAACAUAAAACAUGCAACAAACAGGAACUAGCACUGGGCACUGGAUCAAUAUGUUAGUCCCAAAAAUAAUAUAAAAAGUUGCCAAAAGUAUAUGAAAGUUGCAUAAUAUUGGCAUGGAACAAUCAAAAAUUAUAGAUACGACGGAGACGUAUCAAGCCUCAACACUCAUUAGACCGCAUACAUCAGUAUGUAUUAUUUCCAAUAAGUCAGUGGCUCGCUCCAUUGUUCCGGAGAACGGAGUUUUAGUCAUCUUGCCCAUGAGGCAUGGUUCGCAAGCAUCAAGUGAUUCAUAAUCAAGUGAUUCCAAAAGCCCAUCGCAUGGAGUUUCUUCAUGCGAUUUACACCAAUAUGACCUAAACGGCAGUGCCACAAAUAGGUUGCACUAUCAUUAUUAACUUUGUAUCUUUUGGCAUCAAUAUUAUGAAUAUGUGUAUCACUACGAUCGAUAUUCAAUAAACCAUUUAUAUUAAGUGUAUGACCAUAUAAGGUUUUAUUCAUGUAAACAGAAUGACAAUUAUUCUUUGACUUAAAUGAAUAACCGUAUUGCAGUAAACAUGAUCCAAUCAUAUUCAUGCUCAACGCAAACACAAAAUAACAUUUAUUUUAGGUUCAACACUAAUCCCGAAGGUAAAAGGAGUGUGCGAUGGUGAUCUUAUCAACCUUGGAAUCAUUUCCAAUAUACAUCGUCACCUUGUCCUUAACUAGUCUCUUUUUAUCUUGCAAGUCAUUUUUUCGAGUUACUACUCUUAGCUUCUGAACCAGUAUCAAAUACCGAGGGGUUGCUAUAAACACUAGUAAAGUACACAUCAAUAACUUGUAUAUCAAAUAUACCUUUGUUCACUUUGCCAUCCUUCUUAUCCGCCAAGUAUCUAGGGCAGUUCCACUUCCAGUGACCACUUCCUUUGCAGUAGAAGCACUCAGUUUCAGGCUUGGGUCUAGCUUUGGGCUUCUUCAUGGGAGUGGCAACUUGCUUGCCAUUCUUCUUGAAGUUCCCUUUAUUUUCCUUUGCCCUUUUACUUGAAACUAGUGGUCUUGUCAACCAUCAACACUUGAUGCUUUUUCUUGAUUUCUACCUUCGCCGACUUCAGUAUCGCGAAGAGCUUGGGAAUCGUUUUUGUCAUAUCCCUUGCAUAUUAUAGUUCAUCACGAAGUUCUAGUAACUUACUGAUAGUGACUAGAGAACUCUGUCAAUCACUAUCUUAUCUAGAAGAUUAACUCCCACUUGAUUCAAGCGAUUGUAGUACCCAGACAAUCUGAGCACAUGCUCACAAGCUGAGCUAUCACUAGUAUAGCGAGCUGCUAAACAAACAGUUUUUAACCCCUUUCCGCAACGGCAUUUGGAACCAUCGCCAAGUGAGUGUGGGCGAUAGGGGGGUCCUUCCCACACGACCCAGAAACUGUCGGGGAUAUGCCCUCCUGGCACACACGCUCGGCAAAAUGAGGCCGUGUGCGACCGGCGAGCGCUCAAAUAUGGAAAUACGUACAGUAGAGCUAAAAAAUACAAUUAUAGGGCGAAAUUGUUUCCGGUCGCAAGUACAUCCCACACAGUCAGUCCCCGCUAAACGUUUCAGUUCGUAUGUACAUCCCACAGAGUCGCUCCAAAGAAAACGUUUCCGUUCACAGGUACAACACACAAUUUUUCCUGUUAAAUCGUUUGCGUUAUUGAAUGUAUCACACACGGUCCGUAGAAAUUUUUUUGUGGCAAAGGCUGUUCAUCACACACAGUUUUUAUGUGGUAAACGUUUGCGCAAGGUGGCCUAACGCAAACAGUUUUCAAGAGAAAGUCGUGUGUGAUUGUUCAUUGAUCCAACACGGUUUAUUCCUAGAAACUGUGUGCGUUGCCUGAGGUCAUCGCGCACGGUAUUUUUUCAACAACCGUUUGCAAUAGCAAAACCCAAUUAGCAGGCUAAUUCGCCUAGCAGGCUAAUUAUCUGAUUAUUCAUAAUCCAUUUAUUAAUCUAAUUGACAUUUCAUAUUAAGCACAUAAUAUAUUUCAUCUUCAUAAUUGAAAUACAUCAGAGUACAACAUCAUAUAGCUUCGGCACUCAGCUACCCCGUUACACAACUACACCAGGACCAAGUUUCACAUGCAACAUCUAUAACCUUUCGAAAUUAGCAUCAUAGACGGUACAUACACAGAUGUAUCUCAUCUGGAAAACUGCUGAAGUAGAAGGCGAAUAUUGAGCCUUCAUUGCUGUUGAAGGUCUUUGUAACUUUAGGCCAGUGCCUGUGGAUGAUUGACCGUCCAUCCUUCGUCCUCUUCAGGAACACUUCAAUAUUGAACCGUGGGUGUUGUAUGAAUACCUUCCUCGCCUCCUGACCAUACAGGUGGUUUGAGAGGUAAUCAUCAAUGAACUGCUUUGGAAAGGCCUGAAAAUAAGGAUGUGCAUAAAUAUCUUCUCUAUAUUGGAAAUGGGGCAAAGGAAUAAAAAAGGCAAGGUAUAAUAGUUAGUACCAUCCUAUAGUGAACUGAUGUCUUCUUCAUUGUGCAGACAAAGAUCUUGUUGUUUUUUGUCACUAAUUUCUUUAUCCUAACAAUCUUUCCGAGUUUCUUGACUUGACUGAUAUUCAUGGAUAGCUCAUUUCAUCAUAUGCAAAAAGGGUCGAACAGUGGGUCAAAACCUCUGACAGCAGGACCUACAUGUGCAACCAAAUUGUUAAAAACCUAAAUAUUAGAAUGGUUCCUGCAAUUGCACAAUAAUGUGCUAUUAGACAACGGACCAUGCACGUGCUAACCUCGAUUGUAAACCUCAGUGCUUCCCAGUGUUUCCCUGCAACACAUAUAAGGUUAAGUAAGGGUUCACAUGCUAUCAAUAAAAUAUGUUGAUAAAAAAUAAACACAUUGCAUAUUCAUCAGAUUAUUUUAAGCCACACGGAAAACCCAUUUAUCCAAACCAAGCAUGAUUAAGAACUAGGAAAUAUAGCACUUGUAUAUGUUUCUCAUGUAUUAAGUGCAGCCAAAUUCGAUCUAUUCCUCACAUGCACAAAUACAAAAUUCUACCCACGACAAUUGGACAUCGCAUUGCAGAACUGAACCAAGCAGUUAACUGAACACCACAACAAAUGAACCAACAUUAACUGAGCACCACAUUGCACAAUAUAACAUACUCCUAAUAGAAGAUCAGACAGUUAACCAAACAGUUAACUACAUCCAAUUGUAGCAAUUGUAUUUGUUUCUCAUGUAUUUACUACAGCCAAAUUCAAUUUAUUCCUCACAUGGUAUACAAUAACAUAAUGCACCCACAACUAUUGAACAUCGCAUUGCAAAAUUGAACCAAACAGUUAACUAAACACCACAACACAAAUCAACCAAAUGUUAACUGAGCACCACAUUGCACAAUGUAUAACCAAACCAAGCAUGCUUGACAACUUGGAAACAUAGCAAUUGUAUUCGUUUCUCAUGUAUUUUGUAAAGAUAAAUUCUAUUUAUUUCUCACAUGGAAGAUAAUACAAAAUUGCAGCCUGAAGAAUUGAACAUCACAUUUGCAGAAUUGAAUCAAACAGUUAACUGAAGACGACAACUAAUUAAUAAAACAGUUAAUAACUGAGCACCACACUUCACGACAUAUAGAACAUAUACACUAGAGCAACAGAUUGUAUGGUAAAAUUAGAUAGCACAAUUCACUGGAAUUUGUGAAGGAAAGGCAGGAGCAGCACAUGCAACGGGUAAACCGAGCAUGCUUAACCGGCGUAGCUAGCAAAUGGCAAGGUGCUCCUUUAAGAUCUGGGGGUCGGCACGAAUGGAAGCCAUCGUGACCUCAUCCGCACGUGCGGCCGCGAUUUGCUUCUCCGCUGCCAAAUGCUCCUUGAGAUCCUGGCUAUACUGCGUGCACCCUUGCCUGAGAAGCAACAGUGGCCGUUUGGGCUGCCUUUGCCGCCCGGACGCAGAGUGCGGUCGCCCUCACGAAGCUUGUUAGCACGCGCCUGGCGGGUGCGGCCGCGCUCUCGCCGGAGUGGGCCGCCGAAGUUGCCCGCACUACAUGGGUCCACGUCCCCAUCUUUCAUCGGCGAUGAAUGAAUAAUGAAAUGAUAUUUGGGGAGUGAGCUAGUGUGCUUGACAUGCCGGCUGUGGACUGUAGCCGACGCACCUUCUCUCGUAAGCCAUAGGCGUACUAUAACACCGACGAUGCUCCAACAUAUUUUGUGCUGCAUCUCACACGGUUGGUGAUAAUAAACUGUGUGCGAUCUACUUGAUUUAUCGUCUUGAUUUGAAUUACGUAAUGGGGUCACAGCUACAAAGGAUGGUGUUUGAAUUGUUAGAACUUUUAUCUGCAGUGAACAUGCAACUAUAGGUGUGUCAUAAAAAAAUUUGGAAUUUUUCGGGGUUCGUUUGGACGUUUCUAUAUUGGUUUUGUAGGCAUUUCAGGUGCAUAAUUCUAAUUUCAACUACAUGCACAUGCUCCAGUGCAUAUAAAUGGGUUGAAAAAUCAAAUAUGUGUCCUUGGUUGCAUGCUCAGGUCUAAUGCAAGAAAUGGGAAUGAAUGUCACACACCCUCCCACUGCCACUCGGCCGCAAACAUUGAGAUACCUGGUUUUUAAAUUCUAGUAAAUCUAAAACUCGUUUGAAAUUCAUGAAACUUGGCAUGCUAUCAUGGAGCGGCAUCAAUAUGCCGUGGUAAAAUUUUUGUCCCAUUUGGGGCAGAUUUGGGUAUAAGCUUCUCACAAACCAGAGCUUCUCACAACAAGCGUGAUGGUUUCGGUAGGGAACGUGCUACCUUUGGGGACGAAACAAUAUCCGUUGCCUCUUAUUGCUUUAAAAAAAAUUCGAGUGUCAACAUAGAACAACAGGAGUGUUGUGUUCAAUUUUGGAAUUUUUCGGGGUUCGUUUGGACAUUUUUAUACAUUAAUUGGGUUUUCCAGGCAUUUUAUGCGCAUAAUUCAAAUUUGAACUACAUGCACAUUCUCCGGUGCAUAUAAAUUGGUUGAAAAAUCAAAUAUGUGUCCUUGGGUGCAUGCUUAGGUCCCAUGCAAGAAAUGGGAAUGAAUUUCAAACACCCUGCCACCGUCACUCGACCGCAAACAUUGAGAUACUUGGUUUUUAAAUUCUAGUAAAUCCAAAACUCAUCUGAAAUUCAUGAAACUUGGCAUGCUAUCAAGGAGCGUCAUCAACAUGUCGUGCUAAUUUUUUUGUCCCAUUUGGGGCAGGUUUGGGUAUAAGCUUCUCACAAACCAGAACUUCUCACAACAAGCGUGAUGGUUUCGUUAUGAAACAUGCCACCUUUGGGGACGAAACGAUAUCCGUUGCCUCUUAUUGCUUUCAAAAAAUUUAGAGUGUCAACAUAGAACAACAGGAGUGUUGUGGUCAAUUUUAGAAUUUUUCAGGGUUCGUUUGGACAUUUUUAUACAUUAACUGGGUUUUCCAGGCAUUUUAUGCGCAUAAUUCAAAUUUGAACUACACGCAGAUUCUCCAGUGCAUAUAAACUAGUUGAAAAAUCAAAUAUGUGUCCUUGGUUGCAUGCUUAGGUCCCAUGCAAGAAAUGGGAAUAAAUUUCAAACACCCUGCCACCGUCACUCAACCGCAAACAUUGAGAUACCUGGUUUUUAAAUUCUAGUAAAUCCAAAACUCGUCUGAAAUUCAUGAAACUUGGCAUGCUAUCAUGGAGCGGCAUCAACAUGCUGUGGUAAAUUUUUUGUCCCAUUUGGGAUAGGUUUGGGUAUAAGCUUUUCACAAACCAGAACUUCUCACAACAAGCGUGAUGGUUUCGGUAGGGAACGUGCCACCUUUAGGGACGAAAAUAUCCGUUGCCUCUUAUUGCUUUCAAAAAAUUUCAAGUGUCAACAUAGAACAACAAGAGUGUUGUGUUCAAUUUUGGAAUUUUUGGGGUUCGUUUGGACAUUUUUAUACAUUAACUAGGUUUUCCAGGCAUUUUCUGCGCAUAAUUCAAAUUUGAACUACAUGCACAUUUUUCCAGUGCAUAUAAACUGGUUGAAAAAUCAAAUAUAUGUCCUUGGGUGCAUCAACAUGCCGUGGUAAAAAAAUUGUCAGCUUCCCCAGGUUUAAUUCAGUUUCCUCAGUUUAAUUUGAUUUUUAAAUAUAAAACACUCAUCGCAAACGUUUUAGUUAUAACACCCGUAUGCAAACCGACAGCUUCCCCAGGAAGCCAAGGGAAAAUGUGCCGAGCAGGAUUUGUGCAGCUCUUGAUCGCAAACGUUUUAGAUAGAAUACCCGUAUGCAGAGUGAGGGCAGCGCAGGAUUUAUGCAUCCCUUCAACGCAAACGGUUGUUUUGGAUGACCCAUGUGCAACCACGUACAAACAAUUUGGUAAGAUUUGCAUCUGUCAUAUUGAAUAUGUUGCCAUUUGUUAAACUGAAAAGAUUUACAUUUAUUGAGCUAGUAACAUUGCCAUUUGUCAAUCUUUUUAACACUGCGAUUUGUCAAAAUAUGCAGCAAGAAAUCAUUAGCGCUAUCUAAUUUUUGCAACUAAAAUUCAGCAAUUAAGCAUAGAUUUCAUUCAUAGAUUAAGCAGUCGUUCUUAAUUUAUACAAAUAGUUUAACUCGACAGCUGAACCGACCAAACUUCUUCUUGAUUAUUGCCAACCACGUACUGAAAUAGCUAGUUCAACUAUAUAUAUACUAGCUAAUUUUAAGUACGUUGUACAGUUCGACCACACAUCUAUAGUCAGAUGAACUGAACAAAAUAGCCUCUAAAUAAUACUACUACCACGGAGGGGCUUUGUGCUACUUCCGGCAGCCUCUCCUCUGCCGAGCGCGCUCACCCGCUCACUAAGAGGCAGAGGAGGAGGAGUGGUCAAUUGUAAAUGUAGUGGAAUAUUUUGCCCUGUCGAAUUCUCCACAGGGACUAGGCGACGGCAACUAAGCUCAGCUAAAGCUAGGUAACACGAUAUUGUGUGAUGAAAACAGAAAAUAAACUAACACUAACAAGGAUAUAAACAAAGGAAAUGACACAGAAACAAACGGGGGUUUAGAUUGUACUCUCAGUCUUUUUGGUAUUAUCGUUUUACUUGAGAAAGUAGACACUGACACAAGCGUACAAAUAUGACCAAAGGGAAACAACAAUACUAGAACACAUGUUUAUCUAACAUGUAGCAGAGAGAAGAAUCAUGAAUAUAGGACAGAAGAUAGAUUUUCCUCAUCACAAACACACACAUAUUUAUAUAGCACAUACAUUUAUCUUACAAGAACUUGAGCUAAUACAUGGACUACAAAACUGAAUAUAUUUCUGCAGAAAAGGAAACACACUGUGACAACACAUACAUGAACUGGAAUUACGUAAAUUCAGUGCAAAUGACAAACAUACAUGUACCACACAGGUGACAAAUAUAACAUUCGCGAACUUAUUUUAUAUAGGUGCAUCAACUAGUCGGAUCCUAGAACACAUACACUAUAUUAUACAAGUACUAAAUCCUGCGAAUUAAAGAGAGAGAAAGAGAUAGAAACUGCAGCAGCGAGUUGGGGAUUCAGAGAAGGACAGCAGGGUCGUUUUCUUUAGAAAGGAACAACAGCAAGGAAGGGGAACAACAGCAGCAUGGAGGCUUGGAGAAGAAGCAGCAGCAAAUGGAGAAGAUUCAGAGUAGCGAGGGAAAGAAGAAGGGCAGCAGCGAGGCAGGGGAAGAAGAGAAGCAACAGGGGCGAAGCAAGAGGGAGGAGCAGCAGCAGGAGACAUGGGCAAGGAGCAGCAGAGAGGUGUGGGAAGAAGAAGAAGCAGCAGCAAGCAGAGAGCAGAGGAAGGAAGAGGCAGGGAGGUGCGUGUGGUGGAUGGAGUGCUCGCGCGGGGCACCAGACACACCCGCUGCUUUGUCUCGCAGGGCGCGCGAGGUGGUGGUGGUGAUGGCGGCAGGAGGUGAUGGUGGCGCUGGGUGUUGGUGAUGGUGAUGGAUGGCGCUGGUGGGUGAUGGUGUGAUGGUGGUGCUAGUGGAUAGAUGGGCUGCGGAGGCGCACCACCACGCCGGCCUGGCCGUGGCGGCGGCCGGAGGUGGAGUAGGAGGGGUGAGGGAGAGAUGUGUAGCCAGGCCCGAUCCAAAAUUGAGGCGUGCUAGGGAUUUUGAUCCCCUCCCUGAUCUGCCAUUUUGCACUUUUGCCCUCCUUCUUCUCUUCCUCAGCCUCAAGUAGAUCCCUUUCUUCUUUAGUUUUGGCCCUCCGUUUCUUUAAUUCUUCAUACUCGAGUCCCCCCUUAUCUUCUAUUAGCCCUCGGUCUUGUAUCCUCUUUCUUUGUAGACAAAAUCUUCAAGUUUAUAGUGCCUUAUCGCACUUUUCUGCAAAAUAAACAAACGACUAGUCACAAUCUCUUUUAUGAUUAUCAAUCGAAUAUUCAAUAAUUCUCAGCAAGAAUAGAUGGACACAUCUCAAGAAAUGGUGAAUUUGUGUGUCAAAAUUAUAUAUAUGAAAUGUGCUUAUUAAGGAGCCUACCGACGAGCUGGUCAAAUGCAAUACGGUGCAUGCCGCUGCUACACGUUCAGCGACGCUCGCCAGCGUGAACGCCCACUGCCGCUCCAGACGACCCCUCUCGAAGUGGCCGGACUACUCGUAGAUCUCCUGAUUCCUCACCUCUGCGUCGGCGUGUGUGAUACGUCUCCAACGUAUCUAUAAAUUUUUAUUGCUUAAUGCUAUAUUAUAUUCUAUUUUGGAUGAUUAAUGGGCUUUGUUAUACACUUUUAUAUUAUUUCUGGGACUAACCUAUUAACCGGAGGCCCAGCCCAAAUUGCUGUUUUUUUGCCUAUUUCAGAGUUUCGCAGAAAAAUAAUAUCAAACGGAGUCCAAACGGAAUGAAACCUUCGGGAACGUGAUUUUCGGAACAAACGUGAUCCAGAGGACUUGGAGUCUACGUCAAGAAAUCAACCAGGAGAGCACGAGGCAGGGGGCGCGCCCUCCACCCUUGUGGGGCACACGUUGCUCCACCGACGUACUUCUUCCUCCUAUAUAUACCUACGUACCCCCAAACCAACAGAAGCAUCCACGAAAACCUAAUUCCACCGCCGCAACCUUCUGUACCCGUGAGAUCCCAUCUUGGGGCCUUUUCCGGCGUCCUGCCGGAGGGGGCAUCGAUCACGGAGGGCUUCUACAUCAACACCAUAGCCUCUCCGAUGAUGUGUGAGUAGUUUACCUCAGACCUUCGGGUCCAUAGUUAUUAGCUAGAUGGAUUCUUCUCUCUCUUUGGAUCUCAAUACAAAGUUCUCCACGAUUCUCGUGGAGAUCUAUUCGAUGUAAUCUUCUUUUGCGGUGUGUUUGUUGAGACCGAUGAAUUGUGGGUUUAUGAUCAAGUUUAUCUAUGAACAAUAUUUGAAUCUUCUCUGAAUUCUUUUAUGUAUGAUUGGUUAUCUUUGCAAGUCUCUUCGAAUUAUCAGUUUGGUUUGGCCUACUAGAUUGAUCUUUCUUGCAAUGGGAGAAGUGGUUAGCUUUGGGUUCAAUCUUGCGGUGUCCUUUCCCAGUGACAGCAGGGGCAGCAAGGCACGUAUUGUAUUUUUGCCAUCGAGGAUAACAAGAUGGGGAUUAUAUCAUAUUGCAUGAGUUUAUCCCUCUACAUCAUGUCAUCUUGCUUAAAGCGUUACUCUGUUCUUAUGAACUCAAUACUCUAGAUGCAUGCUAGAUAGCGGUCGAUAUGUGGAGUAAUAGUAGUAGAUGCAGGCAGGAGUCGGUCUACUUGUCACGGACGUGAUGCCUAUAUACAUGAUCAUACCUAGAUAUUCUCAUAACUAUGCUCAAUUCUAUCAGUUGCUCAACAGUAAUUUGUUCACCCACCGUAAUACUUAUGCUCUCGAGAAGCCACUAGUGAAACCUAUGGCCCCCGGGUCUAUUUUCCAUCAUAUUAAUCUUCCAACACUUAGCUAUUCUUAUUGCCUUUUAUUUUACUUUGCAUCUUUAUUAUAAAAAUACCAAAAAUAUUAUCUUAUCAUAUCUAUCAGAUCUCACUUUCGUAAGUGACCGUGAAGGGAUUAACAACCCCUUUAUUGCGUUGGUUGCGAGGUUUUUAAUUGUUUGUGUAGGUGCGAGGGACUUGGGCAUGGCCUCCUACUGGAUUGAUACCUUAGUUCUCAAAAACUGAGGGAAAUACUUACGCUACUUUGCUGCAUCACCCUUUCCUCUUCAAGGGAAAACCAACGCAGUGCUCAAGAGGUAGCAAGAAGGAUUUCUGGCGCUGUUGCCGGGGAGGCCUACACCAAGUCAAGUCAAGAUUUGACUCCCGACAACGAGCCAUUUCUGGCGCCGUUGCCGGGGAGUUUACGCAAAAGUCAACAUACCAAGUACCCAUCACAAACUCUUAUCCCUCGCAUUACAUUAUUUGCCAUUUGCCUCUCGUUUUCCUCUCCCCCACUUCACCCUUGCCGUUUUAUUCGCCUUUUUCCCGUAUGCCUUUUUGUUUGUGUUUCCACGUGCCUUCUAUUUGCUUGCUAAAAAUCUAUUGAUAUGGAUCCACUUAAAGUGUUUUACUUGGAUCAUCUUCGAUCCUUAUGCGCUCGUGCUGAAACCCCAACUAGCCUAGUUGAUGGGAAAUCUUUAGAUGAGCAUGCUCAUUUUGUGCGUCACCGUUUGUCUGAAAAAGGGAAACUUUUAUGGAAUCAAAUAAACAAAUUGUUGUGUUAUGCUUGGAAUCUUUGUGAAAUUUGUGAUAUUACUUGUUGCUCUAAGAACCCUAAAAAACACCUUCCCUACCUAUGUGAGUUUUAUGAAAAUAAAAUAUUAUCUUCUUAGCAAAGGGUGUUUAUAGCUACUAUGAUAUCGAACAAAUUGAAGAAUUUGUUGCUUUUAAGGGUUCCUAUGAAGUUGCUUCUUUGAUUGAAAAGUAUGAUACUACUCUUUACGAAUCUGAAAAUCUUGACAUACUUGAAUAUUGCUAUGAAAACUAUGCUCAUAAUGUCUAUGUCAAAGAAUUUAUUGAAAGAAUGACCGUUGCUUCUAAAGAAAAUAAUGAUAUGCACGAAUCUAUAGAUAAUUAUGAUUCCGAUGAUUUGAUUGAAAUAUCCCUUGAUGAACAUGAUGCUUGCUAUCCUUAUGGCCAUGAUGCCAAUAUUUAUGAAGAUGAAUUUGCUAUAGUUCCUUAUGUUAAACAUGAGAUCGUUUCUAUUGCACCCAUACUUGGUAGUUCCUUUGAUGAAAAGCAUGAUUGCAAUAAUUUUACUAUAUAUUUUCUUAAUGUCAAUUGUGUUAAUAAUAUGCAAAACCCUAAGCUUGGGGAUGCUAGUUUUGUUAUGUAUACUACUUGUUGCAAUGAUCAUGAUUGGGGUGAUUCUUCUUAUGAUCUUGAAAAUUUAUUUAAACCCCAUGAUGAAUAUGAGAUUGAUAAUAGUGUUUGCAAUAAUAUUGAAAGUGGGUUUGGGAGAGUGUCAACUUUAGAUCCCACAUAUUUGGAGAAUGUUCAAUCUUAUGAUCUUUUUAAUAAAAGUGGGUUUGGAGAGGUCAUGUCUUCAGUUAAUGUUGAUCCCACUAUUUUGGAAGAGUGUCAACUUCGCAUGCAUGUGGAUCAUGUUGAAAAUAUUUUAUGUGAUAGCUAUUUUGUUAAAUUUUCUUAUGAUCCCACAUGUAAUUAUUAUGAGAGAGGAAAAUAUGGUUAUAGAAAUUUUCAUCUCACUAAAUUUCCUCUCGUUAUGUUGAGAUUGCUAUUGUUUCUUUCCUCUCCCUUGCAUAUGCUAGUUUUUGCUUGCUAUGAUAAUUUGUUUGCCUAUAAGAUGCCUAUGCAUAGGAAGUAUGUUAGACUUAGAUGUGUUUUUCACAUGCUUUAUGAUGCUCUCUUUGUGCUUCAAUUCUUGUCUUUCAUGUGAGCAUCAUCGAAAUUAUCAAUGCCUAGCUAGGGGCGUUAAACGAUAGCGCUUGUUGGGAGGCAACCCAAUUUUAUUUUUAGUUUUUUUGCUUUUUGCUUCUGUUUAGGAAUAAAUCUUUGAUCUAGCCUCUUUUUAGAAUUGUUUUUAUGUUUUAAUUAGUGUUUGUGCCAAGUUAAACCUAUAGGAUCUUCUUGGAUGAUAGUUAUUUGAUCUUGCUGAAAAUUCCAAAAACUUUCUGUUCACGAAAACAAUUAUUAAAAAUCACCAGAACGUGAUAAAAUACUGAUUCCAAUUGUGCUGAUCAAUAAACAAAUUUUCUAGGUCUUCCUAUUUUGGUAGAUUUUUUGGAGUUCGAGAAGUUUGCGUUAGUUACAGAUUACUACAGACUGUUCGGUUUUUGACAGAUUCUGUUUUUCGUGUGUUGUUUGCUUAUUUUGAUGAAUCUAUGGCUAAUAAAAUAGUUUAUAAACCAUAGAGAAGUUGGAAUACAGUAGGUUUAACACCAAUAUAAAUAAAGAAUGAGUUCAUUACAGUACCUUGAAGUGGUGUUUUGUUUUCUUUCGCUAACGGAGCACACGAGAUUUUCUAUUAAGUUUUGUGUUGUGAAGUUUUCAAGUUUUGGGUAAAAGAUUUGAUGGAUUAUGGAACAAGGAGUGGCAAGAGCCUAAGCUUGGGGAUUCCCAUGGCACCCCAAGAUAAUCUAAGGACACCAAAAAGCCAAAGCUUGGGGAUGCCCCGGAAGGCAUCCCCUCUUUCGUCUACUUCCAUCGGUAACUUUACUUGGAGCUAUAUUUUUAUUCACCACAUGAUAUGUGUUUUGCUUGGAGCGUCUUCUAUGAUUUGAGUCUUUGCUUUUUAGUUUACCACAAUCAACUUUGCUGUACACACAUUUUGAGAGAGACACACAUGAUUCGGAAUUUAUUAGAAUACUCUAUGCGCUUUGCUUAUAUCUUUUGAGCUAUAUAGUUUUUGCUCUAGUACUUCACUUAUAUCUUUUAGAGCACGUAGUGGUUUUGUUUUAUAGAAAAUAUUAUUCUCUCAUGCUUCACUUAUAUUAUUUUGAGAGUCUUAAACAGCAUGGUAAUUUGCUUAAAUUGGGAAAUUAAUCCUAAUAUGUUAGGUAUUCAAGACUAGUAAAAAACUUUCUUAUGAGUGUGUUGAAUUCUAAGAGAAGUUUGAUGCUUGAUGAUUGUUUUGAGAUAUGGAGGUAGUGAUAUUAAAGUUGUGCUAGUUGAGUAGUUGUGAAAUUGAGAAAUACUUGUCUUGAAGUUUGCAAGUCCCGUAGCAUGCACGUAUGGUAAACGUUAUGUAACAAAUUUGAAACAUGAGGUGUUCUUUGAUUGUCUUAUGAGUGGCGGUCGGGGACGAGCGAUGGUCUUUUCCUACCAAUAUAUCCCCCUAGGAGCAUGCGCGUAGUGCUUGGUUUUUGAUGACUUGUAGAUUUUUGCAAUAAGUAUGUGAGUUCUUUAUGACUAAUGUUGAGUCCAUGGAUUAUACACACCCUUACCCUUCCAUCAUUGCUAGCCUCUUCGGUACCGUGCAUUGCCCUUUCUCACAUUGAGAGUUGGUGCAAACUUCGCCAGUGCAUCCAAACCCCGUGAUAUGAUACGCUCUGUCACACAUAAACCUCCUUAUAUCUUCCUCAAAACAUCCACCAUACCUACCUAUUAUGGCAUUUCCAUAGCCAUUCCGAGAUAUAUUUCCAUGCAACUUUCCACCGUUCCGUUUAUCAUGACACGUUCAUCAUCGUCAUAUUGCUUUGCAUGAUCAUGUAGUUGACAUCGUAUUUGUGGCAAAGCCACCGUUCAUAAUUUUUCAUACAUGUCACUCUUGGUUCAUUGCCUAUCCCGGUAUAUCGCCGGAGGCAUUCAUAUAGAGUCAUACUUUGUUCUAGUAUCGACUUGUAAUCAUUGAGUUGUAAAUAAAUAGAAGUGUGAUGAUCAUCAUUCAUAGAGCUUCAGCGUGCGAUGUGCGACCUCAUCCCCACGUCAUCUGGCGAUGUCAUGAUAUAUUUUCCUAGAGCUUCCGCAUCAUCCGGCCUCUUAAGCUUCUCCAUCAAAAUCCCUGGCCGAUUGAUUUUCCUUGCUCAUAUUCGUCUUCUUCCCUCGAGCCUUUCCCCUUCCAUAUCUUUUCCAAUCCCCAAUCAAUUACCAUAUGGCUCCCUCGCUUCUUAUUCCUUCUAUUAACAAUCUCCCUUUACUUGUCGCUUUGGCUACAUAUAUAUCUCAACUGAUUAGCUUGCUUCCAUGGCUAGAACUACAAGGUGUCAAAUUCAACAGGGAUUUAGUUGGCGGGAAGGAUCCAUGGUGGUGUUGGACUGGUGGCAAAGGUAGCCGGUUCAUUGGGUAUUGUCGCCGCUGCUAGCUAUUACAUCAUCGUCUGCAUCAUCAACAUAACCGACCAAUCGGCACCCUCGACGGCAACACUAUUGCACAAACGUUGACGGGGUCAGGUAGUGUGCAAGCGCAGGUACAGAUUGAUGGGCGCCCUCUACCAGCACAACUGUAGUAGUCCAUGGCGUCGGGCAACAUGCAAGCUCUGCUGCAGAUCGAUAGUUCAUAGUUGAAGCGGCAGGAAAGGCAUGCAACCAGAAGGUGCUCCUUUUUUACUUUCGGCUGCCCACUUCCUUCAGUUAUUUGUUGCUCCUCCUCUCCCCCAAUUAAUCAUGUGCAGAACAUUUUUGCUACUUAAUUUCAAAUCUUGGAAUCUUCUAUUCUAUUGUUAUUAUGUAAAUUCUGGGGAGGCAAAUUCAUUUCGGUUUCUGAUGUUGUCGAGUACUAUCAGUGGCAAAUCUGUUUUCUGUCCUUGAAAAUUUCUGAUGGCGUGGUCAUGGACCAGGCUCUGAUCGUCGUUCAUGUCCUUAAAAAAAAUUUGUUGUCUAAUUUUUGGAUCAGGCUCUGUUAGUUCAUUGGUUUUUUUGGUUUGUUUCCAGGUCCCCGCGCCUUCCUGUUAUGGUGUGCCACACGAUUUCCUCAAGUGCUUCUUCGUGGAGUCUGUAGGCGGAGAACUGGAGGAAGGUGAACAGCAGUGAGCAGAGCUACAACUCUUUCUAUUCUCUCACUCGUUUUCUUCCUGUCUGCCUCCCUCCACAUCUCUUUUUCCAGGAGGGUGAAGGAUGGACUGCGGUUGACAUUUAUUAGGUUGGAUUAGAUAUGCUAAAUUAUCUGAUUACCAUGGUCACCAAGGCACUUAGAUGUAUAUAUGCUUGGCCAUAGAAGUCCUCCCUCUAUAUGUUGUGUCGUUCAGUUUUCCUCUGUUUCAACCUGCCGCCAUGAAAUAGCUGAUUGUCCCUACAGUUGCUUGCUAUGUGAUCCAUGGUGUUGCUACCUUGCAUAAGUACAUAUUAUUGGCUCCUUUUCCCUACCACACUAAUAGGUUAGUACAAUUAUUUGAUUGAUUGCGCAUGCAGUUUCAUUAUUAUUUUUCCUUUCAAUUUCAUCAUGCUAUUACAAGUAUAUGAUAUAUAUUCUUAUGACAUGUGUAGUUCUAUGUAGAUUUCCUUUUAUCAGAUACUGUUGGAAUUGGGUGGUUAAGAAAUAAUUUUACAUAAAGGAUCAAGAAACAAUGGUUGCUCAUUUUCUGUUAUGUUCCCAUAUACUAUUAUCAAAUUUAUUUAUGUAGGAUCUCAAAGGUUUGUAAUUUUCUUUAAUCUUGGAUAGAAGUCUUCACCUCUACCAUGUAAUUUGUUCUUUCCUUCUGUCUAAUAAUGUAGGAAUAAUUAACAAUCGAGAAUAAAAAUGUUAUUAUGCUGACCCGAUUCUUGCUAACAGUUUUAAAGCACACACUAACUUCUGGUGUUUGUUUCAAUCUAGCACCUUUCUUUGUAAGAUAAAGCAUAUAAACUUCUCUAUGUACUUCAGGUACAUGGUGAUUAAAACGAAUUAUGAGAAUACUAUUCCUUAAAAGAUUAUAGAGUGUGUGUUUUAUCUAAACUCGCAACUACUGAACUUUGUGUUGGGGAAUGCAGUAUUUCAAAAAAAAUUACCUACGAUCACGCAAGAUCUAUCUAGGUGAUGCAUAGCAACGAGCGGGGAGAGUGUGUCCACGUACCCUCAUAGACCGAAAGCGGAAGCGUUUAGUAACACGAUUGAUGUAGUCGAACGUCUUCGCGAUCCAACCGAUCCAAGCACCGAACGUACGACACCUUCGUGUUCAGCACACGUUCAGCUCGAUGACGUCCCUUGAGCUCUUGAUCCAGUUGAGGACGAGGGAGAGUUCCAUCAGCACGACGGCGUGGCGACGGUGAUGAUGAAGUUACCGGUGUAGGGCUACGCCUAAGCACUACAACGAUAUGACCGAGGUGUGUAACUGUGGAGGGGGGCACCGCACACGGCUAAGACAAUUAAUCUUGUGUGUUCUAGGGUGCCUCCCUGCCCCGGUAUAUAAAGGAGAGGAGGGGAAGGCCGACCGGCACUGUAGGGCACGCCACGAGAGGGGAGUCCUACUAGGACUCCAAGUCCUAGUAGGAUUCCACCUGAGAAAAGGGGGAAGAAGGAAGGGAGAGGGAGAAGGGAAGGAAAGGGGCGCCGCCCCCUUCCCCUAGUCCAAUUCAGACCCAAGGGGGGGGCAUCCCCCUUGAGGCCCUUCUCUCUCCCCACUAAGGCCCAUCAUGGCCCAUUAGUUCCCCCGGGGGGUUCCGAUAACCCUCCGGCACUCCGAUAAUUAUUCGUUACCUCUCGGAACUCAUCCGGUAACCGAAGGCCCAACCCAAAUUGUCGUUAUUUGCCUAUUUCAGAGUUUCGCAGAAAAAUAAUAUCAAACAGAGUCCAAACAGAAUGAAAGCUUCGGGAACGUGAUUUUCGGAACAAACGUGAUCCAGAGGACUUGGAGUCUACGUCAAGAAAUCAACCAGCUGAGCACGAGGAAGGGGGCGCGCCUACCCACCUGGGUGCGCCCUCCACCCUCAUGGGGCCCACGUUGCUCCACCGACGUAUUUCUUCCUCCUAUAUAUACCUACGUACCCCCAAACCAACAGAAGCAUCCACGAAAACCUAAUUCCACCGCCGCAACCUUCUGUACCCGUGAGAUCCCAUCUUGGGGCCUUUUCCGGCGUCCUGCCAGAGGGGGCAUCGAUCACGGAGGGCUUCUACAUCAAGACCAUAGCCUCUCCGAUGAUGUGUGAGUAGUUUACCUCAGAACUUCGGGUCCAUAGUUAUUAGCUAGAUGGCUUCUUCUCUCUUUUUGGAUCUCAAUACAAUGUUCUCCCCCUCUCUUGUGGAGAUCUAUUCGAUGUAAUCUUCUUUUGCGGUGUGUUUGUUGAGACCGAUGAAUUGUGGGUUUAUGAUCAAGUUUAUCUAUGAACAAUAUUUGAAUCUUCUCUGAAUUCUUUUAUGUAUGAUUGGUUAUCUUUGCAAGUCUCUUUGAAUUAUCAGUUUGGUUUGGCCUACUAGAUUGAUCUUUCUUGCAAUGGGAGAAGUGCUUAGCUUUGGGUUCAAUCUUGCGGUGUCCUUUCCCAGUGACAGCAGGGGCAGCAAGGCAUGUAUUGUAUUGUUGCAUCGAGGAUAACAAGAUGGGGUUUAUAUCAUAUUGCAUGAGUUUAUCCCUCUACAUCAUGUCAUCUUGCUUAAAGUGUUACUCUAUUCUUAUGAACUCAAUACUCUAGAUGCAUGCUGGAUAGCGGUCGAUGUGUGGAGUAAUAGUAGUAGAUGCAGGCAGGAAUCGGUCUACUUGUCACGGACGUGAUGCCUAUAUACAUGAUCAUACCAAGAUAUUCUCAUAACUAUGCUCAAUUCUAUCAGUUGCUCAACAGUAAUUUGUUCACCCACCGUAAUACUUAUGCUCUCGAGAGAAUCCACUAGUGAAACCUAUGGCCCCCGGGUCUAUUUUCCAUCAUAUUAAUCUUCCAACACUUAGCUAUUUUUAUUGCCUUUUAUUUUACUUUGCAUCUUUAUUAUAAAAAUACCAAAAAUAUUAUCUUAUCAUAUCUAUCAGAUCUCACUUUCGUAAGUGACCGUGAAGGGAUUGACAACCCCUUUAUUGCGUUGGUUGUGAGGUUUUUAAUUGUUUGUGUAGGUGCGAGGGACUUGGGCAUGGCCUCCUACUGGAUUGAUACCUUGGUUCUCAAAAACUGAGGGAAAUACUUACGCUACUUUGCUGCAUCACCCUUUCCUCUUCAAGGGAAAACCAACGCAGUGCUCAAGAGGUAGCAGUGUGCUGCGGCCACGGCUGCGGUAAGGCUCUUUGCGUGCUCGAUGAGGCGCUCCUCCUCCUCCUCCCGCAGGAACUCGAUGUAGAGCGCAAGGUCGCUGACGCACGUGUGGGCCUCCACCUCUGUCUCCCGCCUUCGGGCCGCGGCGGCGGAGCGGGUGAUAAUCCCGGCGGUCAACGGUGGGCUGGCGUCCAUGGCGGCCAUGACCACCACCUCCCGCCUUCGGGCCGCGGUGGCGGAGCGGGUGAUGGCCACGGUGGCCGGCAGUGGGGUGGCGGCCACGAUGGCCACCUCCCGCCUUCAGGCCGCGGCGGCGGAGUGGGAGAUGGCCCUGACUUUCGACGGUGGUGUGGCGGCAACGGCGGCCGGCAACAGCUGCCGACGGGCAGCGGCGGCGGAGCGUGUGGUGGGUGUUCCGCGCACACCCAACAGGGACGCCACACGCACUACACUACGCCGGGGACUGCGCCGCUGCCGCGGUGUAGCCUCCCAGCUGGAGCUGUCCUUUGAUGACGGCGGAGUGGCUGAGCGACGACGACGGACCGGUGCCAUUGGCGAUUGUGGGAGAAGCAGACGAAAUAAGCUAUAGGGAGGGAGGGGAAAAUGCGACGCAUGACUCGCUGGCCGUGAGGGUUUUUAUAGCAGGCCGGUAAGCAUUGGGAUUUUGGGGGAUUUCAUCGAGUCGGGCGGGAAGCUUGCGCGGGAACCUGCGAGGUUGCGCGGGAACGGGCUCACCGACGAUUCAUUGGCGCCACCGUUUGGCCAAAAGAACGCCCCCGCGCACUGCGCAAGCUUGCGCUGUAAGCCGUCUGUGGCAGCAGGGUGACAAGACGUGCGAGAGGAGGACGAGAGGACACGUACACAUACAGUUAAUAAAAAAAAUUUGCGAUUUAAUUACCUACUAUACCCCCCUCCUGGUUUAUAAGUAGGAUUUAACUAAUAAAAUACGAAUGCAUGUCGCCAAAAAUUAUAUCGUUGGAGUCGUAUUUGAACAUAGUUUCCAGCUAUACAAUUUUUGUAACAUGCAUGAACACUUUUUUGGUUAAAUUUAAGGUUGUAUACCAGCAAGCGUUUUCCUACAACACACACGGCUUAUUCCAUCACAAAUAGCUCAGAUGGAUUAACUGUAUGCCACAUAUCGCACACGCAACUCUAAUUUGAUUCGUACUUGAUGUCUCCGACAUCGCUCGUGCAGUUCGUCUUAUUUGCCACAUAUCACUAUGCCAUCCUCUGCUCGCAUCCCUCGGCAAGCUCUGCUCGCCGUUAGGCGCCGCGACGCACUCUGUCGCGUCCGUUGGCGCGCUCUACUCGCGUCCGUUGGCGCGCUCGGCUUGUGGACAACUUUUUCUUGCGCGUUCAACUGCUAUAUGCAUAUAUAUAUAUAUGGUUGCUCACCGUUGAGGCGACCGCGGAGCGCUCUGCUCGCGUCCCUCCGCGCGCGCUCUGCCUACGGUUGGGCGUGCGCACGAUCACGUCGGGGGGCCCAUAUGCAUGCGGUUGCGCCGCGCGUGUUGCCACGCGAUGCAGUUACGUGCGGCACGAUUGAGUUACGCGCUGCAAAUUAGAACUGCCAUCAGGGCCUGCCAAUAUUCCUCGCCGUCCGGCUUCCGCUUUAAUUCCCGCGGCCAUUAUAACCUUAGUCUAUUCAACCUUUCGAUCGCGCCCCACAACACAACAAGCACACCCACGACGACACAUAGAGAGGGGAUGUCCAGCGGCGCUCCAAUGGAGUUCGGCGAGCAUAGAGUGGAGACCCACGCGAGGGAGACGGAUCUCUCAGUGGUGUACACCAUCAACCCGGCCGUGGUGGACGACUACAUCAACAGCGUUGAGAAGUUGCUUGCUGGAGACAAGUACAACGUGGUCGGCAUCGACCUCCAGUACACCGUCGGUCAUCUCGGCAUAGAUCAGAAGGUUGCCGUCGCCUAGUUGUGCGUGCGCCAUCAUGUCCUCAUCUACCACUACUGCAUGGCCACAGAGUCUUGCGACCGUUUCAACAGGUUUGUCAACAGCACUGACUACAGGUUCGCCACAGUGGAAACAACCAACGAUGUAAAAGCGCUCAGUGUUACGGGCUUGUCCUGCAAGAACCUUGUCGAAAUCUGUUACCACUAUAGGGUCUGUGGCAGCACGAAGAAGGACUCCCUGGUCGAACUCGCCUCGGACAUCAUCGACCCCUACUAUGAAAAGAUGAAGCAGGAUGCCCAAAGAACAAGUCCCGUAUCCUCGCACGGGGCCUGGAUGCGGCAACUGGAUGAACCUCACCUCAGGUUUGCAGCCAACAGCAUCUACGCAUGCUACGAGAUGCACAGGCGGAUCAUUGACAUGAGGAAGUGCCUCGUUACCCAAAUCGACGAGCCCGGAUCGAGCCACAAGCAGAGCAAGCGUCACAAGAAGUAGAUGAUGAUCAGAUGAUCGUUUAUGCUAGUUAAUCAUGCAUGUAAUAUAUAGUUUACUUUAUUGGUGUGAGGAAAUAUCAUGUGUGUAGUAGCCACCUAUGUAAUUAUGCAUGUAAUAGUUUACUUUGGUGUGUGCAAAUGCCAUGGUUGUAGUAGCCACCUAUGUAAGUGGAUGUUUAAUUUGGUUAUGCAAGCAUGUCCUUAUAAGUAUGUGUGUGUGCGUAUGUUGUUGUUCUGUAUGCAAUCCCAUCGCACAACACACACGUCUUAUUAGCAGCAACCGUGUGUGUUAUUAUCGGUAUUCACACACAUUUCUGAUUACAGACCUGUUUUCCGCGUAUCACACACAUCUUGUUCAUUUGAACCAUUUCUGUUCUCAUGUCUCAACGCAAACAGUUCAUCCGAGUGAACCCCAUGCCGUAUAUCGCACACACCUUUUGAUCUGGCUGACCGUUUCCAUUGUGUUGCCUAAUCACAAACAGUUCACCCGAGUGAACCGUAUGCUGUACAUCGCACACACCUUCAUCUGGCUGCCCGUUUCUUUUGUUCCUCCUCAUCGCAAACAGUUAAUUGAGCUGAACCGUAUACCCUGCAUCGCACACGCAACUAAAAUCUGAACCGUGUUUGAUGCAUCCUCCAUCGCAAACGUUUUGCACCUUUUUGACGGGUUUUUUACACCAUCGUUUGCAAUUAUGGCAUCGCACACAGUUUCGUCGAAGGGUCUCUGAUCGUAGUGUCGCGUUAGCAGCAUCCUGCAGUAGUGUAUUCUCCUCCAUCUUGUAGGUAAAGUACUUUUCAGAGGUAUGAUACCUCUAGACAUGGGCAUGAGUCUGAAAUACCAAUUUCAACUCUUGGAACAUCUCAUAUGCUCCGUGGCGUUCAAAACAUUUUCGAAGUCCCGGUUCUAAGCCGUAAACAUGGUGCACUAAACUAUCAAGUAGUCAUCAUACCGAGCUUUGCCAAACGUUAAUAACGUCUGCAUCUGCUCCUGCAAUAGGUAUGUCAUCUAGCGGUGCAUCAAGGACAUAACUCUUCUGUGCAGCAACGAGGAUAAUCCUUAGAUCAUGGAUCCAGUCUGCAUCAUUGCUACUAUCAUCUUUCAACUUAUUUUUCUCUAGGAACAUAUCAAAAAAUAAACUGUAGCGACCCGACCUCAGACGGUCAAGUCUCUGUGAUUAAGUGUCAUCCCUGGAUCGGUAUGCUGACACACACAGUACUCGAGGAUUUAUAACAGAGGUAAAUCACAUGUAUAAAGUAACGUAAAUACUAUUACCUCAAUCCAUAUAGCAGAAGUAACAACAAGGUUGUGGAUUCCCAUCAACACCAACGGCAAGGUUGAGUGUAGAAAUCGUAACCCUAACGUAUCACUUACUCGUCGUAAGAAGUCCUGCAACAUGAGAUGUUGCAGCCACAGAGGAUCAGUACAUUGAAUGUACUGGCAAAUUCAUACCAUAGGAUAAAUUAUGAGUAAUAACUAUCACUACAUGCAUAUAUGGCUGGUGGAAAAGCUCUAUGGUUAUAAUGUUUUUGCGAAAAGCCAAUUUUUCCCUACUGCAAAGGAAUAUAUUCUAUUUAACUACAAAGUUGGUUGAUAACAUUGAGAAGGUUCCUCCAACUCAAUCCCAAAAUAAUAGUAUAUCCCAACAAAUUAAUUAAGUAAAGUGAUGAGAUCAACAUGAUAAUCCAAGAACCAGAUACUCAAGAUGUCCAUAACCGGGGACACGGCUAAUCAUGAUUAGUUUGUACACUCUGCAGAGGUUUGCGCACUUUUACCCACAAGACUCGAUCUCCUCCGUUGGAUUUCUCGCACUACAUGGUGUUUGAGAAACUGAUGACGGAGACACAGUCAUUCUGAAACAUUAACUCUCUACUCUGGAUAGACAGUACCACCUACAACCCACUACAUCUGCUAGUCUACCUCUUCAAGAGCUCCACGCAACUUACUCAACUAUGCCAGAGCCCAUAAUGGCUUGUGGCUGCACACGGAAGUUUCUAGCAUGAAUAAUUAUGAUCCUUUUGAGCCUGGGUGGCGAGCCGUAGGAUGAUCACACGGGUCCUCCGGGAUAUCCUAGGACUACACUGGAUUCUCCAGGUGCCCGCAACCAAUCCACCCAGAUGUGUAUUAAAGUAGCCACCUUAAGUUGAACCAUUAAGUAAACAAUCUCACAUCUGUCAUGGAAUACACUCAAACCCAAUCCACGUCUACGAGCAUAGCAUGGCAAUAUAAGCAUAACGUAAUAGUAACUCCCAAGGUUUAAAUGCAGGACAAUAGGUUCCUACCUCAUCAACUACUUCCCAAUACCCACAUGUUAUGAAUCCUACUCAUGCAAUGUUUGAGGGUUUGAAACUAAUGCAUAAAAACUGGGUAUGAAAGGGGUAUGAUCAAAGUGUGAACUUGCCUUGUACGGUUGAUGAAGAUGAUUCGCACUCAUAACUCCUGAUAGUUCUAUUCUUCACACUCCGGUCAAUCUAGCGUAAGCAAGCAAUAGUAACCACACAUAAGCAAUCACUCGAAAGAUCGGAAAGAACGAAGAAGACAACUCGGAAAACAUCAAAACCAAGCAAAUAACUCUUGCAACAUAAAACAAUUUCUAACAGUACCAAAAUUAUGUGAAUUUGGCCUUAUCAAAAAUUUUAGGUCAAGAGCUUUAAUUUGCAAAAAGAAUCAACUCAAACGGAGUUAUAAAACUCAAGUUACGAUCAAACGAAGUUUGAAUUCAAAUCUGAUCUAAUUCAAAUUUUAAAAUUUCAAAAACAUGUUUGAGUUGGAUUACUGGAUAGAGGGGAUCAUAAGGAAGAAGUGGGCGUUGGUUACGGUGGAUUUGGACAAACGAGCGAAAAGUUGUGGUCGUUUGAAGUAUAGGGACUAAUCUGUAAAUAGAAUAUUCACGGAUGGGUCCCUGACCAAAAACUGAAAUAAAGCGAAAAGACUAUCGAGCGAACGCUCGCUAUCUAGUUCUAAACAGAGAACGUUCAUUGAAUAGAUCUAACAAAAAAACUAAACCGGGGUUUUAAAGAAAAAAACCGAGAAAACCAAAAAAAUAGCCGAUCUAGGGUUCGGUUUUUAUACUGAUCCUUGUCGGUUCGGCGGUCUUCGGCGGAAAACCAGCAGCGGCGGUUUUCCGGCGGCUCUCCGGCGAGGCUGUGGACUCCGGCGAGGUGGGCAGCAGCGAGCGGCGCGGGGCGGAGCGCGGCGGCGAUCUGCGGCAGCGAGGGAGCGGCGGCGGCUCUGCGCGUGGAGGCGNNNNNNNNNNNNNNNNNNNNNNNNNNNNNNNNNNNNNNNNNNNNNNNNNNNNNNNNNNNNNNNNNNNNNNNNNNNNNNNNNNNNNNNNNNNNNNNNNNNNNNNNNNNNNNNNNNNNNNNNNNNNNNNNNNNNNNNNNNNNNNNNNNNNNNNNNNNNNNNNNNNNNNNNNNNNNNNNNNNNNNNNNNNNNNNNNNNNNNNNNNNNNNNNNNNNNNNNNNNNNNNNNNNNNNNNNNNNNNNNNNNNNNNNNNNNNNNNNNNNNNNNNNNNNNNNNNNNNNNNNNNNNNNNNNNNNNNNNNNNNNNNNNNNNNNNNNNNNNNNNNNNNNNNNNNNNNNNNNNNNNNNNNNNNNNNNNNNNNNNNNNNNNNNNNNNNNNNNNNNNNNNNNNNNNNNNNNNNNNNGGCGGCGAGGCGGCGUCGGGGGUCCGGGGCUCGGGGACCGGCUAUUUAAGGGGGCCAGGGGCCAAGGUGGCGUGGGGGAGGGGGCACGACGGCAAGGAGAGCCUGGAUCGAGGACGGCUCCCAUGGCGGCGCGGCGGCGUACGGCGGACGGAGUACGUCGCCAGCUCGGGGACGGCGCGAGGCUCGGCCGCGGCCUGGCCCGGUUGGCUGGGCCGGCCCGGUUCGGCGGAUUGUUUUUUUAAUAAACUUUUUUUCCAGAAAAACAAAAAUAAGAAAAAAUAAAUAAAUAAAAAUAUUAAAUAGGCAUAUAAUAUAUCAAAAUUUUCAGAAAAAGUUUCUUUAUCACGUGAACAUUUUUAUAACGUCAAAUAAAAUCCACAAAAAUUUAAAUAAUCCAAACAGUGUUGCUGCUCUAAUAAAAUCCAAUGAAAAUCAUUUUAAAAAUACCAAAAUACUUUCAAAUUUAUUUCUCUCCAAUUUUCUAAUGUGGGGAAUCAUGUUACCCUAUUUUUCUUAUAUUUUAUUUUUGGAGAAAAAUAAUUUGAAGAAAACCCAAAUAACACCAAAUUGAAAAUAAUUUUCAAAAGGGACUUUAAAUUUGAUCCUUCGAAACUCCCAACUCAUAUUUCAUAUGUUUUGAAGAAGUCAUUUUAUCUUCUCUCAUGGAAAUCAUUGAGUUGCAUGAAGUUUAUGAAUUGGAAAUAUUUCUGAAUGAAAUUCAAAUCUUUUCAAAACCCUUUUUCAUUUAAAUAAAUGGAAGAAGUCAUGUCAUCUUCUCUCUAGGGUUUUGAUGAAAAGAAUUUGAAUUCAUGGAGAUCAUAAAAAAUGAAAGUUUGGGAAAGUCCUUUUAUUCCCUCUCAUUUAACUUUAAAAAGUUUUGAAUUUCACUCAAUUUCACACAAUCAAUCAAAUCUAUCUAUUUAUUAUAACAUUCCAAAAUUUAGAAUUUUGGGAUGUUACAAACCUACCACCCUGAAAAUGAAUCUUGUCCUCGAUAUUCGGAGAGGCUAGAAAGAAAUAGGUUAGGUUUGGGGGGUCUUCUCAAAAUCCAUCGAUCAUCACAGGGGGUCUGGGGUGCUACCACCCUUAGAAUGAUCGUUACGGUCCCAUCAAUACUCAUAUACUCCAUCCUUAUUCUUGAUAGGGCCGGUCUUCUCAGAUUCUCGGGAAAAUUCCUUCUCUGGGCUCUUCCAGUAGUGGCAUAACCUUUUCCUCAAUACUUCUGUCCUUUCGUCUUAGUAAGGUUAUUCCGAGACUGGGUCUUCUUAGCUGACGAGUCUGGCGCCAAUACUAAACAACUAUCGAUAUCUCAUGGUGGUCAACAAUUUAUGGUUUCUCCUGCAGGAAAUGGGUCUGGGCUUCAUUCUCAUCGUAUAACCUACGAUUGGCAACAACUGCCUUGUACAAGGAAAAAAAUACUUAUACCAUUCUAAGGUUUAAACAAGGUUUUGAUCGUCGUCUCUCUACUAUAGGUAAGUCACUCAGAUUUACCAUUCCAUAUAGCAAGGCGAAUAAUAAGAGUAAGUCGGUAUGGUGAUCAAUCCACCCCGCACCCAAAUCAUUACCUUGUAUAUGGUUUAGCGAAUCUCGCAUUCUAACACUCGGUCAUCCUCACAAGCAUUGCAGAAUUUCUCUUGUCGACGAACCAAGUUUGGAUAAAUCUAUUGAUUCUGCAAGCCAAACAAACAACUAUCGUUCCUUCCCAACUCUCAGGUUUUGCGUAAACUCUUAUAAGAUCGUCAGUUGCUAAAAUCGUAACUUCUUCGAGGGUUUUUAAUUCAGCAAGAGUGUGCUUGCUUCUUGGCAGGUCCUGGGGCCUGUGGGUUAUGGCCCAUCUCAUCACUUGUAACCCUUGAACUCAUCAUCUGGACAACUGAUCAUUAUUCCAACAUCCAACUUCCUAGCAUUCUUAAAUCCAUCCAAUUGUACCAUCUCCCUUCCUUCUAUUGGUGCCAAACUAAAAUGUGAUUACUCAAACUCAUCCUGGAGUUAUAAUUGCUCCAUAUUACCAACAUUCUACCUCCUUUAUAUCCAGUAAUUCAUCUCUCCAUACUCUUGGGGUAUCCCACAUAUCGAGACAAAACUCACACUUAUUUUGUCUGAAAUCCACUUCGUGGAAUAUCAUUACCUUUUCCAAGGGUCAAGUUUCCUCACAGGGUACUACGACCCUUGAAAUGCUCCAAUUCUUCCAUAGACCAUAUUUCUCAUAUCCUCAAAAAUGGUCAAAAUCUUUCUUCAUAAAGUAACAACUCAUAAAAAUUCCAAAUCAGUACCAACGAGGCUAACUUUAUUGAUUCUCAAAUGAUUGCAAUCUCUGACAUUUCCAUUGCAUGCCUGAACUCAACACCUCAAUUCAAAAGAGUUGUUCUCACUACUACUACUACAUUUCUCACAGACUCAACUACUAAUCACAAGUCUCCUUCUCUUUGGGACAAUCUCUGGCAAGAUGCCCUGCUUCAUUACAAUAGAAACAUAUUACUUCAGACAAGUCUCGAGGUUUCCUUUUUGGGCAACGGCUGAAGUAGUGCCCUGAUUCCUUCCACCUGUAACAGGUGAUAUGACUCUGGUCCUUCCUGGAAUCCAAUCUACCUCUCUUUCUGGACUUUUCCGUGCCAACCAGGGCUUCUAUUUCCUGUGGGUCAUACUUUACUUCCACUAUCGGGAAUGCUACUAGAUCUCCCUUCAGAAAUUUUUGGGAAAAGUGUCCUUCUUCCCCACACGAAUAGCAAGACUUGGUGCAGGGUUUAAUUAGGUCUUCUUCGGGUGUGUCCUCCACCAAUUCCUUCUUCACAGGUUCUUCUAAAAUUUCCAUGUGGGCUCCUUUCAUUGCUUCUUUCUUCUGUUGUACGGUUCUUUGUACCAUGGGGUAAAUGUGACACUGAAGAGGAUAGUGGGUAGUCCCUUCACACAAGAAACAAGUAAUCUGCCUAGUUGGGCAUUCUUCAGCUGGGUGACUUCCUUCACAAUUAGGGCAUUCAUCCUUGUGUUCCUUAUGGUUGUAUCCUAUUUCUCCACAAAGCUUGCAUGCACAAGUUUUCUUCAUAUCCUUUCCAUAAGGCUUCAAUUUCUGGGACACAACCCGAGAUUUUGGCAAAUUCAACUUAAAUCCUUUCCAAGUGGUUACUCCUUGCCAUCCAUUCAUGGUUUGGGACAUCCUCCACCAAAUAGCAGCACCUCUUUCAAAGCACUGUAGAGCAUGCUGGGUCAUAUCCUUUCCGACUAUAGUGUUAUUCUCCAUAUGAUCCUCCAUGUUCUGAAUCCAUCGGUCUGUCUCCAAUUGACUUAUCGGUCCAGGAAACAUGAGUUCAUCUCCAUUCAUCCUCUAUUGGGUCCAUGGGUUUGGGGUGGGAUAAGAGAGAGAGAGAGGGAUACACACAAUGCAAACAAUAGUUUUGAAAAGAGAGAUUUUAUUUGUGGCUGUCGGGAAAACAUCAAACAAUUGACAACUCACAAUCGUCGCAUCUAACAUAAGUAUAUAACAUGGGUUUGGUCUUCUAAAGGUCAACGUCGUCAAACUCUUCAAGUCUUGUUCAUUUCUCCGAUGGCUUCUUUCGAUCGUGAUUGUCCUUCUCAAGCUCUUUUGCCAGAUCAACUCUGUUGAUGCGAAGUCUCUCGUGACAUCCUUUAAUAUUCCGGAGUUGCAUUCCAAACUUCUGGGUUUCAACAUCCUUGGCAUGAACCAUGGUCCUACUGUCCUUCAGUUCCUGAAAAAUCUCCGGUAUCUUGAGGUUUUAGCUCCUCCAGCUUGGCUACUUUCAGCUUCUGGUUCCUAAGUUCUUCACGAAAUGCCUCCUUGUCAAAUACGGCUUCCGGAAGGUUCAUCUAAAACUUCUGCUGUAAUUCUCCAGAUCCUGGUGAUACACCAGCUAAGGUUAAAACUUCAUAUUUUGAUGAUAGGUGCUCCAUUAGCCUUCUGCCAUCCAAUCCUUCAGAAGAAAAUGCAUUCUUAACUUAGCACGGUGACAACAACAUAAGCGGGAAAUCCAUGUUUCUGCCCUGGUCAUCGACAUGAACUAUCCUUCCAUAGUUGAUAUCUCCUGUCUUAGGGUUUUCUUGACAAAACUUUGAGUUCUAAUGCUCCAUGUUCCGGUCUUUCUCCGAUACACCUUGAUCUCGGGUAUUGACAACUUCCAUAGUCCGCGAAGUUCCAUAAGUAUGUGUGUGUGUAUGUUGUUGUUCUGUAUGCAAUCCCAUCGCACAACACACACGUCUUAUUAGCAGCAACCGUGUGUGUUAUUAUCGGUAUUCACACACAUUUCUGAUUACAGACCUGUUUUCCGCGUAUCACACACAUCUUGUUCAUUUGAACCAUUUCUGUUCUCAUGUCUCAACGCAAACAGUUCAUCCGAGUGAACCCCAUGCCGUAUAUCGCACACACCUUUUGAUCUGGCUGACCGUUUCCAUUGUGUUGCCUAAUCACAAACAGUUCACCCGAGUGAACCGUAUGCUGUACAUCGCACACACCUUCAUCUGGCUGCCCGUUUCUUUUGUUCCUCCUCAUCGCAAACAGUUAAUUGAGCUGAACCGUAUACCCUGCAUCGCACACGCAACUAAAAUCUGAACCGUGUUUGAUGCAUCCUCCAUCGCAAACGUUUUGCACCUUUUUGACGGGUUUUUUACACCAUCGUUUGCAAUUAUGGCAUCGCACACAGUUUCGUCGAAGGGUCUCUGAUCGUAGUGUCGCGUUAGCAGCAUCCUGCAGUAGUGUAUUCUCCUCCAUCUUGUAGGUAAAGUACUUUUCAGAGGUAUGAUACCUCUAGACAUGGGCAUGAGUCUGAAAUACCAAUUUCAACUCUUGGAACAUCUCAUAUGCUCCGUGGCGUUCAAAACAUUUUCGAAGUCCCGGUUCUAAGCCGUAAACAUGGUGCACUAAACUAUCAAGUAGUCAUCAUACCGAGCUUUGCCAAACGUUAAUAACGUCUGCAUCUGCUCCUGCAAUAGGUAUGUCAUCUAGCGGUGCAUCAAGGACAUAACUCUUCUGUGCAGCAACGAGGAUAAUCCUUAGAUCAUGGAUCCAGUCUGCAUCAUUGCUACUAUCAUCUUUCAACUUAUUUUUCUCUAGGAACAUAUCAAAAAAUAAACUGUAGCGACCCGACCUCAGACGGUCAAGUCUCUGUGAUUAAGUGUCAUCCCUGGAUCGGUAUGCUGACACACACAGUACUCGAGGAUUUAUAACAGAGGUAAAUCACAUGUAUAAAGUAACGUAAAUACUAUUACCUCAAUCCAUAUAGCAGAAGUAACAACAAGGUUGUGGAUUCCCAUCAACACCAACGGCAAGGUUGAGUGUAGAAAUCGUAACCCUAACGUAUCACUUACUCGUCGUAAGAAGUCCUGCAACAUGAGAUGUUGCAGCCACAAAGGAUCAGUACAUUGAAUGUACUGGCAAAUUCAUACCAUAGGAUAAAUUAUGAGUAAUAACUAUCACUACAUGCAUAUAUGGCUGGUGGAAAAGCUCUAUGGUUAUAAUGUUUUUGCGAAAAGCCAAUUUUUCCCUACUGCAAAGGAAUAUAUUCUAUUUAACUACAAAGUUGGUUGAUAACAUUGAGAAGGUUCCUCCAACUCAAUCCCAAAAUAAUAGUAUAUCCCAACAAAUUAAUUAAGUAAAGUGAUGAGAUCAACAUGAUAAUCCAAGAACCAGAUACUCAAGAUGUCCAUAACCGGGGACACGGCUAAUCAUGAUUAGUUUGUACACUCUGCAGAGGUUUGCGCACUUUUACCCACAAGACUCGAUCUCCUCCGUUGGAUUUCUCGCACUACAUGCUGUUUGAGAAACGGAUGACGGAGACACAGUCAUUCUGAAACAUUAACUCUCUACUCUGGAUAGACAGUACCACCUACAACCCACUACAUCUGCUAGUCUACCUCUUCAAGAGCUUCACACAACUUACUCAACUAUGCCAGAGCCCAUAAUGGCUUGUGGCUGCACACGGAAGUUUCUAGCAUGAAUAAUCUUAUGAUCCCUUUGAGCCUGGGUGGCGAGCCAUAGGAUGAGCACACGGGUCCUCCAGGAUAUCCUAGGAAAACACUGGAUUCUCCAGGUGCCCGCAACCAAUCCACCCAGAUUUGUAUUAAAGUAGCCACCUUAAGUUGAACCAUUAAGUAAACAAUCUCACAUCUGUCAUGGAAUACACUCAAGCCCAAUCCACGUCUACGAGCAUAGCAUGGCAAUAUAAGCAUAACGUAAUAGUAACUCCCAAGGUUUGAAUGUAGGACAAUAGGUUCCUACCUCAUCAACUACUUCCCAAUACCCACAUGUUAUGAAUCCUACUCAUGCAAUGUUUGAGGGUUUGAAACUAAUGCAUAAAAACUGGGUAUGAAAGGGGUAUGAUCAAAGUGUGAACUUGCCUUGUACGGUUGAUGAAGAUGGUUCGCACUCAUAACUCCUGAUAGUUCUAUUCGUCACACUCCGGCCAAUCUAGCGUAAGCAAGCAAUAGUAACCACACAUAAGCAAUCACUCGAAAGAUCGGAAAGAACGAAGAAGACAACUCGGAAAACAUCAAAACCAAGCAAAUAACUCUUGCAACUUAAAAAAUUUCUAACAGUACCAAAAUUAUGUGAAUUUGGCCUUAUCAGAAAGUUUAGGUCAAGAGCUUUAAUUUGCAAAAAGGAUAAACUCAAACGGAGUUAUAAAACUCAAGUUACGAUCAAACGAAGUUUGAAUUCAAAUCUGAUCUAAUUCAAAUUUAAAAAUUUCAAAAACAUGUUUGAGUUGGAUUACUGGAUAGAGGGGAUCAUAACGAAGAAGUGGGCAUUGGUUAUGUUGGAUUUGGACAAACGAGCGAAAAGUUGUGGUCGUUUGAAGUACAUGGACUAAUCUGUAAAUAAAAUAUUCACGGAUGGGUCCCUGACCGAAAACUGAAAUAAAACGAAAAGACUAUCGAGCGAACGCUCGCUAUCUAGUUCUAAAUAGAGAACGUUCAUUGAAUAGAUCUAACAAAAAAACUAAAUCGGGGUUUUAAAGAAAAAAACCGAGAAAACCAAAAAAAUAGCCGAUCUAGGGUUCGGCUUUUAUACCGGUCCUUGUCGGUUCGGCGGUCUUCGCCGGAAAACCAGCAGCGGAGGUUUUUCGGCGGCUCUCCGGCGAAGCUGNNNNNNNNNNNNNNNNNNNNNNNNNNNNNNNNNNNNNNNNNNNNNNNNNNNNNNNNNNNNNNNNNNNNNNNNNNNNNNNNNNNNNNNNNNNNNNNNNNNNNNNNNNNNNNNNNNNNNNNNNNNNNNNNNNNNNNNNNNNNNNNNNNNNNNNNNNNNNNNNNNNNNNNNNNNNNNNNNNNNNNNNNNNNNNNNNNNNNNNNNNNNNNNNNNNNNNNNNNNNNNNNNNNNNNNNNNNNNNNNNNNNNNNNNNNNNNNNNNNNNNNNNNNNNNNNNNNNNNNNNNNNNNNNNNNNNNNNNNNNNNNNNNNNNNNNNNNNNNNNNNNNNNNNNNNNNNNNNNNNNNNNNNNNNNNNNNNNNNNNNNNNNNNNNNNNNNNNNNNNNNNNNNNNNNNNNNNNNNNNNNNNNNNNNNNNNNNNNNNNNNNNNNNNNNNNNNNNNNNNNNNNNNNNNNNNNNNNNNNNNNNNNNNNNNNNNNNNNNNNNNNNNNNNNNNNNNNNNNNNNNNNNNNNNNNNNNNNNNNNNNNNNNNNNNNNNNNNNNNNNNNNNNNNNNNNNNNNNNNNNNNNNNNNNNNNNNNNNNNNNNNNNNNNNNNNNNNNNNNNNNNNNNNNNNNNNNNNNNNNNNNNNNNNNNNNNNNNNNNNNNNNNNNNNNNNNNNNNNNNNNNNNNNNNNNNNNNNNNNNNNNNNNNNNNNNNNNNNNNNNNNNNNNNNNNNNNNNNNNNNNNNNNNNNNNNNNNNNNNNNNNNNNNNNNNNNNNNNNNNNNNNNNNNNNNNNNNNNNNNNNNNNNNNNNNNNNNNNNNNNNNNNNNNNNNNNNNNNNNNNNNNNNNNNNNNNNNNNNNNNNNNNNNNNNNNNNNNNNNNNNNNNNNNNNNNNNNNNNNNNNNNNNNNNNNNNNNNNNNNNNNNNNNNNNNNNNNNNNNNNNNNNNNNNNNNNNNNNNNNNNGGGGAACGUAGCAGAAAUUCAAAAUUUUCUACGCAUCACCAAGAUCAAUCUAUGGAGUAAUCUAGCAACGAGGGGAAGGGGAGUGCAUCUACAUACCCUUGUAGAUCGCGAUGCGGAAGCGUUGCAAGAACGCGGAUGAAGGAGUCGUACUCGUAGCGAUUCAGAUCACGGUUGAUUCCGAUCUAAGCGCCGAACCACGGCGCCUCUGCGUUCAACACACGUGCAGCCCGGUGACGUCUCCCACGCCUUGAUCCAGCAAGGAGAGAGGGAGAGGUUGGGGAAGACUCCGUCCAGCAGCAGCACGACGGCGUGGUGGUGAUGGAGGAGCGUGGCAAUCCCGCAGGGCUUCGCCAAGCACCGCGGGAGAGGAGGAGGGAGAGAGGUAGGGCUGCGCCAAGAGAGACAGGAAAACUCAUGUGUUGGGCAGCCCUAGACCUCAACUAUAUAUAGGGGGUAGGGGGCUGUGCCCCCUCUAGGGUUCCCACCCCAAGGGGUGGCGGCCAGCCCUAGAUCCCAUCUAGGGGGGCGGCCAAGGGGGGAAGAGAGGGGGGCGCCACUAGGGUGGGCCUUAAGGCCCAUCUGGACCUAGGGUUUGCCCCCUCCCACUCUCCCUGCGCCUUGGGCUUUGGGGGGGGGGGGGGGGGCGCACCAGCCCACCUGGGGCUGGUCCCCUCCCACACUUAGCCCACGCAGCCUUCUGGGGCUGGUGGCCCCACCUGGUGGACCCCCGGGACCCUCCCAAUGGUCCCGGUACAUUACCGAUAGCACCCGAAACUUUUCCGGUGACCAAAACAGGACUUCCCAUAUAUAAAUCUUUACCUCCGGACCAUUCUGGAACUCCUCGUGACGUCCGGGAUCUCAUCUGGGACUCCGAACAACAUUCGGUAACCACGUACAUACUUUCCCUAUAACCCUAGCGUCAUCGAACCUUAAGUGUGUAGACCCUACGGGUUCGGGAACCAUGCAGACAUGACCGAGACGUUCUCCGGCCAAUAACCAACAGUGGGAUCUGGAUACCCAAGUUGGCUCCCACAUGCUCCAUGAUGAUCUCAUCGGAUGAACCACAAUGUCGGGGAUUCAAUCAAUCCCGUAUACAAUUCCCUUUGUCUAUCGGUAUGUUACUUGCCCGAGAUUCGAUCGUCGGUAUCCCGAUACCUUGUUCAAUCUCGUUACCGGCAAGUCUCUUUACUCGUUCCGUAACUCACAUCAUCCCGUGAUCAACUCCUUGGUCACAUUGUGCACAUUAUGAUGAUGUCCUACCAAGUGGGCCCAGAGAUACCUCUCCGUUUACACGGAGUGACAAAUCCCAGUCUCGAUUCGUGCCAACCCAACAGACACUUUCGGAGAUACCUGUAGUGCACCUUUAUAGCCACCCAGUUACGUUGUGACGUUUGGUACACCCAAAGCAUUCCUACGGUAUCCGGGAGUUGCACAAUCUCAUGGUCUAAGGAAAUGAUACUUGACAUUAGAAAAGCUCUGAGCAAACGAACUACACGAUCUUGUGCUAGGCUUAGGAUUGGGUCUUGUCCAUCACAUCAUUCUCCUAAUGAUGUGAUCCUGUUAUCAACGACAUCCAAUGUCCAUGGUCAGAAAACCGUAACCAUCUAUUGAUCAACGAGCUAGUCAACUAGAGGCUUACUAGGGACAUGGUGUUGUCUAUGUAUCCACACAAGUAUCUGAGUUUCCUAUCAAUACAAUUCUAGCAUGGAUAAUAAACGAUUAUCAUGAACAAGGAAAUAUAAUAAUAACCAAUUUAUUAUUGCCUCUAGGGCAUAUUUCCAACAGUCUCCCACUUGCACUAGAGUCAAUAAUCUAGUUCACAUCACCAUGUGAUUAACAUUCACAGGUCACAUCACCAUGUGACCAACAUCUAAAGAGUUUACUAGAGUCAACAAUCUAGUUCACAUCACUAUGUGAUUAACACUCAAUGAGUUCUGGUUUGAUCAUGUUAUGCUUGUGAGAGAGGUUAUUAUUCAACGGGUCUGAACCUUUCAGAUCCAUGUGUGCUUUACGAAUAUCUAUGUCAUCUUGUGGAUGCUACCACGCGCUAUUUGGAGCCAUUUGAAAUAACUGCUCUACUAUACGAAUCCGGUUUACUACUCAGAGUCAUACGGAUUAGUGUCAAAGUUCGCAUCGACGUAACCCUUUACGACGAACUCCUUUUCACCUCCAUAAUCGAGAAAAUUCCUUAGUCCACUAGAUACUAAGGAUAAGUUCAACCGCUGUCAUGUGAUCCAUUCCCGGAUCACUAUUGUACCCCUUGACCAACUCAUGGCAAGGCACACUUCAUGUGCGGUACACAGCAUAGCAUACUGUAGAGCCUACGUCUGAAGCAUAGGGGACGACCUUCGUCCUUUCUCUCUCUUCUGCUGUGGUCAGGUCUUGAGUCUUACUCAAUACUCACACCUUGUAACACAGCCAAGAACUCCUUCUUUGCUGAUCUAUUUUGAACUCUUUCAAAAUCAUGUCAAGGUGUGCGUUCUUUGAAAGUAUCAUCAGGCGUCUUGAUCUAUCUCUAUAGAUCUUGAUGCCCAAUAUGUAAGCAGCUUUAUCCAGGUCUUCCUUUGAAAAACUCCUUUCAAACAACCCUUUAUGCUUUCCAGAAAUUCUACAUCAUUUCAGAUCAACAAUAUGUCAUUCACAUAUACUUAUCAGAAAUGUUGUAGCACUCCCACUCACUUUAUUGGAAAUACAAGUUUCUCAUAAACUUUGUAUAAACCCAAAAUCUUUGAUCAUCUCAUCAAAGUGUACAUUCCAACUCCGAGAUGCUUACUCCAGUCCUUAGAAGGAUCGCUGGAGCUAGCAUACCUUUUAGCAUCCUUAGGAUCGACAAAACCUUUCUGAUUGUAUCACAUACAACCUUUCCUUACGAAAACAGGUAAGGAAACUUGUUUUGACAUCCAUCUGCCAGAUUUCAUAAAUGCAGCUAAUGCUAACAUGAUUCCGACGGACUUAAGCAUCGCUACGGAUGAGAAAAUCUCAUCGUAGUCAAAUCCUUGAACUUGUGAAAAUUCUCUUUGCCACAAGUCGAGCUACAUAGACGGUAACAUUACCGUCCAUGUCCGUCUUCUUCUUAAAGAUCCAUUUACCUCAAUAGCCUUACGACCAUCAAGUUGUUCUCCCAAAGUCUAUACUUUGUUUUCAUACAUGGAUCCUCUCGGAUUUUAUGGCCUCCAGCCAUUUGUCGGAAUCCGGGCCCACCAUCGCUUCUCCAUAGCUCGUAGGUUCAUCAUUGUCCAACAACAUGACUUCCAAGACAGGAUUACGCAUUACUCUGAAGUAGUACGCAUCCUCGUCGUCCUACGAGGUUUGGUAGUGACUUGAUCCGAAGUUUCAUGAUCACUAUCAUAAGCUUCCACUUCAAUCGGUGUAGGUGCCACAGGAACAACUUCCUGUGCCCUGCCACACACUAGUUGAAGUGACGGUUCAAUAACCCUAUCAAGUCUCCACCAUCCUCCCACUCAAUUCUUUCGAGAGAAACUUUUCCUCGAGAAAGGACUCGUUUCUAGAAGCAAUUACUUUUGCUUCCAGAUCUGAAAUAGGAGGUAUACCCAAUUGAUUUGGGUAUUCUAUGAAGAUGCAUUUAUCCGCUUUGGGUUCGAGCUUAUCAGCCUGAAACUUUUUCACAUAAGCAGCCCCAAACUUUUAAGAAACGACAACUUAGGUUUCUCUAAACGGUGUCGUCUCAACGGAAUUGCGUGGUGCCCCUUUUAAAGUGAAUGCGGUUGUCUCUAAUGCCUAACCCAUAAACGAUAGUGGUAAUUCGAUAAGAGACAUCAUGGUAUGCACCAUAUCCAAUAGGGUGCAGUUAUGAUGUUCGGACACACCAUCACACUGUGGUGUUCCAGGCGGUAUUAAUUGUGAAACACUUUCCACAAUGUCUUAAUUGUGUGCCAAACUCGUAACUCAGAUACUUAUCUCUACGAUAAUAUCACAGACAUUUCAUCCUCUUGUCACGACGAUCUUCAACUUCACUCUGAAAUUACUUGAACCUUUCAAUAAUUCAGACUUGUGUUUCAUCAAGUAAAUACACUCAGCAUCUACUCAAAUCAUCUGUGAAGUAAGAACAUAACGAUAUCCACUGCAUGCCUCAACACUCAUUGGACUGCAUACAUCAAAAUGUAUUACUUCCAAUAAGUUGCUCUCUUGUUCCAUCUUACUGAAAACGAGGCCUUUCAGUCAUCUUGCCCAUGUGGUAUGAUUUGCAUGUCUCAAGUGAUUCAAAAUCAAGUGAGUCCAAAUGAUCCAUCUGCAUGGAGUUUCUUCAUACAUAUAUACCAAUAGACAUGAUUCGCAUGUCUCAAUCUUUUCAAAAACGAGUGAGUCCAAUGAUCCAUCUACAUGGAGCUUCUUCAUGCGUUCUAUACCAAUAUGACUCAAAUGGCAGUGCCACAAGUAUGUGGUACUAUCAUUACUAUUUUAUAUCUUUCGGCACGAACAUGUGUAUCACUGCGAUCAAGAUUCAUUUUAGGUGCAAGACCAUUGAAGGUAUUAUUCAAAUAAACAGAGUAACCAUUAUUCUCCUUAACUGAAUAACCGUAUUGCGAUAAACAUAAUCCAAUCAUGCUCAACGCAAACACCAAAUCUCGAUGGUAGAGGGAGCAUGCGAUGCUUGAUCACAUCAACCUUGGAAACACUUCCAACACAUAUCGUCAUCUCACCUUUAGCUAGUCUCCGUUUAUUCUGCAGCUUUUAUUUCGAGUUACUAACACUUAGCAACGAACCGGUAUCUAAUACUCUGGUGCUGCUAGGAGUACUAGUAAAGUACACAUUCAUAUAAUGUAUAUCCAAUAUACUUUUGUCGACCUUGCCUGCCUUCUCAUCUACCAAGUAUCUAGGGUAGUUCUGCUUCAGUGACCAUUCCCCUCAUUACAGAAGCACUUAGUCUCGGGUUUGGGUUCAACUUUGGGAUUUUUCACUAGAGCAGCAAAUGAUUUGCUGUUUCAUGAAGUAUCCCUUUUGCCCUUGCCCUUCUAGAAACUAGUGGUUUUACUAACAAUCAACAAUUGAUGCUCCUUCUUGAUUUCUACUUUCGCGGUGGCAAACAUCGCGAGUUGCUCAAGGAUCAUCCGGUCUAUCCCUGAUAUGUUAUAGUUCAUCACGAAGCUCUAAUAGCUUGGUGGCAGUGACUAUGGAGAACCAUCACUAUCUCAUCUGGAAGAUUAACUCCCACUCGAUUCAAGUGAUUGUAGUACUCAGACAAUCUGAGCACAUGCUCAACGAUUGAGCUUUUCUCCCUUAGUUUGCAGGCUUAAGAAACUUGUCAGAGGUCUCAUACCUCUUGACGUGGGCACUAGUCUGAAAUCCCAAUUUCAGUCUUCGGAACAUCUCAUAUGUUCUGCGACGUUUCAAAAACGUCUUUGGUGCCACAAUUCUAAACCGUUAGCAUUACGCACUGAACUAUCACGUAGUCAUCAAAACGUGUAUGUCAGAUGUUUCGCAACAUCUACAGACGACGCCGAGGUUCAGCACACCGAGCGGUGCAUUAAGGACAUAAGCCUUCUGUGCAGCAUUGAGGACAAUCCUCAGUUUACGGACCCCGUUUAUGUAACAUCCCAAAAUAUUAAAUAGGCAUAUAAUAUAUCAAUUUUUUUCAGAAAAAGAUUCUUUAUCACGUGAACAUUUUUAUAACGUCAAAUAAAAUCCACAAAUAUUUAAAUAAUCCAAACAGUGCCGCUACUCUAAUAAAAUCCAAUAAAAAUCAUUUUGAAAAUACCAAAAUACUUUCAAAUUUAUUUCUCUCCAAUUUUCUAAUGUAGGGAAUCAUGUUACCCUAUUUUCCUUAUAUUUUAUUUUUGAAGAAAAAUAAUUUGAAUAAAACCCAAAUAACCCCAAUUGAAAAUAAUUUUCAAAAGGGACUUUAAAUUUGAUCCUUCGAAACUCCCAACUCAUAUUUCAUAUGUUUUGAAGAAGUCACUUUAUCUUCUCUCAAGAAAAUCAUUGAGUUGCAUGAAGUUUAUGAAUUGGAAAUAUUUCCGAAUGAAUUCAAAUCUUUUCAAAACCCUUUUUCAUUUAAAUAAAUGGAAGAAGUCAUGUCAUCUUUGCUCCAGGGUUUUGUGAUGAAAAGAAUUUGAAUUCAUGGAGAUCAUAAAAAAUGAAAGUUUGGGAAAGUCCUUUUAUUUCCUCUCAUUUAACUUUCAAAACUUUCGAAUUUCACUCAAUUUCACACAAUCAAUCAAAUAUAUCUAUUUAUUAUAAUAUUCCAAAAUUUAGAAUUUUGGGAUGUUACAUAAACGGGGAGCUGCAUCACAAGCUAUUGAUCUACAACAUAUAUAUGCAAAUACUAUCAGGACUAAGUUCAUGAUAAAUUAAAGUUUAAUUAAUCAUAUUACUUAAGAACUCCCACUUAGAUAUACAUCCCUCUAGUCAUCUAAAUGAUCACGUAAUCCAUAUCAACUAAACCAUGUCCGAUCAUCACGUGAGAUGGAGUAGUUUCCAAUGGUGAACAUCACUAUAUGUUGAUCAUAUCUACUAUAUGAAUCACGGUCGAUCUUUCAGUCUCAGUGUUCUGAGGCCAUAUCUGCAUAUGCUAGGCUCGUCAAGUUUAACCCGAGUAUUCUGCGUGUGCAAAACUGGCUUGCACCCGUUGUAUGUGAACGUAGAGCUUAUCACACCCGGUCAUCACGUGGUGUAUCGGCACAACAAACUGUAGCAACGGUGCAUACUCAGGGAGAACACUUGUACCUUGAAAUUUAGUGAGAGAUCAUCUUAUAAUGCUACCGCCGUACUAAGCAAAAUAAGAUGCAUAAAGGAUAAACAUCACAUGCAAUCAAAAUAAGUGAUAUGAUAUGGCCAUCAUCAUCUUGUGCCUUUGAUCUCCAUCUCCAAAGCACCAUCAUGAUCACCAUCGUCACCGGCUUGACACCUUGAUCUCCAUUGUAGCAUCAUUGUCAUCUUGCCAUGUCAGGACCCCGAUCCUAAGUCACACCGAUCUAGCAUGUAACAUAUCAUAUCACUUUGCGGCCUCAUGCACGGUAUUCCCACGGGUGCCACCUUACCUGGCCCGGGACCGUUUGCGCCUUUUGGCUCACGUAUAUGAUAGUGUCGCUAGCAUCCAUAUGACAGGGAACCCGGACCGACAUGACUAGUCGUAAACCCAAAGUGGCACUAACUUACAGGGACAGGCAUACAUGACCCAGCAACGAACGUGUCCGUCACCAGUGAGUGAAUCCGGGCUGUAGCAGCUGGGCUAACAAGACUCCGGAGAAUCCGGGCUGUAGCAGGCUAACAGGACUCCGGUAGACACCGCGUGACAUUUCCCCGAAGGGACAGACACAGGAACAAAGAAGGACACAUGCCGGCCAGCCUAAGUGUUCCGGAGUAGUAGCAAGCUACCAUGGCUCAGUGGAAGCACUAGGAGACAUUUCCCGGUAAGAGAGGCUACCAAGAAUAAACAACUAGGUUGUCGGAUCCCACACAUACCAAGCAUUUCAAAAUCAUACACACAGUAUGCUCGACAUGUGCAAAUACAACAUGGCAUCAUAACAAAACUCUAUGACUCAAAGUACUUAUUCAUAAGGCCCUGAAGAGUCAUACAGAGUAAGAAUUACAAUCAUGGGUCACAUGACCCAACAUACAGAGCAUACAGGCAACGGAGCAUAAACAUGUAUGGGUACAGACAUCUGAAAAGGAAGAAGGCCUUAGAGCCUGACUAUCUACAAGACCCUCCCAAGGGUACAAGAUCGUAGUCCACGUGGUAAUACUAGUGAGACUGAGGUCUCUCUGCAAAAACAUAAAUUAAGCAAACGUGAGUACAAAUGUACCCAGCAAGACUUACAUAAGAACUAGCUACAUAUGCAUCAGUAUCAACAAAGGGGUGGUGGAGUUUAACUGCAGCAAGCCAGCUUUGACUCAGUGGCUAUCCUGUACGACGACUGCUGGUAACUUUUUUUGCGCACACGAGUCCACAUAUUCACCAUAUCAAUACACCACUAUGGAUCCGCUCCCGUAUCCCUACGAGAACACCAUCCAUAGCACUCACGCUUAUCUUGCGCGUUUUAGAGUAUCCACUUUCACUUGUCUAUGAACUGUACAGGCAACCGAGAGGUCCUUUACCGCGGACGUGGCUAUUCGAAUAGAUGAUGUUAACCCUGCAGGGGUGUACUUCUUCACACACGCUCACCUCACUUACCGCCAUGUACACGUCAUGUAUCUCGGCAACCUUCAAGCGGAAGCCUGGCGAGGGUGUCAGCCACGACCUGACUAAUCACACAAGUCCCUAGUCCAGGUUUAUCGCCUAUUCAGGUUCCAUCCGCAGGGAGUCCGGCCGAGGUUUCCACAUACGGCCCCGAACGAUGUGUACAGGGUUCCGCGACACCAAACGGGCGCCCGGCAUACCCGGCCAUGUGCCUACCGCAUCACAGCCCACCCCUCGGGUCAGCACUGCGCACGGCCUCCAGCAACUACAAACACCAGAAACUACUUGCAACUCCUGGAUAGAGGACAAGGGAGGCUAAUAAGUCGAGAGGGUCAAUUAAGGAUCCCAAUGAGUGGUAGUAGUUGUUCAUGGAUCACAAACACAGAACUCAGUUCCUGAGGAUGGCUUCAAUGAGACAACCCACCAUGUACUCCUACAUGGCCUCUCACCGCUACCUUUACCAAAUCGUGUUCACACACUUCGUUCACACAAAGUAGGACAUGUUCAUCACCAUUCCAAUUCAUCCCUGAUGAAUCAGACCUGACUCAACUCUAAGCAGUAGCAGGCAUGACAAACAAGCAUGAAUGAGUAGGCACAUCAGGGCUCAAACAACUCCUACUCAUGCUAGUGGGUUUCAUCUAUUCACUGUGGCAAUGACAGGUCAUGCAGAGGAAAAGGGGUCAACUACCGCAGCAUGUAAUAGUUGAAUCGUUGUUUUCCUAAUGCAGUAAAAGAGAGCAGGAGUGAGAGAGUGGGAUUGUAUCGGAAUGAACAAGGGGGUUUUGCUUGCCUGGCACUUCUAAAGAUAGUAAUAGCUCUAUCGUUGGAACGUCGUCUACUCAAAGGGGACAAUUACCGUCAAAUAAGGAAGAACACAAUCAAUGCAAUGCUCAAUAUGAUGCAUGAUUAGGACAUGGCAAAUUGAGUGUGUUGGGCUAAUGCAACUACAACCAGCUGGGUUUGAGUCAUUUUGAACCAAAGGUUCAAUCCCAAACUCAACUUAUGAAUUUAAAUAGUGCUUUAUCAUGUUUUGAUAUAAACAGCAGGGUUAAGUUGCUUUAACAUGCAUGAAACCAGUACAGAUGGAUAGAUUGGAUUUUUAUGAUCAUUUUUCAUAUAUAAAUCUUUGCAUUUGGAGUUACAGAUUAAUUUCUAUGAUUUUUAGAAGUUAGCACUAUUUUCUGGAAUUUCCUGAGUAAGAAUAAAUCCAGUAAAACCUAUUAUUGCGUCAGCAUUGCGUCAUGCUGACCUCAGUAGGUCAACAGUCGCCGUCAAGGUCAAACCUGACCAGUGGGGCCCACUGGUCAGUGACACAACUAACUAACAGAGUUAGUUAGUGUUAGGUUAAGCACUAAUCUAGGUUAAUUAGCACUAAACUAAACCUAACUAAUAAUUAACAGGGGCGGGCCCACGCAUCAGUGACCCUGGGGGUCAAACAGGGGUCAAAUCUGGGUCAACUCGCCGAAUUUGACCCACGGCUCAUCGCCGGCGAGGCCAGAGAAGGCGGAGGGGCUCGGGAUUCCUCCUCCGGCAACCAAAUGGCCGGCGGAGGGCAUCUACGGGACGUGGGCACUCGUCCGCGUCGAGUGGUGGCAGUGGUUGGGCCUGGGAUGGCCGGAGUCGUCACCGGCGUCGACCUUGGCAGUCGCCGGAGCUCGGGUGAGCUCGGAGUCGACGCUACGGUGGGCGGGGUGGCUCGUGCGGGGCACCUACGUGCUCUAAGCGGUGCGGGGAGGGAGCUGAGCACGAUGGCCGGACCGUUGGGUGGCGGGAGACACGUCGGCGGCGAGCACAGGUGGCGGCGCGUGCGGGCGAGCAAGGUGCAGUGGCUACGGUGCACGAGAGCGAGAACGGGGAGGGGGAAAGGGUCAGUGGCUCACGGCGAGUGCAAGGGAGUGAACGGCGAGCUCGGGGAGGCAUGGACGACGACGGGGCAUCUCCGGCGAUCUGAGGGGCAGAAGGUUGAAGGCGACGGUGUCGGCAGCGUUCGGGGGCGUCCGGCGUUGGUUGACUCAGCGGAGAGGGUGUGGGCGACAAGGCGAUGGCCGUGGACACGUCGGCGAGGCGAGGGGGAGGCGGUGGCUGCGACAGCAGCGAUCGGCGGUGACAACUGCUCUUGGUGGAGAGAACAGAGGAGGGGGAGAGCGUUCGGGGGAGAGAGAAGAGAGGUGCAGGGGUCGAGGGGGAGUGCGUGGCACUCAGGGAGGCGUCCAGACCCUCAGCAGCAAGUAGGAGCUGGCGAGGCGCGUGUUCGCGAGCGGCGGCCACGCGCGUUGCGUCCUUCUGGCGCGGGGUAAGUGGUGACUGGCAGGCGUCAGUGGGCUGGGCCGGCAUAGUGCCAGGCCAGGUAAGUGGCCCAUGUGAGUCCUUUCUCUCUCUUUUCUAAUUCUGUUUCUGUUUUCUAUUUAUAAUGUAACUUCAGGGCUUUAUUAAAAAUAGCUAGGCACUUUCAAAAAUCAUGCAACUGACUGUGGCAACUGUUUGGAAUAUAACCAACAGUAAACAUUUCAGUUUAUGAUUAUUUGGACAUGUAAAAUAUUUUAUAGCAUUUAAAUGUCCAAAUGCAAAUAACAUAUGAUUUAAUCCAGUGACCUUAUGAUGUCCUAGAAAAGUGUGCACCAUUUUUGUCAGAGGUUCUAGACCAAGGCAAGAUGAUGAACAUUUUAGAAGGGCAUUUCAGGUUCAUUGAAAAAGAUUUUAGUAAACCCUAGUUGGAUUAAGGGGGUGCUGGGGGUUCUGUCAUCCCCAUUUCCAAAUUUCUGAGCAAGAUAAACAUGAUGCAACACCAUAGGCUAGCACUAGGCAUUACUAGAACCAGGGAUGUGACAACUCACCCCCACUAAACAAGAAUCUCGUCCCGAGAUUCAAGCGUAGGGUAAGAUGGAAGGGGAAGGCAUAACUAACACAACCUUCACGAUCCAGACUGCAGUUCAUAAGAACGUUGAUACGAUCACCAACUUUGUCUCGAUGUCUUGCUCUGAGAACUCCAACUAACAUGACAACGAGAGGAAAGGGAAAACUCUAGAAGGAUCGAUCUUCUCGAAGAUCGAACAACUCAGGAUCAACUCACGGAAUGAGACAUAGCAACAUCUCUCGAGCUGAGACACGAAGCACACAUCCAAAGGAAUGGAGUGAAGCAGAUGACGAAGGUUCACUACGUACACAACAAUUUCACGCUUAACAAGGUGGUGAAUGGUUGUCAACGUAGCGAGGAUUUGAGUUGCCAUGAUACCAUAAUGAGACACCUUAGAGGAGGUGACUCGUAGAGUUAUUUCCUUAAGUGGCAAAAAGAGUUACUUUUGAUUCAGAGAUCAAAAAAAUUCUCUAAACCAGCCUAAGGCAGUUCACCAACAAUCGUUUGGGGGAGUACGAAAGGAUGGCAUACCCGGACUAGAAUGAAUGAUGUGGACUACCUUGUUGAAGACAACGCAAUGGAUGUUUUUGCUUAUCAUCGGAAAUGGAUGGAAUCUGUGGUAGGACCACUUUGAAGAUGAUCCUGAUUAGUAAUUACUGAGAAAGGUAAUCCAUAGGGGAUGGCACAAUGGCGGUGCAAGCUGGGAACAAAAUGCAAAUGCUGGGAAUGAUUCUAGUAACUGGGGAGAAACUCAACAGACGAGAGUGAUUCCACUGUUUGAAUGGUUCUAGCAUAAUCGAGGAAACUGAGAGAAAAUCCUAAUUAAUGCCAAUGAUAGAACCUAGUGCUUGCGCGUGCUCUCAAGAACUUGAGCAUUUCCAUAUUCAUCAAGGUUUACCAACAUCCGAGCCAAGAUCUUGGUGACACCUCGUACUAUCAUGAUGAAGGUUGGUGGAGGAUACGGAUGCAAAGGAAGAUAACACUUCUCAAAUUUCACCUUAGCGAGGCCAAGGAAAAAAAUCUGGAUGAUCGACCGAGAGACAUUUGGCACUCCGCUUCUAAUGUUCUCCUCGAUGUGCUAGCGUAACCCAUUUGAUAUGGUUUGGUAUCUUGAACAUCAAGUAGAAGGUCGGACUUUGGGAGCGCAAGAGUCCAUAAGGAAUAACUACAGAAGUAAAUCCUACGGAAUCCUUAUGGGGAGGUGGCCAACUUCCUCAAACAAGAUACCACAAUAAUAGGUCUUCCGGUUGGGUGUGUUGGCCACGACAUCCACUCUACCGGUUACAGAGAGACCAAUAUUAUAGCUCUUGGGAAACAUUCCAACCAUCACAUCUGCCCGAGAUUCAGAUCUGGUUAGUGACAAGAUAUUCCAGACAUCUGCGUGUCUGAAAAGGAAAGUUUGCAACACAAAUCAACGAGAUAGGGUCGCGAGAUUCUCGGGAAAUGAACUACGAUAGCAAGCUCCAAAACAUGAGUUGGUUCUGCUGCACACAUGUGAACACGCUGUNNNNNNNNNNNNNNNNNNNNNNNNNNNNNNNNNNNNNNNNNNNNNNNNNNNNNNNNNNNNNNNNNNNNNNNNNNNNNNNNNNNNNNNNNNNNNNNNNNNNGUAGCCACACUCAAUUCAACUAAAGUUGGAGAAACUAACACCCGCCAGCCACCUGUGUGCGAAGCACGUCAGUAGAACCAGUCUCGCGUAAGCAUACGCGUAAUGUCAGUCCGGGCUGCUUCAUCCAACAAUACCGCCGAAUCAAAGUAUGACAUGCUGGUAAGCAGUAUGACUAGUAUCGCCCACAAAUCACUUGUGUUCUACUCGUGCAUAUAACAUCUACGCAUAAACCUGGCUCGGAUGCCACUGUUUGGGAACGUAGUAAUUUCAAAAAAAUCCUACGCACACGCAAGAUCAUGGUGAUGCAUAGCAACGAGAGGGGAGAGUGUUGUCCACGUACCCUCGUAGACCGAAAGCGGAAGCGUUAUGACAACGCGGUUGAUGUAGUCGUACGUCUUCACGAUCGACUGAUCCUAGUACUGAACGUACGACACCUCCGUGAUCUGCACACGUUCAGCUCGGUGACGUCCCACGAACUCACGAUCCAGCAGAGUGUCGAGGGAGAGCUUCAUCAGCACGACGGCGUGAUGACGGUGAUGAUGAAGCUACCGGCGCAGGGCUUUGUCUAAGCACUACGACGAUAUGACCGAGGUGGAUUAUGGUGGAGGGGGGCACCGCACACGGCUAAGAGAUCAAUGAUCAACUUGUGUGUCUAUGGGGUGCCCCUUGGCCACGUAUAUAAAGGACGGAGGGAGGAGGAGGCCGGCCCUCAUAGGGCGUGCCCAAAGUGUGGAGUCCUACUAGGACUCCCUAGUCCUAGUAGGAUUCCACCUCCCACAUGGAAUAGGAAAAAGGGAAGGCAGAAGGAGAAGGAAGGAAGGGGGCACUCCCUUUCCCUAGUCCAAUUCGUACCAGUCCAUGGGGAAGGGGUGCGGCCACCCUUGAGGCCUUUCUCUCCUUUCCCGUAUGGCCCAUUAAGGCUCAAUACGAAUUCCCGUAACUCUGCGGUACUCCAAAAAUAUUCGAAUCACUCGGAACCUUUCCGAUGUCCGAAUAUAGCCUUCCAAUAUAUCGAUCUUUACGUCUCAACCAUUUCGAGCCUCCUCGUCAUGUCCACGAUCUCAUCCCGGACUCCGAACAAAUUUCGGUCAUCAAAUCACAUAACUCAUAAUACAAAUCGUCACAGAACGUUAAGCGUGUGGACCCUACGGGUUCGAGAACUAUGUAGACAUGACCGAGACACAUCUCCGGUCAAUAACCAAUAGCGGAACCUGGAUGCUCAUAUUGGCUCCCACAUAUUCUACGAAGAUCUUUAUCGGUCAAACCACAUAACAACAUACGUUGUUCCCUUUGUCAUCGGUAUCUUACUUGCCCGAGAUUCGAUCGUCGGUAUCUCAAUGCCUAGUUCAAUCUCGUUACCGGCAAGUCUCUUUACUCGUUCCGUAAUGCAUCAUCCCGCAACUAACUCAUUAGUCACAUUGCUUGCAAGGCUUAUAGUGAUGUGCAUUACCGAGAGGGCCCAGAGAUACCUCUCCGAUACACGGAGUGACAAAUCCUAAUCUCGAUCUAUGCCAACUCAACAAACACCAUCGGAGACACCUGUAGAGCAUCUUUAUAAUCACCCAGUUACGUUGUGAUGUUUUAUAGCACACAAGGUGUUCCUCCGGUAUUCAGGAGUUGCAUAAGCUCAUAGUCUGAGGAACAUGUAUAAGUCAUGAAGAAAGCAGUAGCAAUGAAACUGUAACGAUCAUAAUGCUAAGCUAACGAAUGGGUCUUGUCCAUCACAUCAUUCUCCUAAUGAUGUGAUCCUGUUCAUCAAAUGACAACACAUGUCUAUGGUUAGGAAACAUAACCAUCUUUGAUAAACUAGCUAGUCAAGUAGAGGCAUACUAGGGACACUUUGUUUUGUCUAUGUAUUCACACAUGUACUAAGUUUCCGGUUAAUACAAUUGUAGCAUGAAUAAUAAACAUUUAUCAUGAAAUAAGGAAAUAAAUAAUAACUUCAUUAUUGCCUCUAGGGCAUAUUUCCUUCAGUAGGACUGGCAGAUUCACAAAUAUAACGAAGAACUCAUCAAGAGCACUCUUAUUGUGAUCUUUUGGCUCAAAAACUUCUUCCAUAAGCAGUUCAUGGUAUUUGGAAGAAGGAAAUACCACGGACCUCGAGGACUAUCGCAAGGGUUGCUAAUAUCCUAAAGGAACGAGCAAACACUAUCAACAUGAAUGAGUAGGGUGAAUCUCGGGUUCAAAAACCCAGGAAUAGAAUGCCUACUAACUAAGUGGCAUCACGAGAUGCUUUCGAGAAUGAUGGCCAGAAUCAUCACACUGGGAAUACAAGCAUUGCUAGAUUGCUGAGUGGUUCUCUAAGAUGCCUAGGGUCAUAAUAAUGGCUUAAACAUAUAUGUCGAGGCAACGGAGUACCUCAACUCAGCAAUUAGUGUGGUUAAUCUGGCCCAAAGGUACAUCGAGUACGGAUAGAAGGGAUUUGCAAAUGCAUCAGACUAUUUAGAAACCUGGGACGACUCGGACAACAUAACGUCUGCAAAUGCUCAAAAUAUUUGAGACAUCCUGCAAAAUGGUGGCAUAACCACUCAACAUCACAAUAUCAAGGUUCUGAGAUCAACUGUCAUCACACGGAGGUAGUAGAAACUGAACUGAGACUUGAAUCCAUCAAUCCUAUGAGUCUACGGAUUAGUAACACAUGAACCUGAUAGAAAGAUGAGAAGCUUAGUUCUUAACCCCGUAGGAAAGAUAGGAUGACUCAGAUCAGAAGGACAUAAGGCAUAAGGAGUAAAAAGAGCCUUACUUUCCCUUCCACAAUCAAUUCCCUUAUAUAACAAAAGCAUUUCUAGACACGACUUCGACAAGUUUGGCUUGGUAAUCCUACAGGCAGUCAGGCUCUGAUACCAAAGCUAUCAGGACCCCGAUCCUAAGUCACACCGAUCAAGUAUGUAACAGAUCAUAUAACUUUGUGGCCUCACGCACGGUAUUCCCAUGGGUGCCACCUUACCUGGCCCGGGACUGUUUGCGCCUUUUGGCUCACAUAUAUGAUAGUGUCGCUAGCAUCCAUAUGACAGAGAACCUGGGCCGACAUGACUAGUCGUAAACCCAAAGUGGCACUAACUUAUAGGGACAAGCAUACAUGACCCAACAACGAACGUGUCGGUCAUCAGCGAGUGAAUCUGGGCUGUAGCAGCUGGGCUAACAAGACUCCAGAGAAUCCGGGCUGUAGCAGGCUAACAGGACUCCGGUAGACACCGCGUGACAUUUCCCCGAAGGGACAGACACAUGAACGAAGAAGGACACAUGCCGGCCAGCCUAAGUGUUCCGGAGCAGUAGCAAGCUACCAUGGCUCAGUGGAAGCACUAGGAGACAUUUCCCGGUAAGAGAGGCUACCAAGAAUAAACAACUAGGUUGUCGGAUCCCACACAUACCAAGCAUUUCAAAAUCAUACACACAAUAUGCUCGAUAUGUGCAAAUACAACAUGGCAUCACAACAAAACUCUAUGACUCAAAGUAUUUAUUCAUAAGGCUCCGAAGAGUCAUACAGAGUAAGAAUUACAAUCAUGGGUCACAUGACCCAACAUACAGAGCAUACAGGCAACGGAAGCAUAAACAUGUCUGGGUACAGACAUCUGAAAAGGAAGAAGGCCUUAGAGCCUGACUAUCUACAAGACCCUCCCAAGGGUACAAGAUCGUAGCUGAGGUAACAAGCUAAACGUCGAAGUCCACGUGGAAAUACUAGUGAGACUGAGGUCUCUCUGCAAAAACAUAAAUUAAGCAAACGUGAGUACAAAUGUACCCAGCAAGACUUACAUCAGAACUAGCUACAUAUGCAUCAGUAUCAACAAAGGGGUGGUGGAGUUUAACUACAGCAAGCCAGCUUUGACUCAGUGGCUAUCCUGUACUAUGACUGCUGGUAACUUUUUUUGAGGUGGCGCACACGAGUCCACAUGUUCACCAUAUCAAUACACCACUAUGGAUCCGCUCCCGUCUCCCUACAAGAACGCCAUCCAUAGCACUCACACUUAUCUUGCGCGUUUUAGAGUAUCCACUUUCACUUGUCUAUGAACUGUACAGGCAACCGAGAGGUCCUUUACCGCGGACGUGGCUAUUCGAAUAGAUGAUGUUAACCCUGCAGGGGUGUACUUCUUCACACACGCUCACCUCACUUACCGCCAUGUACACGUCAUGUAUCUCGGCAACCUUCAAGCGGAAGCCUGGCGAGGGUGUCAGCCACGACCUGACUAAUCACACAAGUCCCUAGUCCAGGUUUAUCGCCUAUUCAGGUUCCAUCCGCAGGGAGUCCGGCCGAGGUUUCCACAUACGGCCCCGAACGAUGUGUACAGGGUUCCGCGACACCAAACGGGCGCCCGGCAUACCCGGCCAUGUGCCUACCGCAUCACAGCCCACCCCUCGGGUCAGCACUGCGCACGGCCUCCAGCAACUACAAACACCAGAAACUACUUGCAACUCCUAGAUAGAGGACAAGGGAGGCUAAUAAGUCGAGAGGGUCAAUUAAGGAUCCCAAUGAGUGGUAGUAGUUGUUCAUGGAUCACAAACACAGAACUCAGUUCCUGAGGAUGGCUUCAAUGAGACAACCCACCAUGUACUCCUACAUGGCCUCUCACCGCUACCUUUACCAAAUCGUGUUCACACACUUCGUUCACACAAAGUAGGACAUGUUCAUCACCAUUCCAAUUCAUCCCUGAUGAAUCAGACCUGACUCAACUCUAAGCAGUAGCAGGCAUGAAAAACAAGCAUGAAUGAGUAGGCACAUCAGGGCUCAAACAACUCCUACUCAUGCUAGUGGGUUUCAUCUAUUUACUGUGGCAAUGACAGGUCAUGCAGAGGAAAAGGGGUUCAACUACCGCAGCAUGUAACAGUUGAAUCGUUGUUGUCCUAAUGCAGUAAAAGAGAGCAGGAGCGAGAGAGUGGGAUUGUAUCGGAAUGAACAAGGGGGGUUUGCUUGCCUGGCACUUCUAAAGAUAGUAAUAGCUCUUCAUCGAUCUCAUCGUCGGAGCGUCGUAUACUCAGAGGGGACAAUUACCGGCAAACAAGGAAGAACACAAUCAAUGCAAUGCUCAAUAUGAUGCAUGAUUAGGACAUGGCAAAAUGAGUGUGUUGGGCUAAUGCAACUACAACCAGCUGGGUUUGAGUCAUUUUGAACCAAAGGUUCAAUCCCAAACUCAACUUAUGAAUUUAAAUAGUGCUUUAUCAUGUUUUGAUAUAAACAGCAGGGUUAAGUUACUUUAACAUGCAUGAAACUAGUACAGAUGGAUAGAUUGGAUUUUUUUGAUCAUUUUUCAUAUAUAAAUCUUUGCAUUUGGAGUUACAGAUUAAUUUCUAUGAUUUUUAGAAGUUAGCACUAUUUUCUGGAAUUCCCUGAGUAAGAAUAAAUCCAGAAAAACCUAUUACUGCGUCAGCAUUGCAUCAUGCUGACCUCAGUAGGUCAACAUGCGUCGUCCUGGUCAAACCUGACCAGUGGGGCCCACUGGUCAGUGACACAACUAACUAACAGAGUUAGUUAGUGUUAGGUUAAGCACUAAUCUAGGUUAAUUAGCACUAAACUAAACCUAACUAAUAAUUAACAGGGGUGGGCCCACGCGUCAGUGACCCUGGGGGGUCAAACAGGGGUCAAACCCGGGUCAACUCGCCGGAGUUAACCCACAGCUCGUCGCCGGCGAGGCCAGAGACGGCGGAGGGGCUCGGGAUUCCUCCUCCGGCAACCAAAUGGCCGGCGGAGGGCAUCUACGGGACAUGGGCACUCGUCCGGGUCGAGUGGUGGCAGUGGUUGGGCCUGGGAUGGCUGGAGUCAUCACCGGCGUCGACCUUGGCGGUCGCCGGAGCUCGGGUGAGCUCGGAGUCGACGCUACGGUGGGCGGGGUGGCUCGUGCGGGGCACCUACGUGCUCUACGCGGCGCGGGGAGGGAGCUGAGCACGACGGCCGGACCGUUGGGUGGCCGGAGACACGUCAGCGGCAAGCACAGGCGGCGGCGCGUGCGGGCGAGCAAGGUGCGGUGGCUACCGUGCACGAGAGCGAGAACGGGGAGGGGAAAAGGGUCAGUGGCUCACGGCGACUGUAGGGGAGCGAACGGCUAGCUCGAGGAGGCACGGACAACGACGGGGCAUCUCCGGCGAUCUGAGGGGCAGAAGGUUGAAGACGACGGUGUCGGCGGCGUUCGGGGGUGUCCGGCGUUGCUUGACUCAGCGGAGAGGGUGUGGGCGACGAGGCGAUGGUCGUGGACACGUCGGCGAGGCGAGGGGAGGUGGUGGCUGCGGCAGCAGCGAGCGGCGGCGACGGCUGCGCUCGGUGGAGAGAACAGAGGAGGGGGAGAGCGUUCGGGGGAGAGAGAGGAGAGGUGCAGGGGUCGAAGGGGAGUGCGUGGCACUCGGGGAGGCGUCCAGACCCUCAGCGGCAAGCAGGAGCUGGCGAGACGCGUGCUCGUGAGCGGCGGCCACGCGCGCUGCGUCCUUCUGGCGCGGGGUUAGUGGUGACUGGCAGGCGCCAGUGGGCUGGGCCGGCAUAGUGCCAGGCCAGGUAAGUGGCCCAUGUGAGUCCUUUCUCUCUCUUUUCUAAUUCUGUUUCCGUUUUCUAUUUAUUUUGUAACUUCAGAGCUUUAUUAAAAAUAGCUAGGCACUUUCAAAAAUCAUGCAACUGACUGUGGCAACUGUUUGGAAUAUAACCAACAGUAAACAUUCCAGUUUAUGAUUAUUUGAACAUGUAAAAUAUUUUAUAGCAUUUAAAUGUCCAAAUGCAAAUAACAUAUGAUUUAAUCCAGUGACCUUAUGAUGUCCUAGGAAAGUGUGCACCAUUUUUGUCAGAGGUUCUAGACCAAGGCAAGAUGAUGAACAUUUUAGAAGGGCAUUUCAGGUUCAUUGAAAAAGAUUUUAGUAAACCCUAGUUGGAUUAAGGGGGUGCUGGGGGUUCUGUCAUCCCCAUUUCCAAAUUUCUGAGCAAGAUAAACAUGACGCAACACCAGAGGCUAGCACUAGGCAUUACCAGAACCAGGGAUGUGACACGCCAACUAUUGCUUCUACGACUAUCGCUACCGCUUAGUGAUAAAGUAAAGCAAUUACAUGGCGAUUGCAUAUCAUACAAUAAAGCUACAACCAUAUGGCUCCUGCCAGUUGCCGAUAACUGUUACAAAACAUGAUCAUCUCAUACAACAAUUUAUAUCUCAUCACGUCUUGACCAUAUCACAUCACAACACGCCCUGCAAAAACAAGUUAGACGUCCUCUACUUUGUUGUUGCAAGUUUUACACGGCUGCUACGGGCUUCUAGCAAGAACCGUUCUACCUACGCAUCAAAAUCACAACGAUUUUUCGUCAAGUGUGUUGUUUUAACCUUCAUCAAGGACCGGGCGUAGUCAAACUCGGUUCAACUAAAGUUGGAGAAACAGACACCCGCUAGCCACCUGUGUGCGAAGCACGUCGGUAGAACCAGUCUCAUGAACGCGGUCAUGUAAUGUCGGUCCGGGCCGCUUCAUCCAACAAUACCGCCGAAUCAAAGUAAGACAUUGCUGGUAAGCAGUAUGACUAUUAUUACCCACAGCUCAUUGUGUUCUACUCGUGCAUAUAACAUCUACACAUAGAGCUGGUUCGAAUGCCACUGUUGGGGAACACAGUAUUUCAGAAAACUUACCAACGAUCACGCAAGAUCUAUCUAGGAGAUGCAUAGCAACGAGCAGGGAGAGUGUGUCCACGUACCCUCGUAGACGGAAAGCGGAAUCAUUUAGUAACGCGGUUGAUGUAGUCGAACGUCUUCGCGAUCCAACCGAUCCAAGCACCGAACGUACGGCACCUCCGUGUUCAGCACACGUUCAGCUCAAUGAUGUCCCUCGAGCUCUUGAUCCAGUUGAGGACGAGGGAGAGUUCCGUCAGCAUGACAGCGUGGCGACGGUGAUGAUGAAGUUACCGGCGCAGGGCUUCGCCUAAGCACUACGACGAUAUGACCGAGGUGUGUAACUGUGGAGGGGGGCACCGCACACGACUAAGACAAUUGAUCUUGUGUGUUCUAGGGUGCCCCCUGCCCCCGUAUAUAAAGGAGAGGAGGGGGAGGCCGGCCGGCCCUGUAGGGCGCGCCAGGAGAGGGGAGUCCUACUAGGACUCCAAGUCCUAGUAGGAUUCCACCUGAGGAAAGGGGGAAGAAGGAAGGGACAGGGAGAAGGGAAGGAAAGGGGGGCGCCGGCCCCUUCUCCUAGUCCAAUUCGGACCCAAGGCGGGGCGGCCAGACCCCUUGUGGCACUUCUCUCUCCCCACUAAGGCCCGUCAUGGCCCAUUAGUUCCCCGGGGGGGGGGGGGUUCCGAUAACCCUCUAACACUCUGAUAAUUAUCCGUUACCUCUCGGAACUCAUCCGGUGUCCGAAUAACAUCGUCCAAUAUAUCAUUCUUUAUGUCUCGACCAUUUUGAGGCUCCUCGUCAUGUCUGUGAUCUCAUCCGGGACUCCGAACAAAAUUCGGUCAUCAAAUCACAUAACUCAUAAUAUAAAUCGUCAUCGAAUGUUAAGCGUGCGGAUCCUACGGGUUCGAGAACUAUGUAGACAUGACCGAGACACAUCUCCGGUCAAUAACCAAUAGCGGAACCUGGAUGCUCAUAUGGGCUCCUACAUAUUCUACGAAGAUCUUUAUCGGUCAAACCGCAUAACAACAUAAGUUGUUCCCUUUAUCAUCGGUAUGUUACUUGCCCGAGAUUCGAUCAUCAGUAUCAUCAUACCUAGUUCAAUCUCGUUACCGGCAAGUCUCUUUACUCGUUCCGUAAUGCAUCAUCCCGUGACUAACUCAUUAGUCACAUUGCUUGCAAGGCUCAUAGUGAUGUGCAUUGCCGAGAGGGCUCAGAGAUACCUCUCCGAUACACGGAGUGACAAAUCCUAAUCUCGAUCUAUGCCAACUCAACAAACACCAUCGGAGACACCUGUAGAGCAUCUUUAUAGUCACCCAGUUACGUUGUGACGUUUGAUAGCACACAAGGUGUUCCUCCGGUAUUCGGGAGUUGCACAAUUUCAUAAUCUGAGGACAUGUAUAAGUCAUGAAGAAAGUAAUAGCAGAAAAACUAAACGAUCAUUAUGUUAAGCUAACGGAUGGGUCUUGUCCAUCACAUCAUUCUCUAAUGAUGUGAUCCCGUUCAUCAAAUGACAACACAUGCCUAUGGCUAGGAAACUUAACCAUCUUUGAUUAACGAGCUAGUCAAGUAGAGGCAUACUAGGGACAGUCUGUUUGUCUAUGUAUCCACACAUGUACUUAGUUUCCGGUUAAUACAAUUCUAGCAUGAAUAAUAAAAAUUUAUCAUGAUAUAGGGAAAUAUAAAUAACAACUUUAUUAUUGCCUUUAGGGCAUAUUUCCUUCACUUUGUUGCUUUGAAUAGUUGUGUGAUUUUGGCAAAACGGAACGUACUUAUCCAUAUAUUCUCCCUACUAUAUUACUCUAAGCAUUUAACUGUUCUUUGUUUACUAGGGAGGUGUGAAAUCCAUCAUAGUUUAUGUUCUCUGGGAGACAUUGUUUCCGUAUAUGCAUAGUAUGUAUCUUUGAACAAUAAUUUCUGGCAAAUGGUUGUUUUAUUUAGCAAAUGUAACAGAUUAUGAUGUCUAUGCGAGCUUCAUUUUUGUACUAUCACGUCAUACCAUUGUCCUACUACUAACAAUGAUUAUAAGGCAUCAAUAUCUGUACUUCAUGCUUCAUCCCUGAACAUAGGUUCUCUCAAGAAUGUUUUGUCAUCCUUUUUUUUUGCAGGCAAGAUCGUUUUGUUAUCCUGAAUGUCUAUUUCAAGCAGUGUUGAUUAUUUUUGUUUUUAGCAUAUAUUCCCGCAGCAACGCGUGGGGUAUCAUCUAGUUUAUAUUAUAAAGAGUAAGCUUUGGAGCUUUGCGGACCUUCAAGGUGGCUCAUCAAAAGUGAAGCCCUUACCAUUGAACGAAUCAGACCGCGCAACACCCCAGACACGUCAUCGAACUCCAGAUCUAGCACCCCACCACGACUAAGACGCCGAAGGAGGAAACCAUACCUGCCAUCCACGAACCACGAACCCAGCAGACGUUCCGUCUUUCAGAUAUCGUCGAUGCAGACUACAAUCUGCAUCCGCUCCUGGACUACCUCUCAAGCUUCCCGCCGACGCUGGAGCAAACGUCGUUGCAACGGCGGAGCCCGAGGACACAGGUCCACCGCGAGGAUGCCGCCACCGCCACUCCAUCCUUACUUGAACAUAAUGGUUUCCAAAAUCAUCCCCAACCAUAUGACUGAUGGCCUCGUCAGGGAUGGAUCUGAAGAAUCUUUAUUCAGCAUUGUCAUCAUCGCCGCCGAAGCCAAGACGAUAAACAGUCUAAAACCCUAGACUACGAGAAAGUAAAAACGAUCCCCGCGCGUGGAUCCGGCGACCCCCCUCACCACCAACUACCGAGGUCACCGGUGGAGGGGAGCCGCCGGAGGACGGCGCUAGAAGAUUGGCCUCCUGGUGGCGGCUAGGGUUCCAGCCACCAAGACGCGAGAGGAAAAACGGUCUGAGUGGAUCCUCUGCGUGACAGAAAUUGUACUGAGAUUCCAAAACUAACUGGGCGUAUAUCGGUACAAAGGGAGUACAUUGUGAAAAUAUGUCUUCUUCAACCGGCUAGCAUAAAAAACGCAGAAAAUAUUUUUUGGGGCCAAAUAGAAAGCAAACUUUAAGAAAAGGCCAAAUAAAAAAUUAUCUCUUUCCAGUCUCAUCCCAAUGCAUCAAUAUGCCUUGGACUGCAUAUCAUUUUUGUUGCAUCAGAUUGCCAAGGUGUUAUCCAAGACAUUCUGUGGGGUUCGAGCGGCCCCAUGGAGCGAUCAUAACAGAAAUAGGACGUCGGAGGACUUUAUUUCAGUCUUGUAAUUUCUCUUUUGAGUGUAGGAGCUCUAAUUUCGAAGCUCACGAUCUCUUCAAAUAUGUUAUUUCUUUACAUAGUGGUCAUCAUAUUUGGUUGGGUCAUCCCCAUGAUCCAACUACUGUGCCUAUGAACAUUGUUUUGAGUUAAUAGAGAUGGCGAGAUUUCGCAUAAAGAAAAAAAGAAAAAAUGGGUCUGUGAUCCAGCCUCCUGUACUACAAGUUUUCUAGAACUGCAUUAUCAAAUUUACAAUUCCAUUGAUCGUUCGUGAGCGCACGAUCAAGAUGUUCACGAACAUUUUCUCGCUGCCAAGUGUACAGGUCAUCAACGCAAGCGAAGUCUGAAAGGUUACAGUCUUGUACGGUAUCUCUGAAAGCUUGCAUAUAUCUUUCUGGCCGAACAUUCCCUCCCUCUUCAAAAAGAUACAAAAUUUCGUUCAAGUUACCCAACACCAUCCAAGGCAUAUCUUUUUUUUCGAAAAACUGUCGAUCUAUUCAUCUUCAAUCAUGACAGUACAAUGAACACCAGAAAUAAUGAAAAUUACAUCCAGAUUCAUAGACCACCUAGCGACGACUACAAGCACUGAAGCGAGCCGAAGGCGCGCCGCUGUCAUCGCCCCUCCCUCGUCGGAGCCGGGCACAACUUGUUGCAGUAGACAGUCGGGAAGUCCUCGUGCUAAGGCCCCAUAGGACCAACGCAUCAGAAUAGCAACCGCCGCCGAUGAAGAGAAGCUUAGAUCGAAAGGAUCCAACCUGAAGACAUAUGAACAAAGACGAACAAAGACUGGAUCCGAGCGGAUCCAUCAAAGAAAACCACCGACCGAAUCCCGCGAGAUCCGCCGAAGACACACCUCCACAAGCCCUCCGACGAUGCUAGACACACCAUCGGAACGGGGGCUAGCCGGGAAGAACGUUAUUCCGUCUUCAAGAAGCCGUCGUCGUCUCGUCUUCUUAAGAAUGACACAAACCCUAACAAAACUUGAGAAAGCACCUGAAAACGGAGCCCUCCCGUCGGCAAGGACCGGGAUCCACCGCGCACCCAUGGCCCUAAGGCCACAGGAGACAUGGGAGAUCAGCGGCGCCGCCAACGGGAGGUAGAAACCCUAGCCGCCUAUUCUUAUCCAAGGCAUAUCACACACAACAUGCAACUCGCUGAGUCUCUGCCAAGUUAGAUGUUUACUCUCUGCACCUCAGCUCUCCAUACACGCCUGCCAAUCUCCAUAUGUUCUCCUAUCUGCUUCCCACAAACACAUCUAUAAUUUGGUGUCUUAUGCAUAAGAGAAAUCACCACCUCCUUCCAAAAUAAUACCAAUUCACCUUUCCUCCCGUCACUGCAGACAACCUCCUUGUGAUCCAUCGUCAAUCUGCGCAAAAAAUUUCAGCAGGAUAUUCGUCCAGAUGGUUUCAGAUAGAAUAAGGAUAUCCGCUCUUCUCAUCUUCUGGAUAUCCAGAAGCACACGAACUGUCGCCUCCUUAUGCAGGCAGCGACAGUUCCAUCCCAAGAUUCACGCAGUAAGAAGCCCUAAAGCGCGACAGUUUCAGCCCAAGAUUCAUGCAGUGAGAAGCCACCCUCAAGGGAACACCUCAAAUAACCAAUCAGCAAGAAACCAGAGCUUCCACGCAUUAAAGGAACAUGCAGACGACCUGGCGAAGCAAUCUGGCUAGAUCAACAACAACACCUGCCACGGAGCAAGUUAGGGUCGGACAAAGUACAGACGACCUGACGAGCAGACCGGCUGAAAUCAAAGACGAGACCACAAGCCAAUGCAGAGUGAAGUGGUCGGAAAAUAGCAGCGGCGUCGGCCGGCGCGGCCACUGACCUAGAUCGCCUUUUUUUUCUAUCACAAGAAACCGCAAAGGUUGGAGACACGCAUUGUUGGCUGUUUUGCGUGAGCACUCAGGAGGGAGCACCAUAUUAUUUGCAACAUUGAGUGCUUUAGAUAAAAACAGCACCAGUGACGGUAAUAUAUAGUUCGAAACAAUACUGGAUACAACGUGUGGCACGAACACAUGGCAACUCCGAACAUUUUUUAUGACAAGUUUAGUGACGCAAGGAUGGCAACUUUAGUUGUAAACCAUGGCAACUUUUUUUUGGAUGGCAAGUUUCAGUUUAUUUUUAGGUUUCUUUUUGUUUUUUGAAUGACAACUUUAGUUGUAAAAUACAUUGGGGUCAGAGUGCUUCGUGCCACACGUGACACUUAUCAUUUGGGUAAAAAAAAGGAUAUUUCACAAAGCUGAACCGUUGAUUCAUUUACAAAGAGCAUCUACUCGACCAUAGUAGAGACAUGACAUAAUGCCAAGAGAUAAAUAGUAUGUCAGCCUACAACAAGAUGAGAAACUUGGUGCUGCCGGUGGUCAUCAUUCUCCUAUAACAGUAUUUCCCUUCAAAGAAACAACUCCAAACAGGAGGAGCUUCACCAGAAUCCCCAAAAAACACGAAACGGCAUCAACCCACUCCACAUUAGCAAAGAUUGCUGUACUGUGCGAUUGGCCAGCUGAUACACAAGUAGAAUAGUGAGCGCAGAAGAAAGGAUAUUGUCCUAAAUUAACUAGGUGGAAAGGUAAAUACCUAUAGAAGUUUUUCUCCAGAGUCUCCUCCACAGGAAGAUAUAUUGAAUGCUUACUGUUGUCCUCAGCCUUAAUAAAAGUAACCCCCACCAUUUUUCCAAUAUUCUCCGCUAAGAUUUCGAACAACUAGUGAGAUCAAAACAAAAACAAAAUACACAUGAGAACAAACAGAAACGCAUGAACAUAAAUAAUCAGAAAAUAAUGUCCAAUGUAGUCAGAACUUCAACUCAAAAAAUAGCAUUGCACGCUUGUAGUAAUAAUAGUAAAUACUCCCUCCAUUCCAAAAUAAGUGUCGUGGUUUUAGUGAAAAACCACAACACCUAUNNNNNNNNNNNNNNNNNNNNNNNNNNNNNNNNNNNNNNNNNNNNNNNNNNNNNNNNNNNNNNNNNNNNNNNNNNNNNNNNNNNNNNNNNNNNNNNNNNNNNNNNNNNNNNNNNNNNNNNNNNNNNNNNNNNNNNNNNNNNNNNNNNNNNNNNNNNNNNNNNNNNNNNNNNNNNNNNNNNNNNNNNNNNNNNNNNNNNNNNNNNNNNNNNNNNNNNNNNNNNNNNNNNNNNNNNNNNNNNNUGAAUGUCACAAGAUAAGUAGCCAGACAUAGAUGUACCUGUAAACUCGUAGCCACAGGUUUCCCAUUGCAUGUAAUAAUAAGAUCUUUUUGCUGUAAUCCCGCUGAUUUCACAGAUCGAGGUACCUUGUCGGGAGUUAGUAUUGUUGGACCUCUUGGAUCGGGUAGGCUAGAAUUCCGGCAACAGUGGUGAUAGGUGUUACCUUCUCCUUUGCCUGAAGAGCUGCCGCCGGUGGCCAUGGUGGGAUGGUGGCGGUAGUGAUGGCAGAUCGUGGGUGAAGUGGUGACGGCGCUUCCCGUCAGCACUGCACUAACCCUAGAUCGGUAGGGAUGUAGGUGGGGUGUACGGCGUUGCGACGAACCUCGUAUGCCGAGCCGACGACCCCACCUCUUUAUAUAUAGUGCAGGUGACAGGGGCCCGUCAACCAUAGUGGGUUGAGCGCCCCCGAUCAGGGCGCGGAUCUAAGGGCCCGGUGGGCCGUUGGGCCCACACGGUGGAGAUCAUCCUAACAUUCUCCCCCUUGAUCUCAACUUUUACUUUUGACCUUAUACUUUUACUUUACUCGUUUCAUAACAGAUCAGUACAUAGAACAUGUUUCAUCGUCACAGCUCAAUUGCCGAUAGAAUCAGACAGCCACAACGUACCUCUCAGUUUUGAAACAAAUUCUUUAACCUUGGGCCCUUUUAUUGUCCGGAAAUUUUAGACUAUACCAUAAAACCCAUGUCGACUGUGUGUUCUCCAAACACACUGGGCGGUAAGCCUUUAAUAAGCAGAUCUGCAAAAACUUGUUUGUUGCUUUUAUGCUCCAAGCAUUUCAACAUAAUUCCGGACUUUUCUCCUUAACAACGUACAACUUUGUGUCAAUGUGUUUGGCACCACACUUGACUCGUUGUCAUAGGAGUGAAUUACUUAAAUGGUUAUCGCUGCUGUCAACCAUUAUCAACUCCGGGUACAGGUUUCCAUAACGAUUUUGCCUGUCCCUCAGCCUCAUAUCAUGCUAUACUUUAUAUUUGCAUCACAUUGAUGAUAAAUGAUUCAUUCUAUAGAGUUCUUCCACACAAAAACUCCUAAUGUGAAGCUCAACGACAAUUGUGGAUUUCGCUGUACAUUUCACAAGUUUUUAUCUUUGUACUCACAACCUUUUGAGAGCACUUGUUUCUUUCAGCAUGAGGCCGAUAUCUUUGACUCCAUUCCAUCAAUUUAAAUAUGUACUGGACAUUGCCAAAACAACCCGGAUAUGUGAACUAUGUCACGGUAAUGUUACACUUAUGCAUUCAUAAAGCUUCCAACAGCUGAAGCAUAUGGUACCAUAUUCAUUUGGUCUAUUUCACAUUGACUCUUGGAACACUAAAGUUCCCAAAAUCAUUACCCUUUACUAUAAGAACAGGCGUAGGUUUUCUCACAUGCAUACUUUAGAGACUUUUCAAAGUAUGCUCAUGCGACACUCCUAAUACCCCCCCUUUUUUUUCUUGGUGAAUCUCAAUAAUUAUAACGAGAGUCACUCCACUGAGAACAUUCUUUUGAACUUUGAGAACAAGAACUUCUUUUCUCCUGCUGCAGUAGAUUGACAUCACCAUUAGCAAGUAGGACGUCAUGCACAUGCACAGGAUUAGGAAAUAAAUUUCCCGUUCUAUAACUUUGCAUGAAUACAAUUGUCUUCUCAUUUUCUUUAACCCAAAAAACAUCUGAUUCUUCUAACUUUAAAUGCCACUGUCUAGAGACUUGCUCUAGUUCACAAAAGACUUCUUGAAGAAGUAUCCCUUGUGUUCUUUACUUUCAUCUGAUGUAACUCGGAUCAUGAUGUCGAUCAUGAUGUGCCACUAACAGGCAAAUUGAUCCUAUAGUCUUUCAUCUCCAAGAAGCAAUAGGUAUUACAGGACCUGUAUCACAAGAUCCAUGUUUACUCAUUCCUCCUUAAUGGAGCUAACAACAGGUGUUGUAUAAGUCAUACAACAUGCUCCCCCAGAUACAAUCUAUUCGAGUCUUAGGUAUUUUCAUACCAUGCUCCCCCAGAUUACUCCAUCUUUACUAAAAAUGGCGUAUCUUUAAACUUUAUUAUUUGGGUUUAUUCUGUUAAAACUUUCUUCUUUAUGGCACCUCAAGCACCGUCUUAGUAUUCCUUAGUCUGCUUUCGGAACUGUAAAAGAUUCAGGAAUACAUCUAUUUCUUUUCUUUAGGGGUAUUAUUAUGAUCGUCGUACUCCCCCAGAUGAUCACAUUCUUCAUUAAUGGAUAUCUCAUAUUUCUUUCUCCCCCUCGAAAUGUGGCAAGAACUUUUCUGCCACAAUUUCGAAAAACCAUUCACAACUCUUGUGAAGUGAGAAAACUUUGAGUAUCUACUUCAUGUAUCUGAUUACUUCAUAUGUAAUGAAGUUAUCUAUUAACGGUAUGGGAGUACUUUUUCCUUAUUCCUCAUUCCAUUUCGGAAACUCAAAAUAGUUCUUUAUCAUUAGUACUUUUGCAAGUCACACUUGCAUAUCAUUCUUAUCUUUAGGUUCGUCUGUAACUUUUAUUCUCUUUGGAUGACUGUUGCACAUAAGGUGUACGGUUGAUACUAGGAAAGCAUAAUAGCUACUCCAUACUUUCUCCCAGAGUGGGACACAUUAAACGCACAUGAGUCAUCAUAUCUUUCUCCUGUCACACAGGAUAAGUCUUAGCCAAAAUUUCUCCUGACGUAUAGGAUUUUUGACAUAAUACUAUGUCAACUUUACCCAGUUAAGCAGGUAUUUUCCCUGACUUUCCCCGCCAUGCGGGUUUUAUCAUAAUCCUCUUUUCCCGCUAUGCGGGUAAUUCCCUGUAAGGAACAUAAAUGCCAGAAUUGGCUCUUUUGACUGCAUAUGCAAUCAUGAAAUUCAGAAAUAAAUCCGAACGCUCUUUGACACACAUGCUUGAUCCGACAUUGGUCAAAUUAAACACGCAUGUUGUUUGUUUCAUCUCAAAUCGUGUUGACUGAAAAAUCUUCUUCAUAUAGAAUACAUGAAAGACAUUCGUCAACCAAGACUCUCAAUGAUCUAUUUGUUUUCUUUUCUUGGAUUAAUAUCCAAGAAUUCUUUUCUUUUGAAGCCAUUCUUUAGAGAGAACAUACUCCCUCACGUUAUGACCUUUCUUGGUCAUCUUUCGGGUAACAAGUACCCAGCCAUUCGCUUUCACGAAUGAAAGCAUGGAAAACUUUUAGUCUGAGAAAACUUAGCCAAUAAUCAACAAUAAUGAGCAUAAAAAAUAACCCUACGUUGUCUGGUUAAAAAAUAUGCACAUUAAACUUUUUAAAACUUUCUUUUAUACUCUAAAUCACCGUUGUGGUAGAAUUAGAAUAAAACUCGUUCUUCUACAUUAAUUCCAUAUCACCGUUGGGCGGAAAUGGAAAUAAUGCAUAUAACUCAUAAACAAUGUGAUGAUAGUAUUUCUAUUAAACAACUUUGCUAAGAAAUAAUCAUCAUCAUCAACUUUAUUGCAGCGGAAACAAGAAAUAUGCAUUUCUCUAGUUCAAGAGCAUUUCUUCAUCUUUAACUGUUCUCUGAAAAUUGAUCACUUUGACACAAAAUUUAUCAGAGUUUAAGCUUUGAACAUAAGACUCGUAGAAUUAUAGUAUUGUUAUCAUCAACGUUAGUCAGAAAAUAACAAUACCAUAUUUUAACUUCAAAACAAAUAUCUUUCUUUUGUCAUAGCGGAAACUAUCUGCAUCUUAUUUCACCCACAAGGGAAAAACAAUGCUAAAAACAGUUCUUCCAAUUAAAUUUUCCCGUUGGUUCCAAUUUAAUUGGAGGAUAAAACUUUUACCAUGCAGUGAAAACUUUACAAUAUUCUAUUUAGAAACAAUUCUGUACUCUUUUACUCGCUAAGCAAUUUUAACCGGUUGGUUCAAAAAAGCGUUCGAGAAGCAACAUUUUAAUCUUUUACUUUAACAUGAUCUUAAAAACUUAAUUCUAUGUAAACUUUUAUUUUCUUGGUAAAAGAGCACUAUGAAUUAUUUACGCAGCGGAAAAUCAUGAAUAGAAAUACAUGAACUUUUAAUUCUUUACAGAAACUUUUCUUUGACAAAAUAAAAAAAUUCAUGAACUUUAUUAUUUUAUUAAUAAAAUUCAUAAACAUUUCCUUUUCAGAAAAUUUUCAUUCACAGAAACUUUUUCUGUUUACUUUGCUAUUUCCUAAACAAAAAAUUUCAUUGGAAAAUGAUUAAAAGGAACGCCGACGGGCCUCUUUGCUAGCAUAGCCCGUCCCACGGCCUACAACGCACGCCCCGCUCGUAGCCUUAACAGCGCGGCCCGCGGCCCACCAGCCUGCUAGGCGAGCACCGCUCGGCCGCCCGAGCACCUCGGUAUAGGACGCGGCUCAGCCGCACAGCCGGCCACGGUCCAGCACGGCCCGGCCGCCCAGGCCUCCACUUUCGGCCCAGAAGCCCACUCUGGCACUAGGGUUUCAAUCCCAGCCGUUCGGUUUGAUCCGACGGUACCCCGCUCUCCUCGCUGGAUCAAAACCAGCCAAACAAGCCGAUCUCGAACCCUAGCCCCGUUUCAGUCUCUCUUCGUCUCUCACCAUCGCUCAUUGGGUCCUGCACGCCGGAGAAAAAACGGGCUUCGCCCCGGCCACCUAGCCCGGCCGCCGCCGGCGGCGGCGGAAGCCACCGCGCCGCGCGCGCCUCCUCUCCCUUCCCCCUUUUUCUUUCUUGUUGCAGAGAGGGCGGGCCGGUCCUCCGAUUUGUGUCCACGGCCGGGGCCCGAGGCCACCGGCGAGCAAGGUCUGGCCGCCGGCGACGGCGACCUGAAGCCACCGCGCCGCGCGCGCGCGGCCCCGUGUUUCAUUUUCCCCUUUACUUUUCUUCAUCCAUCUCCACUGCAACAGAGAGAGAGAGACACGGGAGAGCCUCCUCGUCUCCUCUGCGCCUGAUGGACGAAGAAGAUCCGUGGCGCCGUUGCCUCCCCUUUGCCGGUGGCGCGUUUCCCUUGGCGGAAGCGCGCCGCCGUCGAAUGGCGUGGCUGCGGUGCCCCCUUUGCCCUUUCUGCUCCCCUUUGUUUUCGACGACGACAGAGCACUUUACGACGGCGUCGUGGUCAUCCCCCUCGCCGGCUGCGCGUCCACCUUGCGGUGAGCGCGCCGCCGUCGAGCGGUUUGUUCGCGAUGCCCUUUGCCCCGUGUGGGAUGGUUCUUCUUCCCGGAUCCUCGGCUUGCCGAUGCGAUUCGGGAUCGAGAGGAACGGCGCGGCCGGAGCGGCGGCGCAACUUUUCUUUAAGAUGUCUUUGCCCUCUUUUUGCUGUUAGGGUUCUUGAGGAAGGGGAUCUCUUUUUCUUUUUCUUUUUCUGUUUUUGUUUCUUUGUACCGAAAUCAACUAGCCCGAUCUGGCUGAUACCAUUGUUGGACCUCUUGGAUCGGGUAGGCUAGAAUUCCGGCAACAGUGGUGAUAGGUAUUACCUUCUCCUUUGCCUGAAGAGCUGCCGCCGGUGGCCAUGGUGGGAUGGUGGCGGUAGUGAUGGCAGAUCGUGGGUGAAGUGGUGACGGCGCUUCCCGUCAGCACUGCACUAACCCUAAAUCGGUAGGGAUGUAGGUGGGGUGUACGGCGUUGCGACGAACCUCGUAUGCCGAGCCGCCGACCCCACCUCUUUAUAUAUAGUGCAGGUGACAGGGGCCCGUCAACCAUAGUGGGUUGAGCGCCCCCGAUCAGGGCGCGGAUCUAAGGGCCUGGUGGGCCGUUGGGCCCACACGGUGGAGAUCAUCCUAACAAGUAUCAACACAUUAAAAUAACAUAAAGUGUUACAGUUAUAUGAAAUGUGGCACUUUAUUCUUUAUCAUUUAUACAUUAGCAUGGCUAAUAUUCAUACUGAAACAUGUGCCAGCUUUAGAAAGGCAAUAAGCAAGUUUAAAAACUACCAAAACUUAACAUGUAGGAAAAAUAAUGAAGGCAACGCAUACCCGCUCCACAAGAAAGCCAUCAUCAUAGCUUUCAUAUAAAGACGUGGGAACUUUUACCCAAGGUGAAGACCGAGCAUUAUGUAGAUUAACACAAAAACUCUCAUAGUUGGACGACAAUACAUCCUGUAAAACAAGCACAUAAAUCAAAUGGACAGAGUGCAAGAGAAUUUAGAGCCACAACAAAACUCCCAUAGUUAGGCGACAAUGCCUCCUGUAAAUCAAGCACAUAAAUCAUAUGAACAGAGUGCAAGAGAAAUCAUAGCCACACAUUUGAGCAAGGUAAUGGCUUCCAAAGUUAUAAGAGCAUGCGUACAGGUCAAGCAAAGACAGAUGAUAUCUCAUCAUUUUUUGUGAGCUGCUUCCAGAUAAACACUACUCCCUCCGUUCCAUAUUAAUCUGAUUUAGUACAACUUCCUACUAAAUCAGCGACAAUUAAUAUGGAAUGGAAGAAGUACAUAAGACGACAAUGCUUAGUAUCCAAAGGCAUACCUAGUUUUUUUGAAAUGAUCCCACACCAUUUUAAAAUGAUGUUGGAUGGCAUGUAAGGAGUACAGUCUAGAUCAUGGAAAAGCAUUCCAAUGACUCCGCCAUUUUUGUUUAUUGCUGGACCUCCAAUUGACGCCUACAAGGAAAAAUUGUGUUAUACAGCGAAAAAAGUACUCCCACCAUCCAAUAAUAUAGUACGCACUGGUUGUCUCAAAAGUCAACGUUCACACACUUUGACCAAGUUUAUAGAGAAAAUUAUCUAUAUUUACAAUACCAACAAUAUACCAUAUGAAAUAUAGUCCCUGAUGAAUCUAAUGAUACUCAUUUGGUAUUCUAGAAGUUGAUAAUUUUUUCUAUAAAGUUGGUCAAAGUUUACAAAGUUUGACUUUGAAAAAAUCUAAUAAGCACUAUAUUUUAGAAUGGAAGGACUACUAUAACUAAUUAUUAGACAACUAAAAAAAUGAAAAUGUUACAUAUGUGUUUAUAAAUGUUGCUUUCUGCAUUUCAUGGCAAAACCUAGGGAGAUCUGCCCAACGAUCGUAGCUGGUACAAAAACAACGAGAAAGAAAGUUAGUGCUGGUGUCUAAAUUGCCUAUACCAUCUAUUCACAUUUUUUGUAUUAUUUCGCACCCAGUUUGUAGCAAUUAUGUGUACACAUGGUAGAAAGGAAAACAAUCAUACAACACAUCGCACUUGGAUGGCAUUUGCCAGAACACAAUGCAAAUCAUGUUUCAGUACAUGGACACUGAUAAAUGUGUGAAGUUGCCAGAAUGGACUUUGGCCAUCAAAAUAUGAUUUCCCUCGAUCAUAUAGAGCAUACUCACCUCUAUGCUCCAUUCACACUUCUAUUCAGACCCCCUGCUCUUAAUCCUUAAUCCAUUCCACCUCAAUGGAGAUGGAAAAGAUUGCCUCAUCUCCAACUUUGUCUACCACACACUCAAAUUCUGACCGAGUCCUCACGUUCAACCCUGAUGUCCGUGGCCACCUCCAACUCCGUCCAAGAGUCGAUGGCACUGACAACCACUAUAGCAUGCAACUCGAAAACCCACUAAAAUGAAAAUGUAUUCCACCUCGUGCCCAUCCUUUCCCAAAAUUGUGUUUGAUUGUUUUACUAUUAGCUGACUUCUCUACCUCUUCCCAACUUUGUUGCCCGAGUCUCCCUUCACUGCAGAGCAAUAGAGCAUUUCUCUCCUAUCUUCAUCUUUCGUACACACGCAUCCCUGCCACCAAACCGCUCCAUGCUCCUGGCAAUCUGGUGCAACCACCGGCACUAGAAUUGCCUUGUCACCCUUUUCUCUCCUUUUCCCAUCUUGCAAACCUCACCGUACUCCUGUUAUCACUUACCGAUGUUGUCCGCCGCUUAAACUCCUAAUAAACCUCUCCCUCUCAUUCCCAGGAUAUGUAAAUCANNNNNNNNNNNNNNNNNNNNNNNNNNNNNNNNNNNNNNNNNNNNNNNNNNNNNNNNNNNNNNNNNNNNNNNNNNNNNNNNNNNNNNNNNNNNNNNNNNNNNNNNNNNNNNNNNNNNNNNNNNNNNNNNNNNNNNNNNNNNNNNNNNNNNNNNNNNNNNNNNNNNNNNNNNNNNNNNNNNNNNNNNNNNNNNNNNNNNNNNNNNNNNNNNNNNNNNNNNNNNNNNNNNNNNNNNNNNNNNNNNNNNNNNNNNNNNNNNNNNNNNNAAAUUUAGCUGUGAAGGCUUUUUAGGCAAAUGUGUGCCCUUCUUUUGUGUCCACUGGACUAAUCACCAUUUUUGUUUACUUGUAACAAUUUACUGAAAGCUGGAUUUCACAUAAACAAGGUAUUAACUGUAUGCAGUAAAAAGAAGACAUUUACCUGUAAACUCCACAAUUCGCUUGAAGCCCAAAAGGCUCUGUAGACUGUCGACCAAGUCCGAUAAUGGUAUCGCCAGGACAAAGCCUUUCAGAAGCUGAGUGAGGCUGUAGCACAAAUCCUUGAAGAUGAACAUCCAUUGCAUUUCUGUUCUCGCUAAUUUCCACCAUGUUCAUGGUUUUGACAGCACGACCAAAUGAAACAGACAAUACUAACAAAUUCCAGUGAUUGUCGCAAGCUUCUAUGCUGGCGUCAUAAGAGGUACCAUCAAAUAGAUACUCUCUUAUCUACAAUAAGCAUCAUACAAAUUAGCAACACAUCCCCCACCCACAACCCCAAAAAGAGACCUGUACUCGAUAAGAGCAUUACCUUGUCAAUUUUAGGGAACAUCAGAAUGUGUUCAGAUACAGUUGCACAUGAAAAUAUUGUCCCAAUCAUGCUGGAUUCAUCAAAUUCGACAAUAAAGCCUGAAGCUCUCCACAGCUGAUCGCCAUAAACUAAAAAAUAGCGAUGUAUAAGAUGGCAAAUAAUUUAAGAAAAAAAUGCAAAAGAACUAUGUUUUGACAGGUUUUCCUUCAAUGUGAAACCAGUCAUUUACAGCAAAAUUUAAACCAGGGGCUCUCAUAAAAAUGGAUGAAUAAGCAUAAUGAUAAGGCAGCAACAAGAAUAUGAAAAUGUUCUUCUAAUAAGGAGAAAAUUUUAAAAUAUUGCAGUUAAAAAUAUUAGUGAUCUAAACGCUCUUAUAUUUCUUUACAGAGGGAGUAGAAGAAAGAAGCUUGAGCACACAAUAGAAUACCACUGGAUCAACUGUGAUAGUACAUUCUAAAGUUGUUUAUGCGAAACAGCACCUAGUAGUUAACAAAACUGUACUAAACUUACAUUUAAGUUUUCACAAAGUUGGACAAGAAAAGGUUGCAACUUUUUUGGUUUGCAACCUUUUCUAGCACAACUUUGUGAAAAAAAAUUGCAAGCUUUUCUUGUCCAACUUUGGGGAAACUUAAAGUAAACAAAAAAAAAGGUGAACUCUUUGUGAAAACUUAAAGGCCAAACUUAAAUGUAAGUCUGCUGUUUCUAGAAUAGUGUCCACAUGAAGUUAUGUCAGAGAACAUUAUGGUUCAACAUAAGUUAUUAUUGGUUCGGCUUCUUACAAUACAGUACGAGUUAUUGAUAUGGCAUACACAAGCAGAACGCGUCCGUACGAGAAGAAAGAGCAGCCUAACAGGUAAUGCUGGCGACGCCGACUACUGCUUGUGACACCCGUGCCACGACCUUCUUUGCUUCUCUGUCAAUCGGGAGGUUUGCCUCCCGGGGAAUCACCAAAACGCUGUCCUCUUAUUUUAUAACAUUAUUAAUAACCUCCAACAUUAAGCAGGGCAGGUAAGAGAAUCCCUAUGAGAAAGCAAGGAAUAAGGAGAUAAGGUUUGCACCUGGGCAGUCGCAGCGGUGGGGGAGGGGGACUGUUGCCGGGAGAUCCCACGGAUGGUCAGUCCGGACGAUGGGGUCGAUGUUCCUUUGCUUCGCCGGCGGCUCUCCGUGCCGCAGAGCCGACAUGGUCAGCGCGGCGUGGUUUGGACACAGGCACUCAAGAUGAAGGAAGAGUCUGGGCAGUAGUAAUCGAUGGAUUCGACCGGGAUCUUUUCCUCCACUUUUAUGUUUUUUUAGGUUUUUUUUUUUAGGGGUAUGUUUUUUAGGUGAAUCCUCCACUUUUAUGUAAGGUCGAUUGGGAGUGCAAGCGGAAGGGGAGACCUAUGGCAUGAUUGUUCCCUGCAUCCCUAUCCAGCCUCCCGAACAGAGCUGGCUAGACGGGCCGGCACGGCCAGCCGAGGCCCGAUUGGUAAACAGGCCGUGGCGUGCCCAGCCUACAGGCCUAGACACGGCUUGUUUUGCCCGUGGCGUGUCUGGCCCAUGGCGGGCGGUCCUGGCUGGCCCGGCCCCGAUGGCCAGCUAUGUCUGGAAUGUAAUUUCGGCAUGUUAAAUUAUGAGGUCUAGAAAUUAUGAGGCUGAUAGUAGCAUUGCUAAAUUUUCUUUAUCUUUAGGUGGAGGUAGACAUGUGUGGUUCCUUCGACUACAUGAUAUCAAAAUAAUUUUGUUGAACUUGUUUGAAUAAAGAAUCGUUAUAUCCCUUAAAAAGAUGUAAUUUCGACAUGUUUGGUUAGAUGGGUUGCAUCAAAAUCUUGGCCUAUAUAAACUUCAAAGUAUCGCUCAGUCAGGCCUUGGCUACAUCAAAAUCAUGGCUCUUUCUCCUUUUUUUCUGGUGGCUCUCGGUGAGACAACACUCUAUAAUAAAGGUCAAUACAAUAACUGUAUUCAUAACUCAACAAAUAGUAAGCAUGAUGCAAAAGCAUCUACUCAAUGCCUUUGACAGUGUACUAGUAAUCUAACGUUGCAAAGACAUAAAAAACCGACAACCCAUGUAAAUAUCAUGCUAGCUUUUUUAGAAUCAUGCAAGGCCAAUAAAUAUCUUUAAUUUAACAUAUAAAUGACGAUAGGAACCCAGCCAUCCUCAGGCCAUCCACGCGUCCACCCUUUGCAAAUCUCGUUCGUUUUCACCUCACUCCCUACCUAGCCUCUCUCGAUGACGCCUGGCCCCGGUCGUGUGGCCCUUUGCGUCCCGCGCGAGCAGAGAAGCGAGCGAGCGAGCGAGAGAAAAAGUGAGCCAGACCUAACCCGCGGCCCCCACCUCCUCUCCUGCCACCGCCACAUACUCCUCUCUUUUCCCGCGACCCCCGCCUCCUCUCUCGUCAGCCGCCGCCACCAUCUCCAUUAUCUUUGUCCGACGCCGAUGAGAGGCCCACCCCACAGCCCCUUCUCCACCCACGACCAAUGGUUGGGGAGGCGGGGUCUUCUCGUCUUGUAAUGAAUGAUGAUGGAAGUUGCAUGACAAUAUGACGGUGUUUCCGCUAAGGGUCCUCUCGCCACGUUGACUCCCGGUCUGGUGGGCUGGGCUGAGGAGCCCUUAUCGACACGACACGGCCCACAUGUUGCACCUUCAGGCCCAAACACAUCCCUAUGGUAAUCGGGUUGGCCCGCGGGCUGCACCUUCAGGCCCAAACACAACCUCUAUGCUAAUCGGGCCGGCCAUCGGCACGCCAAGCACGUUAUGUUUUUUGGACCACUUUUAGCCUAUAAGGUUGUUUUAGUCCAUAUAUAUAAUCCAAAAUAAAAAUAAAAAAGAUAAACGGGUCGUGUCGUGUCGACCCACAUGCCCAGCCUCCAGGAAGGCCCCUGGCGUGCCGCAUGUCGGGUAUGACCCAUUUAGCUUGUGUCAUGUCUGGCCCAUGGCGGGCUGUGCCACGCGUGCUAGCAGGUUAGACCCGAUUAGAGGAUAAUAUGAAGAGGCCAGGAUACAUACAGACUCGGGUUUUGCUCCAGUCAACUCGCCUUCACCCGUACUUGGUAAAAUCUUCCUCUCUCUCCCCUUCUUGUGCUUUACUUUUGUUUUUUGCUUCAUCCAUGGAUGUAAGGGCAUCUUUAAGGCAGACACGCAAACCACCCACACUAGUAGAAUGCCCAUGCGUUACCACAUGCAUCUAAAAUAUUAUGCGGGAGUUAUAUAUAAACAUAAUGCAUGUUAGAUUUCACAUGUAUAAAAAAGAUAGCUAGUAAUAAUUGAAAUCCACUUCACUUGCAAGAUAAGUUGGUAGAAAACUAUAAUUUGGUGAUGUAUACAUAAAGAGUGAUGAUCCCAUUAAUAAUCUGUUACGAAUUAAGAUCUACCGAUAUGCUUAUGAUAUUCUCGCACAAUAUCAAGAAUGUUGUAUUUAGCUUCGUUCGCAUGAUAUUUGAGAAAGUAUAACAAAAACUUCUUUCUCGACUCUUAACCAUCCUACAUAAACAAUAUAUGUAGUUACAACGAAUAUUUCACGUAGAAUGUCUAAAAAUGCGCAAUGGAGAAUACGCACAAUGCAAACCAAACGAACCAAUUCUUUACCGUUCGACGGGAGAAUAAAAUCAAAAAGAAAUAGUUAUUGUAGUAUCAAGGUCACUUCAUUUGGCCCGAGCACUAAGUCCAAUACUUGAAUCUCAUAUUUCCUAGCAUUGACGACUGAUAGAUACUGAUGGGACCGGAAAUAUUAAUUGGAAGGAGUAGCUGGUGUAAAUAUCAUAUAGUUGCAAGUCUAGUUAGAUAAAUAAUAAUAAUAUUAUAGAUAUGUAUUAAUUAAUAAUAAUAAAUCAUUACACACAGGGCAAUUCUUUCACUUUCAAAACUCACGUGCAUCGUUUCCAUGGCGUCUCUCCUUCGUUGUACGCCAUCACCCGACCCCUCCUCUUCCCUCCACAGUGUCGGUCCUCCUCUCCCUGCCACGGCCGACCCCUCCUCUACCCUCCAUGGCCAGCCUCUCCUCUCCCCUCCAUGGCGUCGACGCUCAUCCUCUCCACGCCACUGUCCGCUCCUGUCCCCAUCGCGUCCACUAGUAUAAAAAGGGCCUUUAGUCUCGGUUCAUAAGGGCCCUUAGUCCCGGUUCUGGAACCGGGACUAAAGGGUCGUUACUAAAGCCUCCCCCUUUAGUCCCGGUUCUUACAUUCUCGGAACUCUCCUCUAGAGAAUGGCCUGGCUAAAGAGAGUGAUAGAUCCAUCGUGUCGACGAACCGGGACUAAAGGCCCUCCACGUGGCCGCUGCCUGGAGGUCCACCUUUAGUCCCGUUUGGUAACACCAACCGCUACUAAAGGAAAUUUUAUGAUUUUUUUUUGAAUUUUUUUGAAUUUUUUUAUUUUCAAAUUUCUGAAUUUUUUUAACCUCUAAUCUCUAAUCACCCUUCAUCACUGCUCAAUUUAACCUCUAAUCUCUAAUCACCCCUCAUAACUGCUCAAUUUAACCUCUAAUCUCUAAUCACCCCUCAUCAUUCCAAAUCAUCUAACUUCCCGGACGGUCACCCAUCCUCUCACUACUCCAGCCUGAGCACGCUUAACUUCCGGGUUCUAUUCUCCCUCGUUUCCAAGUCUGCACUUGUUGUUUUUCUAACAAUAGUAAGAUGUCAAUCCUAUUAACCCUCAGGAAUUUAGCUUGAGCAUGAAGUCACACAUUUCACUGUUUGAGUUUGAAACUAUUGUUCUAAAAAACAAUAAUUAUUUAGUAACACUAAUAUUUCUUGAAUAAGUAGUUUGACCAUAGUUUGACCAGAUUUGACCAAAAUUCAAAAAAACUGAAAUAAUUAUUUAGUAACACUAAUAUUUCUUGAAUAAUUAGUUUGACCAUUGUUUGACCACAGUUUGACCAGAUUUGACCAAAAUUCAAAAAAACUGAGAUAAUUAUUUAGUAACACUAAUAUUCUUGAAUAAUUAUUUAGUAACACUAAUACUUCUUGAAUAAGUAGUUUGACCAUAGUUUGACCAGAUUUAACAAAAAUUCAAAAAAAACAGAAAUUUGAGCAUAACUUUUUUUCCUUUUAGAAUUUGAGGAUUCUAAAAAUUUGCAAACAGGCCAUAGGCCGUCAAAAUCGGAUGCAGAUUUUCGUGCUGAACAUUUUGAUAUAUUAUACGUUUUCUUCUGACAUCAUAUGCAAAAGUUAUAGCCGUUUUACAUUUUCCCUACACUUUUUGCAAAACAUGUCCAAAUUUAAGUUUUUCAAUUUUCCUAACUAGUACAUGUAGUAACAUAACUAUAUCUGGAAGGAUUUUAAUUUUUGAAGUUUUUAUCAUUUUCUUUUGCUUUUUACAAAACUGAAAAGGCGAUCCACAGGGGGGUAGAGUUUGAAAAUGGGACCUUUAGCACCGGUUCGUGCCAUGAACCAGUACUAAUGCCUCAAACCCCAUUAGUACUGGUUGGUGGCUCGAACCGGGACUAAAGGUCUAACCUUUAGUACCGGUUGGUGCACGAACCGGUACUAAUGGGCAUCGCACCCUUUAGUCCCGGUUCGUGGCACCAACCGGGACUAAAGGUCCCAUUUGAACCAGGACUAAUGCCUGUACGGUGCCCUAGCCGCUCGAACCGGGACUAAUGCUCACAUUAGUCCCGGUUCGUAAUGCAACCGGGAUUAAUGCUCUUUUCUGGCCGAACCAAAGCCCUGUUUUCUACUAGUGGUCCCUCCCCUUGAUGGCGUCACUGGAUCAUCCUCUACCCUUCACGGCGUCAGCCGACACCUCCUCUCCCCGUCAUCUCUCUUAUCCCCUUUGUCCUCAAAUGCCACGACAGAGUCGCCCGUAUCCUCAUCUCCCUGCCGCGGCCUCGUCCGCCUCCUCUACUCGACAAACCUCUCGCGCCGCCGCAUUGGCACCUAGUCUGCGCGCCCGCCAAUUUGGCAUGGAGUCAGUUGGAUCCAGUUGUUUGGUGUAGAAGGGCUCAUUGUUCUCUAUAUGAGCUGGCCACUGGUGGCCCGUUCAUAUGUGGGUAGGAGUACUAAAUGCACAACAGUGUGAAGCGGCAAGGGGGAGGGACGGCACCCUUGUCGUUGGACCCGGUCUUCUACCUUAGCCGAGCCACGUCGAGCAUAGUACAUGUUCCCCUCAAGGUGACGCCAUCGCUUCCUGUCCCCCUUCCCCGAUCUAAUAUUGCUUCAUGUGAAAACUGCUAUUGUUUUUUCUCUGAAAGUACAUGAAACAAUUACUUCUAGGAGUUUAACACUGUUGUGGAUCUGUCCUAUAAAUAAUGUCAUGUUGGUUUGUUAGUUUAUGCUAAUUUGAACUAAACCUAACCGUGUGGAUUUCGCUUGUCACAUGUUGGGUACUGGCUGAAAUGUUUGUUGUUGUAAUUGGUUUAACCGUAUAAGGUUUUAUUGAAAGUAUAGUAUUUCCUCUUGACACAAAUAACAUAGUUACAUAAGUCAUUUAAGUACAAUUUCUUGGUGAUAUGCUAUUGUAGUUGUAGGUUAGAUGUUUGAAAAUUGGACUAAGGUUUCCAGAUGUUACCAUCUCCUCUUUAGAAAUUGAUCUUACCCUCCAACGAAGAUAUAAUUUUUUCACUAAAACUAUUGUGGAUAUCUACUAUUUGAUGUUGAUUAUAUUUGCUCUGGAUUAAGUUAUAUUUUGGGUCUGGAUUGCCUCAUUUUCCCGAUUUCCUGUAUCAAUGGGUGCCCACCAUUAUCUUUAGCAAGCAUACUCCAAGCAAGUUGACCUUUGUUUCAAGUUCUUAUUAGAAGCAACUGUUAUUCUCUCAUGGUCAUACUCAAACUAUAUUUCCUUAUGUUCAAAUUUUAUCUCUCCUUUUUCACAGAAGUUGAUCUACAUGACUUGUGUAGAUUAUAUACUUUAAUUCACAGCAUACCUUGUGGCUUGUGAUAAUAUCUUACCUUGUUCGACUUCAUUCAGACUAAGCAAUACUGGUUACUUAAUCUUACCAACUUGUUUAAAGACUUGGUUCAGCAUGCAAACCUUUUAUGAUACGUUCAGGCUUUAAUCCAGCUUGGUGGGAGAUCCACUUUUCUGAAUUCCUAUUAUAUAUGAGUCAUGCAGGUACGAGGAAGGAGUCAAGGUAAAGGCAAGGCUUGCGCAUGGAAUCGCUUAACCUGGGACAUCUGCCGCCGGAUUUGGCUCAAGGGCUGGAAGCUCCUUUCACGGAUGAGGAAGUGAAAGGGGUGGUUAUGGACAUGCCGUCAGACCGGGCGCCCGGACCGGAUGGCUUUACGUGCCUGUUUUUCAAAGUGUGUUGGGAUAUCAUAUCCUCAGACCUGAUGGCUGUGAUGAAGGACUUACAUGACGGCAAGUUCUACUCAUUUGGGGGCCUAAACAACUCGAUCCUUACACUUCUGCCCAAGAAAGCAAACUCCCUGGAGAUUGGGGACUCCAGACCAAUCAAUCUUAUCCACGGGGCUGCAAAAAUCUUUGCCAAGGUACUUGCAGUCCGCUUGGCCCCGCAAGCCCCCGCUGUUGCCGGCUCUAAUCUCGCAGGCUCAGAGUGCAUUCGUCACGAGGCGCAAUAUUCAUGAGAAUUUCAAGUUCAUACGCAAUAUGGCCAGGAUGCUGCAUCGGAAGAGGCGUUCUGCGGUGUUAAUGAAAAUUGAUAUAUCGAAGGCUUUUGACACUUUGUCAUGGGAAUUCCUAUUGGAUAUUCUAUCAGCAAGAGGCUUCGGUAAGAAAUGGUGCUCCUAGAUAUGUGGUUUGCUCUCGACUGCCUCGACCUCCAUCCUAAUCAACGGCGAGCUAUGUGCACCAUUUGUUAUGGGCGAGGGAGUAAGGCAGGGGGACCCUAUAUCCCCUGCAUUAUUCAUCUUGGCCAUAGACGCUGUCCAUGGCAUGCUUGAUUGGGCCGUCCAGCAGGGACUACUGUCCGACCUUCGAUGUGGCAAUACAGUGCCAAGGGCAUCUAUCUUUGCUGAUGAUGUUGUCCUGUUCUUCAAGCCUGAGAGCAACGACUUGCAAGUCAUCUCGGCGAUUCUGCAACUAUUCGGAGAAGCAUCAGGGCUAAGGAUUAACCUACACAAGUGUGCGGUCACUUGCAUUCCUUGCAACGAGUUGUUGGGGAACGUAGCAGAAAUUCAAAAUUUUCUACGCAUCACCAAGAUCAAUCUAUGGAGUAAUCUAGCAACGAGGGGAAGGGGAGUGCAUCUACAUACCCUUGUAGAUCGCGAUGCGGAAGCGUUGCAAGAACGCGGGUGAAGGAGUCGUACUCGUAGCGAUUCAGAUCGCGGUUGAUUCCGAUCUAAGCGCCGAACCAUGGCGCCUCCGCGUUCAACACACGUGCAGCCCGGUGACGUCUCCCACGCCUUGAUCCAGCAAGGAGAGAGGGAGAGGUUGGGGAAGACUCCGUCCAGCAGCAGCACGGCGGCGUGGUGGUGGUGGAGGAGCGCGGUACUCCAGCAGGGCUUCGCCAAGCACUGCGAGAGACGAGGAGGGAGAGGGGUAGGGCUGCGCCAAGAGAGAGAUGUUCUCAUCUGUAUGGCAGCCCCAAAACCCCCACUAUAUAUAGGGGAGGGGGAGGGGCUGCGCCCCCAUCUAGGGUUCCCCCCAAGGGGUGCGGCCAGCCCUAGAUAGGACUUGGAGGGGCGGCCAAGGGGGGAGAGAGGGGGGCGCACCACUAGAUGGGCCUUAGGCCCAUCUGAGCCUAGGGUUUCCCCUUUCCCCCCUUCCCUGCGCCUUGGGCCCCUUUGUGGGAGGCGCACCAGCCCACCUAGGGGCUGGUCCCUUCCCACACUUGGCCCACGCAGCCCUCUGGGGCCGGUGGCCCCACCCGGUGGACCCCCGGGACCCUCCCGAUGGUCCCGGUACGUUACCGAUAGCACCCGGAACUUUUCCGGUGACCAAAACAGGACUUCCCAUAUAUAAAUCUUUACCUCCGGACCAUUCCGGAACUCCUCGUGAUGUCCGGGAUCUCAUCCGGGACUCCGAACAACAUUCGGUAACCACGUAUAUCUAUUCCCUAUAACCCUAGCGUCAUCGAACCUUAAGUGUGUAGACCCUACGGGUUCGGGAACCAUGCAGACAUGACCGAGACGUUCUCCGGUCAAUAACCAACAGCGGGAUCUGGAUACCCAUGUUGGCUCCCACAUGUUCCAUGAUGAUCUCAUCGGAUGAACCACGAUGUCGGGGAUUCAAUCAAUCCCGUAUACAAUUCCCUUUGUCUAUCGGUAUGUUACUUGCCCGAGAUUCGAUCGUCGGUAUCCCGAUACCUUGUCCAAUCUCGUUACCGGCAAGUCUCUUUACUCGUUCCGUAACACAUCAUCCCGUGAUCAACUCCUUGGUCACAUUGUGCACAUUAUGAUGAUGUCCUACCGAGUGGGCCCAGAGAUACCUCUCCGUUUACACGGAGUGACAAAUCCCAGUCUCGAUUUGUGCCAACCCAACAAACACUUUCGGAGAUACCUGUAGUGCACCUUUAUAGCCACCCAGUUACGUUGUGACGUUUGGUACACCCAAAGCAUUCCUACGGUAUCCGGGAGUUGCACAAUCUCAUGGUCUAAGGAAAUGAUACUUGACAUUAGAAAAGCCUUAGCAAACGAACUACACGAUCUUGUGCUAGGCUUAGGAUUGGGUCUUGUCCAUCACAUCAUUCUCCUAAUGAUGUGAUCCCGUUAUCAACGACAUCCAAUGUCCAUGGUCAGGAAACCGUAACCAUCUAUUGAUCAACGAGCUAGUCAACUAGAGGCUUACUAGGAACAUGGUGUUGUCUAUGUAUCCACACAUGUAUCUGAGUUUCCUAUCAAUACAAUUUUAGCAUGGAUAAUAAACGAUUAUCAUGAACAAGGAAAUAUAAUAAUAACCAAUUUAUUAUUGCCUCUAGGGCAUAUUUCCAACAGUCUCCCACUUGCACUAGAGUCAAUAAUCUAGUUCACAUCACCAUGUGAUUAACACUCACAGGUCACAUCACCAUGUGACCAACAUCCAAAGAGUUUACUAGAGUCAACAAUCUAGUUCACAUCACCAUGUGAUUAACACUCAAUGAGUUCUGGUUUGAUCAUGUUAUGCUUGUGAGAGAGGUUAUUAGUCAACGGGUCUGAACCUUUCAGAUCUGUGUGUGCUUUACGAAUAUCUAUGUCAUCUUGUGGAUGCUACCACGCGCUACUUGGAGCCAUUUCAAAUAACUGCUCUACUAUACGAAUCCGGCUUACUACUCAGAGUCAUCCGGAUUAGUGUCAAAGUUUGCAUCGACGUAACCCUUUACGACGAACUCCUUUUCACCUCCAUAAUCGAGAAAAUUCCUUAGUCCACUAGAUACUAAGGAUAAGUUCGACCGCUGUCAUGUGAUCCAUUCCCGGAUCACUAUUGUACCCCUUGACCAACUCAUGGCAAGGCACACUUCAUGUGCGGUACACAGCAUAGCAUACUGUAGAGCCUACGUCUAAAGCAUAGGGGACGACCUUCGUCCUUUCUCUCUCUUCUGCUGUGGUCAGGUCUUGAGUCUUACUCAAUACUCACACCUUGUAACACAGCCAAGAACUCCUUCUUUGCUGAUCUAUUUUGAACUCUUUCAAAAUCAUGUCAAGGUGUGCGUUCUUUGAAAGUAUCAUCAGGCGUCUUGAUCUAUCUCUAUAGAUCUUGAUGCCCAAUAUGUAAGCAGCUUUAUCCAGGUCUUCCUUUGAAAAACUCAUUUCAAACAACCCUUUAUGCUUUCCAGAAAUUUUACAUCAUUUCGGAUCAACAAUAUGUCAUUCACAUAUACUUAUCAGAAAUGUUGUAGCGCUCCCGCUCACUUUAUUGUAAAUACAAGUUUCUAACAAACUUUGUAUAAACCCAAAAACUUUGAUCACUCCAUCAAAGCGUAUAUUCUGACUCCGAGAUGCUUGCUCUAGUCCAUGGAAGGAUCGCUGGAGCUAGCAUACCUUUUAGCAUCCUUAGGAUCGACAAAACCUUUCUGAUUGUAUCACAUACAACCUUUCCUUACGAAAACUGGUAAGGAAACUUGUUUUGACAUCCAUCUGCCAGAUUUCAUAAAUGCAGCUAAUGCUAACAUGAUUCCGACGGACUUAAGCAUCGCUACGGAUGAGAAAAUCUCAUCGUAGUCAACUCCUUGAACUUGUGAAAAAACUCUUUGCCACAAGUCGAGCUUCAUAGACGGUAACCUUACCGUCCACGUCCGUCUUCUUCUUAAAGAUCAAUUUAUCUCAAUGGCUUGCCGAUCAUCGGGCAAGUUCACCAAAGUCCAUGCUUUGUUCUGAUACAUGGAUCCUAUCCCGGAUUUCAUGGCUUCUAACCAUUUGUCGGAAUAUGGGCCCACCAUCGCUUCUCCAUAGCUCGUAGGUUCAUUGUUGUCUAGCAACAUGACUUCCAAGACAGGAUCACGCAUUACUCUGAAGUAGUACGCAUCCUCGUCGUCCUACGAGGUUUGGUAGUGACUUGAUCCGAAGUUUCAUGAUCACUAUCAUAAGCUUCCACUUCAAUUGGUGUAGGUGCCACAGGAACAACUUCCCGUGCCUUGCUACACACUAGUUGAAGUUAUGGUUCAAUAACCUCAUCAAGUCUCCACCAUCCUCCCACUCAAUUCUUUCGAGAGAAACUUUUCCUCGAGAAAGGACCCGUUUCUAGAAGCAAUUACUUUUGCUUCCAGAUUUGAAAUAGGAGGUAUACCCAACUGUUUUGGGUAUUCUAUGAAGAUGCAUUUAUCCGCUUUGGGUUCGUGCUUAUCAGCCUGAAACUUUUUCACAUAAGUAUCGCAGCCCCAAACUUUUAAGAAACGACAACUUAGGUUUCUCUAAACGGUGUCGUCUCAACGGAAUUGCGUGGUGCCCCUUUUAAAGUGAAUGCGGUUGUCUCUAAUGCCUAACCCAUAAACGAUAGUGGUAAUUCGAUAAGAGACAUCAUGGUAUGCACCAUAUCCAAUAGGGUGCAGUUAUGAUGUUCGGACACACCAUCACACUGUGGUGUUCCAGGCGGUAUUAAUUGUGAAACACUUUCCACAAUGUCUUAAUUGUGUGCCAAACUCGUAACUCAGAUAUCUCUAUGAUCAUAUCAUAGACAUUUUAUCCUCUUGUCACGACGAUCUUCAACUUCACUCUGAAAUAACUUGAACCUUUCAAUAAUUCAGACUUGUGUUUCAUCAAGUAAAUAUUCUCAGCAUCUACUCAAAUCAUCUGUGAAGUGAGAACAUAUCGAUAUCCACUGCGUGCCUCAGCACUCAUUGGACUGCACACAUCAAAUGUAUUACUUCCAACAAGUUGCUCUCUUGUUCCAUCUUACUGAAAACGAGGCUUUUCAGUCAUCUUGCCCAUGUGGUAUGAUUUGCAUGUCUCAAGUGAUUCAAAAUCAAGUGAGUCCAAACGAUCCAUUUGCAUGGAGUUUCUUCACGCAUAUAUACCAAUAGACAUGGUUCGCAUGUCUCAAUCCUUUCAAAAACGAGUGAGUCCAAAGAUCCAUCUACAUGGAGCUUCUUCAUGCGUUCUAUACCAAUAUGACUCAAAUGGCAGUGCCACAAGUAUGUGGUACUAUCAUUACUAUAUCUUUUGGCAUGAACAUGUGUAUCACUGCGAUCGAGAUUCAUUUUAGGUGCAAGACCAUUGAAGGUAUUAUUCAAAUAAUAGAGUAACCAUUAUUCUCCUUAAAUGAAUAACCGUAUUGCGAUAAACAUAAUCCAAUCAUGUUUAUGCUCAACGCAAACACCAAAUAACAAUUAUUUAGGUUUAACACCAAUCUCGAUGGUAGAGGGAGCAUGCGAUGCUUGAUCACAUCAACCUUGGAAACACUUCCAACACAUAUCGUCAUCUCACCUUUAGCUAGUCUCUGUUUAUUCCGCAGCUUUUAUUUCGAGUUACUAACACUUAGCAACCGAACCGGUAUCUAAUACCCUGGUGCUGCUAGGAGUACUAGUAAAGUACACAUUCAUAUAAUGUAUAUCCAAUAUACUUCUGCUGACCUUGCCUUGCCUUCUCAUCUACCAAGUAUCUAGGGUAGUUCUGCUUCAGUGACCGUUCCCCUCAUUACAGAAACACUUAGUCUCGGGUUUGGGUUCAACCUUGGGAUUCUACACUAGAGCAGCAAAUGAUUUGCUGUUUCAUGAAGUAUCCCUUUUGCCCUUGCCCAUCUAGAAACUAGUGGUUUUACUAACCAUCAACAAUUGAUGCUCCUACUUGAUUUCUACUUUCGCGGUGUCAAACAUCGCGAGUUGCUCAAGGAUCAUCAUGUCUAUCCCUGAUAUGUUAUAGUUCAUCACGAAGCUCUAAUAGCUUGGUGGCAGUGACUACGGAGAACCAUCACUAUCUCAUCUGGAAGAUUAACUCCCACUCGAUUCAAGCGAUUGUGGUACUCAGACAAUCUGAGCACAUGCUCAAUGAUUGAGCUUUUCUCCCUUAGUUUGCAGGCUUAGGAAACUUGUCAGAGGUCUCAUACCUCUUGACGUGGGCAUUAGUCUGAAAUCCCAAUUUCAGUUUUAGGAACAUCUCAUAUGUUCUGCGAUGUUUCAAAAAUGUCUUUGGUGCCACAAUUCUAAACCGUUAGCAUUACGCACUGAACUAUCACGUAGUCAUCAAAACGUGUAUGUCAGAUGUUUCGUAACAUCUACAGACGACGCUCGAGGUUCAGCACACCGAGCGGUGCAUUAAGAACAUAAGCUUUCUGUGCAGCAAUGAGGACAAUCCUCAGUUUACGGACCCAGUCCGCAUAAUUUCUACUAUCAACUUUCAACUAAAUUUUCUCUAGGAACAUAUCUUAAACAGUAGAACUAAAGCGUAAGCUAUGACAUAAUUUGCAAAGACCUAUUGACUAUGUUCAUGAUAAUUAAGUUCAUCUGAUUAUUUAAUGAACUCCCACUCAGAUAGACAUCCCUCUAGUCAUCUAAGUGAUACAUGAUCCGAGUCAAACUAGGCCGUGUCCGAUCAUCACGUGAGACGGACUAGUCAUCAUCGGUGAACAUCUCCAUGUUGAUCGCAUCUACUAUACGACUCAUGUUCGACCUUUCGAUCUCUUGUGUUCCGAGGCCAUGUGUGUACAUGCUAGGCUCGUCAUGUCAACCUAAGUGUUUCGCAUGUGUUCCGAGGCAAUGUCUGUACAUGCUAGGCUCGUCAACACCCGUUGUAUUCGAACGUUAGAAUCUAUCACACCCGAUCAUCACGUGGUGCUUCGAAACAACGAACCUCCGCAACGGUGCACAGUUAGGGCGAACACGUCUCUUGAAAUUUUAGUGAGGGAUCAUCUUAUUUAUGCUACCGUUGUUCUAAGCAAAUAAGAUGUAAACAUGACAAACAUCACAUGCAAAUCAUAAAGUGACGUGAUAUGGCCAAUAUCAUCUUGCGCCUUUGAUCUCCAUCUUCGAGGCGUGGCAUGAUCACCUUCGUCACCGGCAUGACACCAUGAUCUCCAUCAUCAUGAUCUCCAUCAUUGUGUCUUCAUGAAGUUGUCUCGCCAACUAUUACUUCUACUACUAUGGCUAACAGUUAGCAAUAAAGUAAAGUAAUUACAUGGCGUUCUUCAUUGACACGCAGGUCAUACAAUAAAUUAAGACAACUCCUAUGGCUCCUGCCAGUUGUCAUACUCAUCGACAUGUAAGUCGUGAUUCCUAUUACAAGAACAUGAUCAAUCUCAUACAUCACAUAUAUCAUUCAUCACAUCCUUCUGGCCAUAUCACAUCACAUAGCAUACCCUGCAAAAACGAGUUAGACGUCCUCUAAUUGUUGUUGCAUGUUUUACGUGGCUGCUAUGGGUUUCUAGCAAGAACGUUUCUUACCUACGCAAAAGCCACAACGUGAUAUGCCAAUUUCUAUUUAACCUUCAUAAGGACCCUUUUCAUCGAAUCCGAUCCGACUAAAGUGGGAGAGACAGACACCCGCUAGCCACCUUAUGCAACUAGUGCAUGUCAGUCGGUGGAACCUGUCUCACGUAAGUGUACGUGUAAGGUCGGUCCGGGCCGCUUCAUCCCACGAUGCCGCCGAAUCAAGAUAACUAGUAACGGCAAGUAAAUUGACAAAAUCGACGCCCACAACUACUUUGUGUUCUACUCGUGCACAGAAACUACGCAUAGACCUAGCUCAUGAUGCCACUGUUGGGGAACGUAGUAGAAAUUCAAAAUUAUCUACGCAUCACCAAGAUCAAUCUAUGGAGUAAUCUAGCAACGAGGGGAAGGGGAGUGCAUCUACAUACCCUUGUAGAUCGCGAUGCGGAAGCGUUGCAAGAACGCGGGUGAAGGAGUCGUACUCGUAGCGAUUCAGAUCAUGGUUGAUUCCGAUCUAAGCGCCGAACCACGGCGCCUCCGCGUUCAACACACGUGCAGCCCGGUGACGUCUCCCACGCCUUGAUCCAGCAAGGAGAGAGGGAGAGGUUGGGGAAGACUCCGUCCAUCAGCAGCACGGCGGCGUGGUGGUGGUGGAGGAGCGCGGUACUCCAGCAGGGCUUCGCCAAGCACUGCGAGAGACGAGGAGGGAGAGGGGUAGGGCUGCGCCAAGAGCGAGAUGUUCUCAUCUGUAUGGCAGCCCCAAAACCCCCACUAUAUAUAGGGGAGGGGGAGGGGCUGCGCCCCCAUCUAGGGUUCCCCCCCCCCCAAGGGGUGCGGCCAGCCCUAGAUGGGACUUGGAGGGGCGGCCAAGGGGGGAGAGAGGGGGGCGCACCACUAGGUGGGCCUUAGGCCCAUCUGAGCCUAGGGUUUCCCCUUUCCCCCCUUCCCUGCGCCUUGGGCCCCUUUCUGGGAGGCGCACCAGCCCACCUAAGGGCUGGACCCUUCCCACACUUGGCCCACGCAGCCCUCUGGGGCCGGUGGCCCCACCUGGUGGACCUCCGGGACCCUCCCGGUGGUCCCGGUACGUUACCGAUAGCACCCGGAACUUUUCCGGUGACCAAAACAGGACUUCCCAUAUAUAAAUAUUUACCUCCGGACCAUUCUGGAACUCCUCGUGAUGUCCGGGAUCUCAUCCGGGACUCCGAACAACAUUCGGUAACCACGUAUAUCUAUUCCCUAUAACCCUAGCGUCAUCGAACCUUAAGUGUGUAGACCCUACGGGUUCGGGAACCAUGCAGACAUGACCGAGACGUUCUCCGGUCAAUAACCAACAGCGGGAUCUGGAUACCCAUGUUGGCUCCCACAUGUUCCACGAUGAUCUCAUCGGAUGAACCACGAUGUCGGGGAUUCAAUCAAUCCCGUAUACAAUUCCCUUUGUCUAUUGGUAUGUUACUUGCCCGAGAUUCGAUCGUCGGUAUCCCGAUACCUUGUUCAAUCUCGUUACCAGCAAGUCUCUUUACUCGUUCCGUAACACAUCAUCCCAUGAUCAACUCCUUGGUCACAUUGUGCACAUUAUGAUGAUGUCCUACCGAGUGGGCCCAGAGAUACCUCUCCGUUUACACGGUGUGACAAAUCCCAGUCUCGAUUCGUGCCAACCCAACAGACACUUUCGGAGAUACCUGUAGUGCACCUUUAUAGCCACCCAGUUACGUUGUGACGUUUGGUACACCCAAAGCAUUCCUACGGUAUCCGGGAGUUGCACAAUCUCAUGGUCUAAGGAAAUGAUACUUGACAUUAGAAAAGCUCUUAGCAAACGAACUACACGAUCUUGUGCUAGGCUUAGGAUUGGGUCUUGUCCAUCACAUCAUUCUCCUAAUGAUGUGAUCCCAUUAUCAACGACAUCCAAUGUCCAUGGUCAGGAAACCGUAACCAUCUAUUGAUCAACGAGCUAGUCAACUAGAGGCUUACUAGGGACAUGGUGUUGUCUAUGUAUCCACACAUGUAUCUGAGUUUCCUAUCAAUACAAUUUUAGCAUGGAUAAUAAACGAUUAUCAUGAACAAGGAAAUAUAAUAAUAACCAAUUUCUUAUUGCCUCUAGGGCAUAUUUCCAACACGAGUACCUUGCUGCAGCGGUGGCGGAGCAUUUCCAGUGUAAACAACAGCCCUUCCCCAUUCAGUAUCUGGGAUUGCCCCUUUCGAUCUACAGGCUUAAGCGCCAGGACCUAAUGCCCCUCAUAGACAAAUUCUCCAACAAAAUGAAAGGCUGUAAGCCUAAGAUGAUGGCCGUGGCUGGGCGACUCGCACUCACACGCUCGGUGCUUAUGGCCUUGCCCAUGCAUUUCAUGGCUGCACUGCCGCUGCCAACAUGGGCAACCAAAGUCAUCAAUCGGCGAUGUAGAGGCUUUCUCUGGAAAGGAGAAGAGGAUAUAAGUGGUGGACAUUGCCUCAUGCCAUGGGCCAGAGUGUGCAUGCCCAAGGAGCUAGGCGGGCUUGGAGUGAUUAAUCUCAAAUAUUUCGGGAUCGCCUUGCGCUGCAGAUGGCCAUGGUUGCGCUGGGAGGAGGAAGCGAGACCAUGGCAAGGGCUGCCCGACACCACAGAGAAGGAAGUAGAUGCGAUUGUCCAUGCAGCCUGUCGAAUCAAACUAGGCAACGGGGAGUUGGCCAAGUUCUGGACAGACAAAUGGCUACCGGAUGGCCGUUCUAUUGCUGAAAUGGCGCCACAAUUGUUCUCCUUCGUCAAGGAUAAAGGACAAUCGGUAAUGGAGGCGUUGAGCAACCACGCAUGGACAAGAGAGAUCGCGGGGGUAUCUCCCUGCCGGCUAUUGCACAAUACCUCAAAGUCUGGGAUUUGGCUCAAUCCACCUUGCUGGAAGGGGGUGCACGUGACACCCCAAUCUGGACCCGGACUAAGGAUCAACAGUUUUCUGUCGCAAGCGCCUAUCGGUUGUUCUUUUUGGGGAAUACAAGCUUCGCCUGCUACAAGCCAAUUUGGAAAUCCAAGGCCCCACCACGUUGUAAAUUCUUUAUGUGGCUAGUGGUGCAGAGAAGAUGCCUCACGGCGGAUAAUCUGGAGCGGAGGAACUGGCCCUCCAAUGGUUGCUGCCCAUUAUGUACAUCUCACCACGAGGAUUGCACGCAUCUAUUCGUGCAUUGCCGUUUCACGCAGCAGCUAUGGCUAUGUUUCAAAUCAUGGACAGGAGCAGACUUUCAAGAGCCGGCAAAUAGAUUCCACACAACGGAAGAUUGGUGGCUGCAGGCCAGGGCAGCUAUCCCCAAGCACGUAAGGAGGAAUUUCGACACGGUGGUCAUCCUGUUACACUGGAGGAUAUGGAAGGAGAGAAACUCAAGGAUUUUUGAUCAACGAGCCAGUUCCCGUCAGAGGGCUUUGGACCUGUGCAAAGAUGACAUCACAAUGUGGCGGGCGGCCGGCUGCAUCGUCGACCUACCAGACUAGUCUCGGCUACCAGACUAAUGCGACCAGCCACUCCAGGAUCUUCAUUUUUUUUCUCUUCCUGCUGUUUAUCGUGCACUAUGGGCAUUUGGGGCAGGUUCUGGGGAUGUUGUAACAGGGCCUCGCCCCUGCUAGUGCAUGUCCUACUCUGUAUUCAGUCUAACCCGCCUAGACUGUUUGUUCUUGUACUGCUUGCUUUCUUUCUAAUAAAGAUCGGCCAAGGGCCCUUCGAAUAAAAAAAAAGGUAUUUAGGAAAAUUGGUUUGGCAUUAGAUUUUAUAUAGGCUGAUGCCCAGGCACUGCCGGAAUUUCUUGGUACUGUUAUUGAAAUGGCAUUUGAUGAUAACAUAUGUGCCUAUUAAGAAUCAUGAGAUUGCUACAAAUGAAGUAGUGGAGUUAUGUCUUUGUUAUGUAUUUCUACUACCCAACUUGUAUUGCAUCUUAGUUAUAAUGUUGGCUGGUUGUACGUUUUUCUGUUUGCCAGAUAAAAACCUUUGUGAGGAUUUAUGUUUGCUGGAUAAAAAUAGCUUGAAGUAUAUCUUGAAAGUAAGCAUAUUUCCUAUUCUAUUUUUUGUGCUGGAUAAAAUAGCCCCUUUUAUUUCUUUGCCAAUUGGUGAAAUAACACAAUAUAGAAAAGCAUCUUUGUUUACUCAAUGAUCAGAGUUAGAGGGAGGAAGAAUAGAGCUACACUCACUUAAAAUAGUGGAAGCCUGGGAGACGUUUGAGGUGAGCCUAUCACAGGAUAGUUGCACCCAUGCAACAUGCACACCAUUACGUGCGGUGGAGCCGGCAAUUCCCGACGACGCGGGCACUGACGAUGGAGAGCAGACUCCAGUACAGGUCCAGAAUAUGCCUCAACGUGCUGGUGGGGGUGGCCCCUUGCUUUAAGACAUUGAGACGAUGCACGUGCAGAUGUGCAAGUCUCUCUCUCCACUUUUGCGACGUCCACCCAGCCGUGCGUGUGCGGUGCAAUCUCGCAACCGUAGGAAGAAAAGGAGAGUAGAUGUCACACCAAGGAGAAGUGCUCGCUUGGCUAAGAAUGGAGCAACUAAGCAACAACAGGUUCUCAUUAGAGCAACUCUAGCAGACCCCGCAUCCGCCCCCGACCCGCAAAAUAACCGUCAAAAUGCGGGUACGGGCCGGAAAGCCUGCCCGACCAGACCCCGCAUCUCGUCCCGGUCCGCAAAAAAUUUUGGGGGGCGUGGCAAAUUCCUGACCCCAACCCGGGAAAACGCGGGUUUCCCCCUCGCGGCUGCGGUGCCCUGCAUCACAGAGAAGCAGUUGGCGGGAGGGACAUUUCAGCUCCACGCUCUUUUCCCCCUCCUUCCGCCGCCGCCCGCCCGCCGCCGGCGAUUCCGGCCAUAUCUGCGGGCGGAAUCGCGCCGCGGGGCCGCCCCACACCCUCCCGCGCCGAGCCGCUGCACCGCCCCNNNNNNNNNNNNNNNNNNNNNNNNNNNNNNNNNNNNNNNNNNNNNNNNNNNNNNNNNNNNNNNNNNNNNNNNNNNNNNNNNNNNNNNNNNNNNNNNNNNNNNNNNNNNNNNNNNNNNNNNNNNNNNNNNNNNNNNNNNNNNNNNNNNNNNNNNNNNNNNNNNNNNNNNNNNNNNNNNNNNNNNNNNNNNNNNNNNNNNNNNNNNNNNNNNNNNNNNNNNNNNNNNNNNNNNNNNNNNNNNNNNNNNNNNNNNNNNNNNNNNNGUGCACCCCCUCGUCGCCGCCCGGGAUCACCCGCCACCGGUUAGUCCCUUUUUGUGAUUUUUGCGAGCUGUGUAGUAGAUUGACGCGCCGGUGUGCAUGUCGAUGGAGUUGACCCCGUGCGAGAAGUUCUUGCUAUCCGAUUCGUCCGAUUCGGACGACUCGCAUGUUGAGACCAUGCUUGCGACCUUUCGGCAGCAAACAUUAGUCAUGGCGCUUGUCGUGAAGGAGCAUGAAGACGAGCACCGAAAGAGGAGGCGAGGAUCUACUGGCGGGCGUCUGUGCAUUCCUCGGAAUCGCCAUCUUGGGAACGAUAUGUUGAUGCAAGACUAUUUCGCCGAGAAUCCUACAUAUCCUCCACACCUCUUCCGGAGAAGGUACCGAAUGCGCCGAUUCCUCUUUGUGAAUCUUGUUCAAGCUUGCGAGGCAAAUUGCCGGUAUUUUACUCAAAGAAGGAAUGCCGCGGGCUUAAAGGGAUUUAGUGCAUAUCAAAAAAAUCUCCGCAGCUAUGCGGGUGAUUGCAUAUGGCAUUCCGGCUGACUAUGCCGAUGAGUAUCUUCGCAUUGGUGAAGAUAGCACAAUUGAGUCUGUGCGUAGAUUUGUGAAAGUGAUCGUCCGUGUCUUUGGUCCUGAGUAUCUUCGGGCACCCAAUGAAGAUGACACAAAGAAAUUGAUGGUAGCUAAUGAGAGGAGAGGUUGGCCUGGCAUGCUAGGUAGCAUUGAUUGUAUGCAUUGGAAUUGGAAAAAUUGCCCCAAGGCUUGGCAAGGAAUGUAUUGUGGCAAGUCUCGUGAUGCAACAAUUGUGCUAGAGGCCGUAGCAUCCGAGGAUUUAUGGAUUUGGCAUUGCUUUUUUGGUAUGCCGGGCACUCUCAAUGAUAUCAAUGUGUUGCAACGGUCUCAUUUGUUUGCUAGGCUUGCUCGUGGUGAUGCUCCUGCUUGCAACUACACUAUCAAUGGGCAUGAAUACACAAAGGGGUACUCUCUUGAAGAUGGUAUAUACCCUCCUUGGUGCACAUUUGUCAAGAGUAUCAAAGAACCCAAAACAAAAAAACAAUGUGAAUUUGCAAGGGUGCAAGAGGCAGCCCGAAAAGACAUUGAAAGAGCAUUCGGUGUUUUGCAAUCUAGGUUUGCCAUUGUCCGUGGUCCUGCUCGUUUUUGGGAUAAGAAAACCUUGAAGAACAUCAUGACAUGAUGUGUUAUCCUGCACAAUAUGAUUCUUGAAGAUGAGAGAGGAAUGAACUUAGAAUUCUUUUACGACAAUGUGGGUAGUCAUGUCAAACCAGCUAGAGACCCAAACCGCAUUAGAGCUUUUCUUCAGACAUACAAGGAGAUUGAAAAUGCAGACACACACUUUCAACUUCAGGAAGAUCUCAUUGAGCACCAUUGGCAAAGGGCUGGACAGUGACUAAUUUUUGUAUUCAUUUGUAUUUGUAUUCAUGACAAGUUUUGUAUUGCAUUAUUUAAGUUUGCUAUGGUGAUUUGAAUAAUUAUUUGUAAUGCGGAUGAUUAUUGUAUUAUGUUUGAUUCGAAUAAUUCAGUUUGUUUUCGAUUGUUGAAUUAUGUUGGAUUUGAUAUUUGUGGGCUGAUGAUAUGCGGGAUGCGGCAGCGCAAAGAGCAGAACCCGCAUAGCCGACCCGUAAAAAAGCAUAUUCCGCGAAUAUACUUUUUUACUGAUCCGUUUGGGGGGUCUGCAUGUGUGCCAGCCCGAGCCAGUCCGCAAAAGCUGUUUUGCGCGAACUGCAAACGCGUUUUGCGGGCCGGCGGGAUGCGGGGUCUGCUAGAGUUGCUCUUAGAAGGCUAUGCUUGGCACAUGAAGGGGAGGUAAUUUCAUAGGAAGCCCUACAGAUGUAUGUCGACCUGUUUUCUCGCCCACUUUCGGAUGCUCACAUUGCUAUAGUGGUGGCCCUCUUCGGUUGGGAGUCACCAACAGUGCCAUUGGAGGGUACGGCGGUGCACUAGCAGUCUUGCUGGUGGUCAAGGUAGGCCACGACAAUGAAUGCGCACCCGUUGAGGAUGAUCGUGUGGAAUGUCUGUGGGCUAAAUGCACCAGCCCGUCGGAACGUUGUAUUCCAGGUAGUAACUAUGGUAAGCCCGACCAUUGUGUGUCUUCAAGAAACAAAACUACAAGAUGUACCGGUGAAUGUUGUACGUCAGUGCCUUGGUGCUAAAUUUGAGAACUUUUUCUACUUGCCGGCCUUGGGGACACUUGGUGGGAUCUUGGUGGCUUGGGAUGCCACGAUCACACAACUUUCAAACCUGCACUAUACUAACCAUACACUCACGGUGCUUGUGAAGUGACCGGAAGACGAGCAGCCAUGUUGGCUCACUUGUGUGUAUGGGCCGCAGGAGGAGAUCGACUGGGGGAGUCCUGGAUUCGGGGGUCCUCAGGUGUCCGGCCUAUUUGAUAUGGGCCGGACUGAUGGGCCGUGAAGAUAAAGCAGAAGACUAUCCCCCGUGUCCGGGUAGGACUCCUGUGUGCGUGGACGGCAAGUUUGGUGUCCGGAUGUACUAUUUACUUCUUCUGCAAAUCGACUCUGUAUAACCCUAGGCCCCUCCGGUGUGUAUAUAAACUAGAGGGGUUAGUCCAUAGAGCUCAUCAGAACAAUCAUAGGCUAGACAGCUAGGGUUUAGCCAUUACGAUCUCGAGGUAGAUCAACUCCUGUAACCCCUAUACUCAUCGAAUACAAUCAAGCAGGAUGUAGGGUUUUACCUCCAUUAAGAGGGACCGAACCUGGGUAAAACAUCGUGUUCCCAUUCUCCCUUGUUACCAUUGAUCCUUAGACUCACAGCUUGGGCCCCCCUACUCGAGAUCUGCCGGUUUUGACACAGAAUUGGUGCUUUCAUUGAGAGCUCCGCUGUGUAGUCACGAAAAGCGAUCUAUGGUUCGCCUUGUCAUCAACAACAAUAUCACUUCUGGAAGGAGCCUAACUUCAGGACAAGUCCUCUAGCUCGGCGGUUUCACCGUGGGUGCCCACACGGCCAUCAAGCCAACGGCGUCCCCCGCGAUUGCCAGACAUCACCUCCGCAUCGGUCUCGAACACUCUGAAAAGAUGGAUCCGGCGGACAUCUCGUCUUUAAACGAGCUGCUAGAUCGCAUCGCCGCCUUGGGGCUUUCAACGGAUUAUGAUCGGAUCAGACUUAAACCUGACCAGAGGGAGAUCAACCUCCCGCCGAUCACUCACUUGGUGGCGGUCGUCAAGGAACAAGCUGAAAACACUUCUUCCCCUAAGUUAAAAACCAUCUAUGUUCGGAUCUCCGAACCCAUUGAACCGGAUACUCUUCCUUUGGAUGAGACUCCGCGUCCCCCGAACUCAGGGUCAGACUUAGGGUCCUGGGAGCACUUGGAGCUUGGGUCGGGAUUCAAGUUUUAGCCCACCCACCCACCGCAAUCAAUACUCUCCAAGUAAUUCAGGCCCUCCAGACAUAUAUGACCUGAUGUAUGUACGGCAGCAACCUCAGGAAACAGCCCAUCACUUUUGGCCCAGGUUCCUACUUGUCAAAAACAAGAUUAAAGAUUGCUGCGACGACGAUGCAGUCUCGGUCUUUCAUCGCAAUUGUACCGAUGAGGGAAUUCGGAACGCUCUCAACCGCCGUCGCAUACAGAGUUUCACGAAACUAUCGCACGUAGUAUGGAAGUACUACACGAUGGAAAGUGCAUGGAAGGCCCAAAAAUCCCAAUUGGAACCUGCUGCCUUUAAGUAGUGCACUGCCCGGGCAAAACGGGUACACCCUUACGAGGCAUCCAAUCAUAAGCCCGUCAGCAAGAAAAACAAACCCUUUGCGGGAUACAGGUCCGUUCUUGACGAACUCCUCGACAAACCCUGUCAUAUACAUGCGACACCGAGCACCGAACCAAAUCACAGCCUUCGGGCAUGUUGGGUACUCCGGCAAGUAGCUAAAAGUGGCGAAGCCAUCCUCACCACCGAUCUUAACGUCUCUAUGGUCUUCGAUACUUUCUCUUCAAAUAAUCAGCGUAAGAGGGCACUUUGCGACCUCGCCGAAAUUCACCAAGUAACCGCAAUGAGCCCAUGGAAUGACGCGACAAUAACCUUCACCGCCGUUGACGAACCAAGGGCCCGAUCAGUCUAAGCACCCGCCGCCUUGGUUCUAAACCCAAUUGUGGACGGCUUCCGACUUACCAAAGUGCUCAUGGACGAUGGCAGUGGGCUUAACCUCAUCUACGAGGACACGCUCGACAAAAUGCAUAUUGACAGAGCACACAUCGAGCAAAGAAGUACCACCUUUCGAGGCAUCAUCCCCUGUCGAGAAGCACGAUGUUCGGGGAAAAUCAAAUUGGAUGUAGUAUUCGGCACGCCAGAAAAUUACAGGUCCGAAGAGUUGCUCUUCUACGUGGCUCCAUUCAAUAGCUGAUAUCACGCCCUUUUAGGGUGGGACGCUUUCUCACGCUUCCAAGCCAUACCCCAUUACAGAUACAUGAAGCUUAAAAUGUCAGGGCCCAACGGAAUAAUCACAGUUACGAGUGAUUCGGAUAAAGCACUCUACGCCAGAAACAACACCGCAUCCUUGGCCCUUGAGGCACUAUCCGAAGCCCUUGCGGCCGAAGAACUAACCAUCCUGCGAUCCACGAUGGACAAGGAUGAUGUGAUUCUUGAUAAGAGACCUAAAUCCACCUCUUUCAAGCCAGCAGAUGAAAUAGUUAAAUUUCAAGUGCACCCAACGGAUCCUAAUAAAAACAACGUCCAUUGGAGCACUGCUGAAUCCAACGGUAGACGCCGCCCUACGCGCGUUCCUACGUGAAAAUUGGGAUAUCUUUGCUUGGCACCCUUCGGACAUGCCCGGGAUCCCACGCAGACUGGCCGAACAUAGCCUCAACAUAAUCAAAGGGUUCAAACCAGUCAAGCAAACGCUGCGGCGAUUUUCCGAACCCAAACGACAAGCUAUGGGGGAGGAGCUAGCCAAACUACUCGAGGCCGGGUUCAUCAGAGAAAUCAAACACCCGGAUUGGCUAGCCAACUUGGUCAUGGUGCCGAAGAAGGAUAAAUCUUGGCGCCUUUGUGUCGAUUUUAAAGACCUCAAUAAAGCUUGCCCCAAAGACCCUUUCCCAUUGCCCCGCAUUAACCAGAUUAUCGACGCGACGGCGGGACAUGACUCAUUGUGUUUCCUCGAUGCUUACUCCGGAUACCAUCAGAUUAAAAUGAAGGAGUCCGAUGAUGUCUACUACGCAACUUUAUCCUUGUAGACGUUGUUGGCCUCCAUGUGCAGAGUUUUGUAGGACAAUAGCAAAUUUCCCUCAAGUGGAUGACCUAAGGUUUAUCAAUACGUGGGAGGCGUAGGAUGAAGAUGGUCUCUCUCAAGCAACCCUGCAACCAAAUAACAAAGAGUCUCUUGUGUCCCCAACACACCCAAUACAAUGGUAUAUAUAUAGGUGCACUAGUUCGGCGAAGAGAUGGUGAUACAAGUGCAAUAUGGAUACUAUAUAUAGGUUUUUGUAAUAUGAAAAUAUAAAAACAGCAAGGUAGCAAGUAACAAAAGUGCGUGAAAACGGUAUUGCAAUGCUUGGAAACAAGGCCUAGGGUUCAUACUUUCACUAGUGAAAGUUCUCUCAACAAUGAUAACAUAAUUAGAUCAUAUAACAAUCCCUCAACGUGCAACAAAGAGUCACUCCAAAGUCACUAAUAGCGGAGAACAAACGAAGAGAUUAUUUUAGGGUACAAAACCACCUCAAAGUUAUUCUUUUUGAUCGAUCUAUUGGGCUAUUCCUAUAAGUGUCACAAACAGCCCUAGAGUUCGUACUAAAAUAACACCUUAAGAUACACAUCAACCAAAACCCUAAUGUCACCUAUAUACUCCAAUGUCACCACAAGUAUCCGCGGGUUUGAUUAUACGAUAUGCAUCACACAAUCUCAGAUUCAUCUAUUCAAACCAACAUAAAGAACUUCAAAGAGUGCCCCAAAGUUUCUACCGGAGAUUCAAGACGAAAACGUGUGCCAACCCCUAUGCAUAAGUUCACAAGGUCACAAAACCCGCAAGUUGAUCACCAAAACAUACAUCAAGUAGAUCACGUGAAUAUCCCAUUGUCACCACAUAUAAGCACAUGCUAGACAUACAUCAAGUGUUCUCAAAUCCUUAAAGACUCAAUCCGAUAAGAUAACUUCAAAGGGAAAACUCAAUCCAUUACAAGAAGGUAGAGGGGGAGAAACACCAUAUGAUUCAACUAUAGUAGCAAAGCUCGCAGUACAUCAAGAUCAUGCCAAAUCAAGAACAUGAGAGAGAGAUCAAACACAUAGCUACUGGUACAUACCCUCAGCCCCGAGGGUGAACUACUCCCUCCUCGUCAUGGAGAGCGCCGGGACACCGGUGACGAUUCCCCCUCCGACAAGGUGCCGGAACAGGGUUUCGAUUGCUUUUUGGUGGCUACAGACGCUUGCGGCGGCAGAACUCCCGAUCUAGGUUCUGUUUUGGAGGUUUGGGGAUAUAUAAGAGGUGUUGGCGUUGAAAACAAGUCAGGGGAGUCCACAAGGGGCCCACAAGGUCGAGGGCGCACCCUAGGUGGGAGGGGGGGCGCCCCCACCCUUGUGGUGGCCUCGGGACUCCUCUGGUGCAUCUCCGGUACUCCUUGGGCUUCUUUUGGUCCAUAAAAGAUCGUCAUAAAGUUUCAGGUCAAUUGGACUCCGUUUGAUAUUCCUUUCCUGCGAAGCUCAAAAACAAGGAAAAAGCAGAAACUGGCACUGGGCUCUAGGUUAAUAGGUUAGUCCCAAAAAUCAUAUAAAAUAGCAUAUAAAUGCAUAUAAAACAUCCAAGAUAGAUAAUAUAAUAGCAUGGAACAAUAAAAAAUUCUAGAUACGUUGGAGACGUAUCAAGCAUCCCCAAGCUUAAUUCCUGCUCGUCCUCGAGUAGGUAAAUGAUAAAACAAAUUUUUUGAUGUGGAAUGCUACCUAACAUAUUUAUCAAUGUAAUCUUCUUUAUUGUGGCAUGAAUGUUCAGAUCCGUAAGAUUCAAAACAAAAGUUUAAUAUUGACAUAAAAACAAUAAUACUUCAAGCAUACUAACAAGGCAAUUAUGUCUUCUCAAAUUAACAUGGCCAAAGAAAGCUUAUCCCUACAAAAUCAUAUAGUCUGGCUAUGCUCCAUCUUCGUCACACAAAAUAUUCAAAUCAUGCACAACCCCGAUGACAAGCCAAGCAAUUGUUUCAUACUUUUGAUGUUCUCAAACUUUUUCAACUUUCACGCAAUACAUGAGCGUGAGCCAUGGAAUAGCACUAUGGGUGGAAUAGAAUAUGGUGGUUGUGGAGAAGACAAAAAGAAGGAGAUAGUCUCACAUCAACUAGGCGUAUUGAUGGGUUAUGGAGAUGCCCAUCAAUAGAUAUCAAUGUGAGCAAGUAGGGAUUGCCAUCCAACAGAUGCACUAGAGCUAUAAGUUUAUGAAAGCUCAAAAAGUAACUAAGUGGGUGUGCAUCCAACUUGCUUGCUCAUGAAGACCUAGGGCAAUUUGAGGAAGCCCAUCGUUGGAAUAUACAAGCCAAGUUCUAUAAUGAAACAUUCCCACUAGUAUAUGGAAGUGACAACAUAGGAGACUCUCUAUCAUGAAGAUCAUGGUGCUACUUUGAAGCACAAGUGUGGUAAAAGGAUAGUACCAUUGCCCCUUCUCUCUUUUCUCUCAUUUUUUUUUGUUUGGGCCUUCUCUUUUUUUGGCCUAUUUUUUUUUUAUUUUCCGUCCGGAGUCUCAUCCCGACUUCUGGGGGAAUCAUAGAUUCCAUCAUCCUUUCCUCACAUGGAAAAAUGCUCUAAUAAUGAAGAUCAUCACACUUUUAUUUACUUUACAACUCAAGAAUUACAACUCAAUACUAGAACAAAUAUAUGACUCUAUAUGAAUGCCUCCGGCGGUGUAUUGGGAUGUGCAAUGAAUCAAGAGUGACAUGUAUGAAAGAAUUAUGAACGGUGGCUUUGCCACAAAUACGAUGUCAACUACCAUGUUGUUUAGAGACUCUCAAAAUAAUACAGUGAAGCAUGAGAGUUCAUCAAUAUCUUCAAAAUAAAACUACCGCCGUGCUCUAAAAAGAUAUAAGUGAAGCACUAGAGCAAAUGACAAACUACUCCAAAAGAUAUAAGUGAAGAUCAAUGAGUAGUCGAAUAAUUAUGUAACUAUGUGAAGAUUCUCUAACAUUUAAGUAUUUCAGAUCUUAAGUGCUUUAUUCAAACAGAAAGCAAAACAUAAUAAAAUGACAUCGCAAGGAUAGCACAUAUCAUGUGAAGAAGCAAAAACUUAGGCUCAACCAAAACUGACCGAUAGUUGUUGAAGAAGAAAGGUGGGAUGCCAACCGGGGCAUCCCCAAGCUUAGAUGCUUGAGACUUCUUGAAAUAUUAAUUAGGGAUGCCUUUGGCAUCCCCAAGCUUGAGAUUUUUUGUCUCCUUAAUUCCUAUCAUAUCGCGGUUUCCCUAAAUCUUAAAAACUCCAUCCACACAAAACUCAACAAGAACUCGUGAGAUAAGUUAGUAUAAAUCCAUGCAGAACCUUAUCAUUCUCUACAGUAGAAAAUCACUAAAAUUAUAAUUUAACAUUGCAUACUAAAUGCCUCUUCAUAUUUAAUACUCCUAUCCUCAAAUAUAAUAAUUAAACAAGCAAACAUAUGCAAACAUAACAGCAAUCUGUCUAAACAGAACGGUCUGUAAAGAAUGCAAGAGGAAUCAUACUUCCCUAACUCCAAAAAUUCUGAAAAGUUACCAAACUGUAUAUAAUUUGCUGUUACUCAUUGUGUAAAAAAUUCAAGAUUUUAUCAUGUUCUGACUAUUCAAAAAUAUUCAAAACAUAAGAGCAAACUUUCUGUUUUUAAAACAACAACAUAUGGACUUGCAAAAUAAGCAUGGUAAGGCUCUAAAAACAUACAGACUCUAAAAACAACCUACGAAGUUAUAUUUCGAAAUUACAUGGGCCUGGCCCAAAAAUAAGGUGGCGCGACACCUAAAAUAAGCUAUGGACGAAAUUUAUGGAGGAGCAUCUUGCAUAUUUCGUCCAUGUCCUUGUAUGUCAUCAUGGAGGCUUAAAAGUGUUGAAAUAUGCACUAGAAACGCCGUUCUGGUUCCCUUCGCGUGCGCCUUCAUAUCCAUCUUGAUCCUGCUCCAGUGUUCAUCCCUCUUGUCCAUGCUAGUCCCUUCAUUAGUAAUCAACACAAAUGUAUCCAAUUUAGGCAGCAUCAUAUUCUCAUGAACAUUAGAAUUGUUACCAAGAAACGAAAGUACCUGGUAAUUCAAUUGGCAUGCCCGAGCUCUAGUAAUUGGUCCAGUAUGUAUAACAGUAGGGGCCGUGGGUGUAACAAUGGUAUUAAUGUCCUCAUCAAGUUGUAAAUAGACAUUUUGUUCUAACACUAUUACUCCAGAGUUUUUCUACUUCCAGACAUAUCUUAUCUCUACAUGUCUUGAACUCUUCAUGUUAUCAUUUGUCCUGUUCACUUUGAUUCUCAUUGUUCAUGAUGAUAGCGAUUAUGUGUUUUUCAAUCACCAAAAGUCUAUUAAGAGUUCAUGGAAUCAUUCUGAUUCAAUAAUAGCUUUGUCUAAUGUUGCAAAUUCUGCUUCCAUUGCCGACCUCAUUAAGAUGAUCUUCUUGCAAGACGUCCAUGAAACAACACACCACUGAGAGUAAAUAAAUAGCCACUUGUGGCUUUAUCUCAUCAACACUAGAAAUCCAAUUUGAGUCACUAUAUCCUUUGGGGACUCUUUAUGCCUGGCAUAGUGAAAGCCAUAGAUCAUGGUUCCUUUUAGAUCGCACACCGCCACUCUCUCAAGAGGUGUCAAUGGUCAUCUCUUGGAUUGGAAACAAGACAACUUAGAUUACUCACCCCAAAUGAUAUGUCAGGCCUCCUGAUUCUAGCUAAAUACAUGAGCGGGCCAAUGAUUUGAGAAUAUCUCAAUUAAUCUCCAGUGUCCUUUUGAUCCUUUCAAAUAAACACACUAGGAUCAGAAGGUGUUAAAGAGCAUUUGUAGUUAGAAUAACCAAACAUUCUAGAAACGAGAUUGCGGAAUAUAUAGCAAUCCAUUGUUUCAUUUAUCAAUAAAGUGAUGUUCAAGAACAAUCAUCUUCAAGAAAACAUCAGCGUUGUUACUUUUGGAGGGCAUGCGCCUCCUAGAUCGGCUAGGUGUGCUUGGGAGCCUUCAAGGUGUGAAGGAAACAAUAAGUUAUAUGGACUUGGAGAUCUGUCUACUUCAUGAAGAUCUGCCCUGAGUGAGGCUUGACGUUUGUGGUUGUAUGACAUGCUGAUAUAGGUUGGUUGGUCGUUUUGUGGACCCUUUGUGGUGUAGUACUUUGUGGAAUUGUUUCUCUAUGGAACUCACAACCGGGAUCUCUGUGAUCCUAGAACCUUCGUGGUUUGAAGCCUCCAUGAGCUUGGAGUAGGAUAGCGUCAACUGUCUGAACCAUGGGAAACAACUUCAUCGAUCAUCCCCAUGUUUGCAUUUGUACCAUUACCUUUGCUUCUACUCAUGCAAGCUUUGUCUUCAGUCGUUAUACUUUAGUAGACUUGCAUGUGUAGGGUGUUCCUAGGCUAUCAGUAGAAAAUCUUAAAAUUGCCAAGAACUUCAAAACUGGGAAAAGUGUUCCCUAGAUUUGCUAGCCUAUCCACCCCCUACAGACUAUACUAAAUGAUCCUACAAGUGGUGUAAAAACAAAGGUUUGUUAGCAAGGUCCUCCAUUAGUGAAUUCUUCAUAAGUUGUCUCAUUGGUUUGGCUUUACCACGAAAAGAGAGCACAACUUCUAGUGAGGAGGUUAUCACUAAAGAGGUCCUUACAUUGAUGGCUCUAACUUUGCUAGUUGGAUCAUAAGCUGAGAAUGCACAUUAUUUGACCAUGACCCCAUUGUUGGCCAAUUAUCCCUGCUGGUUUACAUGAUUAAUUCUUUCAAGGUGGAAAAAUUACAGAUCACGAAGCCACUCUCAAUGAAUCAAGGAUGCGACAACAUGAUGUGAUAACCCACAAGUAUAAGGGAUCGCAACAGUUAUCGAGGGUAGAGUAUUCAACCCAAAUUUAUAGAUUCGACACAAGGGGAGCCAAAGAAUAUUUGAAGGUAUUAGCAGCUGAGUUGUCAAUUCAACCACACCUGGAGAUUAAUUAUCUGCAUCAAAGUGAUCAGUAGCAAAGUAGUAUGAUAGUUUUGAUAGUAGUAGCAGCGGCAAUGGUAACAGUGACAGUGAUAUCAGUAAUUUUGUAGCAAGUGUAACAGUGAUGAUGUCAGUAGUAACUUAGCAAGAGCAAUAUAGGAUAAAUUCGUAGGCACUGGAUCGGUGACUUGUUGGAUGAUAUUCAUCAUGAGACAGUUAUAACCUAGGGCGAUACGGUACUAGCUCCAGUUCAUCAAUAUAAUGUAGGCAUGUAUUCCGUAAAUAGUCAUACAUGCUUAUGGAAAGAACUUGCAUGACAUCUUUUGUCCUACCCUCCCGUGGCAGCGGGGUCCUAUUGGAAACUAAGGGAUAUUAAGGCCUCCUUUUAAUAAAGAACCGGAACAAAGCAUUAACACAUAGUGAAUACAUGAACUCCUCAAACUACGGUCAUCACCGGGAGUGGUCUCGACUACUGUCACUCCGGGGUUGCCGGAUCAUAACACGUAGUAGGUGACUAUAACUUGCAAGAUCGGAUCUAGAACAUGGAUAUAAUUAUGAUAAUAUAAACGGUUCAGAUUUGAGUUCAUGGCACCCGAGCCCAAAGUGACAAGCAUUAAGCAUGUCAAAGUCAUAGCAACAUCAAUCUUAGAACAUACUUGAUACUAGGGAUCAAUCCCUAACAAAACUAACUUGAUUACAUGAUGAAUCUCAUCCAACUCCUCACGGACCAGCGAGCCUACGAAGGAAUUACUCACUCCCGGUGGGGAGCAUCAUGGAAUUGGCAAUGGAGAAGGGUUGGUGAUGAUGAAGAACGGAGAUCCCCCACUCCGGAGCCCCAAACGGACUCCAGAUCUAGCCUCCCGAUGAAGAACGGGAGGUGACGGCGGCUCCAUCUCAUGGAUCACGAUAAUUCUUUCUCCCUGUUUUUUUCUAGAAAAAUAGGAUUUUAUAGCGUUAGUUUUAGGGUCUGCGGGGCCACCAGGUGGGGACAACCCACCUGGGCACGCCAGGAGAGGGGGGCGCCCUGGUGGGUUGUGCCCACCCAGGUGCCCCUCUCCGGUGGAUCUUGGCUCCAGAAAUUCUUAUUUAUUGUAUAAAAAAUCCUCGCAAAGUUUCGUUCCAUUCCGAGAACUUUUAUUUCUGCACAAAAACAACACCAUGGUAGUUCUGCAGAAAACAACGUCAGUCCGGGGUUAGUUUCAUUCAAAUCAUGAAAAUUAGAGUCCAAAACAAGAGGAAAAGCGUUAGGAAAAGUAGAUACGUUGGAGACGUAUCAACUCCCCCAAGCUUAAACCUUUGCUUGUCCUCAAGCAAUUCAGUUGAUAAACUGAAAGUGAAAAAGGAAAACUUUUACGAACUCUUUUGCUCUUGUUUGCAUAAAUAAGCUUAAAUAGCACCCAGGUUUUCAGCCAACAUUAUAACUAACCAUGCCGACAAUAACUCUUAGAUAUUAUAUUAACUCAUAUCAAUGACAUAAUCAGCUAGUGAGCAAUAAUAAGAUAUAUCAAACAGCAACACGUUGUCAAAACAACCAUGAUAUAAUAUGACAAUAGUGGUAUCUCGCUAGCCCUUUCCGAGGCCGCAAACUAUAAAUGCAGAGCACCUCCAAAGUUCAAGCAGCGACUAAACAUUGUAAUUCAUGGUAGAAAAGAUCCAGUCAUGAUGCACCACAUUAGCUACACACAAUGCAUAAGUCAUGACAGUUGUGCUCUCAGGUUCAAGCGCUUGUUUCAGAAGGUGAUGACACAACAUAAAAAUAAAUAGAUAGUCCCUUCGCAGAGGGAAGCGGUGAUUUGCAGAGGUGCCGGAGCUCAAGUUUUUAAAACAGAGGUAAAUGAAAUUUUGAGACAUGCACCCUUCUCAUUUACUUCACGACUAUCAAUUAUCAAUAUCUUCCAUGCUAAGCACGCUAGUGGCGGUUCCCAAGCGAUAAAGUAAAGGUUUUGACUCCAUUGGGAGUUUUUGUUUGAUUAUUUGUAAGCCUUUGUUGUUUGCAGUUUGGGACUGGGCAUCCCUAUUACCGCCCUUUUCUCGUGUGAUGGCGAGUGAAUAAACACUCGACCUGAGAAUAACCCGCUUAGCAUGGAAGAUACCGACCACCUCCUGUCGUUCCAUGAACGAUCCAGGCACACAAAAAGGAAUAUUUAUUAGAAGUUUUAGAGGUGGCACAUGCAAAUUUACUUAGGACGGCAGGGUAAUACCGUAUAUAGGUAGGUAUGGUGGGCUCAUCUGGAAUAACUUUGGGUUCAAGGUUUUUGAUGUACAAGCAGAAUUCUCACUUAGUACAGCCGAAGGCUAGCAAUUAGAUUGAGAAGCGGCCAGCUAGAGAGCAACAACGGUCAUAACAUGCAUUAUGCAUAAGUAACAUUGGACACUAGCAUGAGUAGGAUAUGAACACCAUGAACAUAAAUAUCAUAGAGGAUUUGUUGGUUUUGAUUCAACUACAUGCAUGAACAUGUGCCAAGUCAAGCCACUCGAACAUUCAGAGGAGGAUACCAUAUCAUCAUACUACAUCACAAUCAUUUUAACGCAAUGUUGAUAUCCAAGAUAAAUCAUUAUCCACUCCCAGCUACUUAUGCAUGGCAUGAGAAACUAUAAUCUCUAAUUGUCAUUGCAAACAUGUUUAAUCAUAAUGGGCUGAAUCAUGGAUACUAGGUUAAAUAUAUUUACACAAACAGAACAAGUCGAGUUCAUACCAGUUUCUCUCUGCCACAUCCACUUCAUCGAAUGUCGUCAUUAUUGCCUUUCACUUGCAUGACCAAACGAUAUUGAAAUAAUAAUAGUGCAAGAGUGUCGUGGACUAAGCUGGAAUCUGCAAAAAAAAUUAUUCGACUGGAGAAGACAAGGUAAAAUGGGCUCUUUAUUAGAUAAAAAAUUAUUCAUAUGAGAGCCACUCAACAUUUUCAUCAUGGUCUUCUCCUCGGUACAACUCGAAUAAAAUGAAAAGAAAUUCAGAGAAACACACUGAAAUAUUUUUGGAGUUUUUGGUUUUCUUGAACAAGCAAAUAAAAGGGAAAAGCAAAAACGAGAAAAACUAUUUACACAGGAAAUCUCCCAACAAGCAAAAGAAGAUCAGUGAAAUCUUAUUGGGAUUAAACCUGACAUCCUAGUACACGCCUGCGUUUGUGUCCGAGUAAUGCAUAGAAAGUAAACUAGCUACAACUUUUUUUUUGGUUUUUCUAAAGUAUUUCAAACACACAAGACGAAAACAAGAAAAUAAAUCUAAGCAUGGAUGAUACAAUGAAAAAGUGUGAACACCGACAAAUGGAAUAAGUGAACAUGAAUGUAAUGUCGGUGGGAAACACGUACUCCCCCAAGCUUAGGCUUUUGGCCUAACUUGGUAAUCGAUCAGUAGCCUGGAUAGUAGUUGGCGUGGUAGCUCACGGAAGCUGUCGGUGCGGAUGCCUCGGCCUGCCGUGCUGCCUCCACUGCUGCGUUGUGAUCUCGGGCCUCGCUCUCAAGAAGAAAAUAUAUUCCUUUGAUGUGAUAGUCAAAAAGAGCAGGCGCAUGCAAAUAUGUGUGCACAACAGAUUUUUGGUUAAACAAUAGAUUGUAAGUGAAGUUAUCAAUCUUUCCUUUAAGGAUCUUAUGAUCUUUUAAGGUGUCAAAAUCUAAAUACUGCGUGGGUAGGAUAGGAUCAAAGGGCAAAGGUGAAACACCCAGCCCUCGUGCUAAACGCAUGGCAUAUAUUCCACCAUAGAAAUAGCCACUAUUAGCGUUGUGCUGAAGUCUGCGUGCAACGAUCGCUCCAAGGUUAUAAUUCCUUUCACCAGUAAGAGCGGUGCGUAUGAGGCUCAAGUCUGGAGCACAAAGUGUACUACAGUCCUGCUUGCCUACUAUACAUUUCCCGUUAAAUAAUGCAAAGUACUGAAUUGUGGGAAAAUGAAUGCUCUUUAUUCUACCUUGUGUCACUCCCCUCAUCUCACCGCAGCAAAGAUUAGUUAAGAAUGAUUGGUACCCAGCCCUUGGCGGCUUGCCAAGCGAACCCCAGAACGGAAGUUUACAGUGGUAAGCAAAAUUCUCUAGUGAGAUGGUAAAUGGAUUAUCAUAAAGCAUAAACGACACCUUAGACUCACGGGGAUGGAAUUUAAAUCCUUUGGCAAAUGAUUCAGUGAGAAUGUGGCGUUGUUCACACUUAUCUGAAAUGUAGGGACCGAGACCGGCAUUGUGAACAUACUGCUCAAAUUCCGCCUUAAUGCCCACACGCAUCAUAUAAUCAUCGCAAGGCCAUAAGCAUGUUUGGUGGCGGCAUCUCGAGUGGAACUUUCACUUGGUUCAACAUAUGACCGGCGAGCGGAGCUAUCACUAGAAGAUGCCCCCGAGGAUUGCCUCCUUGAAGAACUCCUUCCAAAAAGGUUCAUCAUGUUCGCGUACAAUUUUCUGAAAAUUUUGGGUGACAAAAAUUUAUCAACAAAACUUUAUAAGAUUGAUAGCAACUACUCAUAGGGAUACAUAGAGGCCAUAGCAAGCGUUCAAACUACUUAAAACUCUAAGAAUUCAACAUGCAAGCUCAUCUACAACAACACCAACAGUAGCUAAUUAUUCAAAAUAUAAACCACAAAAACAAAAACUAAUUGGACAAACGGUGGAGUCACAUACCAAGCAACAAUCCCCCGAAACAGUUUCGGAAACGGAGCUUCGAGCAGAGAGAUCAAAAUCCGCGGGUUUGAGAGCAAGAACACGGGAGAGAGAGUAAUGGAGAAUUUUUCUGGAGGUGAGUGAUGAUGUGGUGUGAAGAGAUGAGUGAGGGGGGCCACAUAGGGACCACAACCCACCAGGGCGAGCCUGGGGGUCCUGGCGCCUAGGUGGGUUGUGCCCACCUGGUGCACCUCCCUCUGAUAUUAUUUGCAUUAGAAAUUUAGAAAUAUUAAAAAAAUCGUAUUAAAUUUUCAGGGCAUUCUGUGAACUUUUUAUUUUUGGGUCAUUUUUUAUUGCACGAGAAAUUCAGAAAACAGACAAAACAUGGCAUUUUAUUUUAUUUAACUAAUAAAAACAGAAAACAAAAGGUAGGGACAGAAGGUAGUGCUUACUAAAUUCAUCAACUUCAUACCGCUAAAAAAUGAUCCAUUAAUAAGGUUGAUCAAGUCUUAUUAACAACCACUUUUGAUUAGCAUGAAACCGAAGAACUUUCGUAAAUCACUAAGUUACCUCAAUGGGGAUAUGGAUGUCCCCAACAAUAAGCAUUUCAUAUUUCUUUUUGACAGUAGGUAGAGGUAUUUGAAAACUUUCAAUAGUGAUUGUCGGAGAUUUUUCAAUAACAUUAAUACCAUUCACUUGGAAUUGCUUCUUCGGAAAGUGCACCGUAUGCUCAUUACCAUUGAUAUGAAAAGUGACCUUGCUUUUGUUGCAAUCAAUAACAGCCCCUGCAGUAUUCAAGAAGGGUCUACCAAGGAUAAUCGACAUGUUGUCGUCCUCGGGCAUCUCAAGUAUAACAAAGUCAGUCAAAAUAGUAACAUUAGCAACAACAACAGGCACAUCCUCACAGAUACCGAUAGUUACGGCAGUUGAUUUGUCAGCCAUUUGCAAAGAUAUUUCAGUAGGUGUGAGUUUAUUCAAAUCAAGUCUUUUAUAUAAAGAGAAAGGCAUAACACUAACACCAGCUCCUAAAUCACACAAAGCAGUUUUCACAUAAUUCUUUUUGAUAGAGCAAGGUAUAGUUGGUAUUCACGGAUCUCCAAGUUUUUUAGGUACUCCAUCUUUAAAAGUAUAAUUAGCAAGCAUGGUGGAGAUUUCAGCUUCUAGUAUUUUUCUCUUAUUAGUGAUGAUGUCUUUCAUAUACUUUGCAUAAGGAGGCAUAUUCAAGAUAUCAGUCAAGCGAGUAUGCAAAAAGACCGGCCUCAGCAUUUCAGCAAAGCGUUCAAAUUCUUCAUCAUCUUUCUUUUUAGUUGACUUGAGUGGAAAGGGCAUUGGUUUUUGAACCCACGGUUCUCUUUCUUUACCGUGUUUUCUAGCAAUGAAGUCUCUUUUGUCAUAUCUUUUAUUCUUAGGUUGUGGGUUAUCAAGAUCAACAGGUGGUUCUAUCUCAACAUCAUUAUGUAGUUCUUUUUCAUUGUUUGGUUGAUCAUCUUCAUGAACCUCAUCAUUAUCUUUUUCAUUAUCACUAGGUGAGUGUUCAUUACCAUAUUGAGUUUCAGCAUCUGAGAUGGAAGUUUCAUUAUCAUUAUCAGGAGGUUUUUCUAUUUCAGGUUCACUAGAAGUAUGCAAAAUCCUAUCAUUUUUAUUCUUCUUUUUCUUUCUAGAAGGACAAGGUGCAUCAGUGUUAACUCUUUGUUAAUCUUGUUCAAUUCUUUUGGGGUGUCCCUCAGGAUAAAGUGGUUCCUGAGUCAUUUUACCUCCUCUAGUUGCAACUCUAACAACAAAGUCAUGUAUAUUAUUAUUCAUUUCAUCUAGCAAUUCUCUUUGUGAUUUAGCAACUUGUUCUAACUGAGUUUGAGCCAUAGAAGCAUGUUUUCCAACACCUCUAACAUCAUUUGAGAUUCUAAAUAACAAGUCACUCAAGCGAGCAAUCAUAUCAGAAUUGUAUUUCAAUUGUUUCAUAACAUUUGCAUUGAAGUGAUCUUGUUUUCUAAUAUAGUUUUCAAACUCAUAAAGGCAUUGGCUAGGAUGCAUAUUGUGAGGAUUUUCAUUAUCAUUGAACUUCAUUAGAGAAUUUACCUCUACCACCUUAGGCAACGGUGGUGUAUUAAGCCCAUGUAUUUCUUCAAUAGGAGGUAAAUUUUUAACAUCCUCAGCUUUAAUACCUUUUUCCUUCAUAGAUUUCUUUGCCUCUUGCAUAUCUUUAGGACUGAGAUAUAAUAUACCCCUCUUCUUCGGAGUGGGUUUAGCCGGUGGUUCAGGAAUAGUCCAAUCAUCAUAAUUUUCCAAUAUAUUAUUCAAUAAUUCUUCAGAUUGUCCAACAGUUCGUUCCCUGAAAACACAACCAACACAACUAUCUAGGAAAUCCCUAGAAGCAUCGGUUAGUCCAUUAUAGAAGAUAUCAAGUAUUUCAUUUUUCUUAAGAGGAUGAUCAGGCAAAGCAUUAAGUAACUGGAAAAGCCUCCCCCAAGCUUGUGGGAGACUCUCUUCUUUAGUUUGCACAAAGUUAAAUAUUUCCUCUAAAGCAGCUUGUUUCUUAUGAGCAGGGAAAUAUUUUUCAUAGAAGUAAUAAAUCAUAUCCUGGGGACUACGCACACAACCAGGAGCAAGAGUAUUGUACCAAGAUUUAGCAUCACCCUUUAAUGAGAACGGAAAUAAUUUGAGAAUAAAGUAAUAGCGAGUUUUCUCAUCAUGAGUAAAAAGGGUAGCUAUGUCAUUCAACUUAGUAAGAUGUGCCACAACAGUUUCAGUUUCAUAACCAUGGAAAGGAUCAUAUUCAACCAAAGUAAUUAACUCCGGGUCGACAGAGAAUUCAUAAUCCUUAUCAUCAAUAAAGAUAGGUGAAGUAGCAAACUUAGGAUCACAUUUCAUUCUAGCAUUCAGAGAUUUUUCUUUAUACUUGCAUAAUAAUUUCUCUAGAUCAUCUCUAUCUUUGCAAGCAAGAAUAUCUCUAGUUGUCUCCUCAUUCAUAACAUAACCUUCCAGUACCUUAGGAAAUUCAUAUCUAGGAAGGCUAGUUCUAGCAGGUGUUUCAGGAGUUUCAGUUUCAAGCUCAUCAUCAGAUUCAACAACAUCAUGUUGUAUUACUCUAGCAAUUUGUUCAUCAAGAAAAUCACCAAGUGGCACAUCAUCAUUAUCAAGCAAGGUACUAGCAUCAUCAUAAGCAUUAUCCAUAGCAGAAGUAGCAUCAUCAAUAACUUGCGACAUAUCAGAAUUGAUAGCAUGUGGUGGUGUUGCAAGUUUACUUAUAACAGAAGGUGAAUCUAAAGCAGAACUGGAUGGCAGUUCCUUACCUCCCCUCGUCUUUGAGGGAAAUAUCUUAGUUUAGCAUCCUUCAAAUUCUUCAUAGUGAUAAAUUGAUAAUAAUCCCAAGUGGCUCAACAAAUAUAGCUAUGCCCCCCGGCAACGGCGCCAGAAAAAGGUCUUGAUAACCCACAAGUAUAGGGGGUCGCAACAGUUUUCGAGGGUAUAGUAUUCAACCCAAAUUUAUAGAUUCGACACAAGGGGAGUCAAAGAAUAUUUGAAGGUAUUAGCAGCUGAGUUGUCAAUUCAACCACACUUGGAGAUUAAUUAUCUACAACAAAGUGGCCAUUAGCAAAGUAGUAUGAUAGUUUUGAUAGUAGUAGCAGCGGCAAUGGUAACGGUGACAGUGAUAUCAGUAAUUUUGUAGCAAGUGUAACAGUGAUGAUGGCAGUAGUAACUUAGCAAGAGCAAUAUAGGAUAAAUUCAUAAGCACUGGAUCGGUAACUUGUUGGAUGAUAUUCAUCAUGAGACAGUUAUAACCUAGGGCGAUACGACACUAGCUCCAGUUCGUCAAUAUAAUGUAGGCAUGUAUUCCGUAAAUAGUCAUACGUGCUUAUGGAAAGAACUUGCAUGGCAUCUUUUGUCCUACCUCCCGUGGCAGCGGGGUCCUAUUGGAAUCUAAGGGAUAUUAAGGCCUCCUUUUAAUAUAGAACCGGAACAAAACAUUAACACCUAGUGAAUACAUGAACUUCUCAAACUACGGUCAUCACCGGGAAUGGUCCCGGCUACUGUCGCUCCGGGGUUGCCGGAUCAUAACACGUAGUAGGUGACUAUAACUUGCAAGAUCGGAUCUAGAACAUGGAUAUAAUUAUGAUAACAUAAAUGGUUCAGAUCUGAGUUCAUGGCACCCGGGCCCAAAGUGACAAGCAUUAAGCAUGGCAAAGUCAUAGCAACAUCAAUCUUAGAACAUAGUGGAUACUAGGGAUCAAGCCCUAACAAAACUAACUCAAUUACAUGAUGAAUCUCAUCCAACUCCUCACCGGCCAAUGAGCCUACGAAGGAAUUACUCACUCCGAGUGGGGAGCAUCAUGGAAUUGGCGAUGGAGAAGGGUUAGUGAUGAUGAAGAACGAAGACCCACCUCUCCGAAGCCCCAAACGGACUCCAUAUCUGGCCUCCCAAUGAAGAACAGGAGGUGACAGCGACUCCGUCUCGUGGAUCACGAUAAUUCUUUCUCCCUGAUUUUUUCUGGAAAAAUAGGAUUUUAUAGCGUUAGUUUUAGGGUCUGCGGGGCCAUUGCUACCUCUUGAGCACUGCGUUGGUUUUCCCUUGAAGAGGAAAGGGUGAUGCAGCAAAGUAGCGUAGGUAUUUCCCUCAGUUUUUGAGAACCAAGGUAUCAAUCCAAUAGGAGGCUACGCACAAGUCCCUCGCACCUACACAAACAAAUAAAUCCUCGCAACCAACGCGAUAAGGGGUUGUCAAUCCCUACACGGUCACUUACGAGAGUGAGAUCUGAUAGAUAUGAUAAGAUAAUAUUUUUGGUAUUUUUAUGAUAAAGAUGCAAAGUAAAGAAAGCAAAAUAAAAAGGCAAUGGAAAUAGCUUGUUAUCGGGAGAUUAAAUAUGAUGGAAAAUAGACCCGGGGGCCAUAGGUUUCACUAGUGGCUUCUCUCGAGAGCAUAAGUAUUACGGUGGGUGCACAAAUUACUGUUGAGCAAUUGACAGAAUUGAGCAUAGUUAUGAGAAUAUCUAGGUAUGAUCAUGUAUAUAGGCAUCACGUCCGAGACAAGUAGACCGACUCCUGCCUGCAUCUACUACUAUUACUCCACACAUCGACCGCUAUCCAGCAUGCAUCUAGAGUAUUGAGUUCAUAAGAACAGAGUAACGCUUUAAGCAAGAUGACAUGAUGUAGAGGGAUAAACUCAUGCAAUAUGAUAUAAACCCCAUCUUGUUAUCCUCGAUGGCAACAAUACAAUACGUGACUUGCUGCCCCUACUGUCAUUGGGAAAGUACACCACAAGAUUGAACCCAAAGCUAAGCACUUCUCCCAUUGCAAGAAAGAUCAAUCUAGUAGGCCAAACCAAACUGAUAAUUCGAAGAGACUUGCAAAGAUAACCAAUCAUACAUAAAAGAAUUCAGAGAAGAUUCAAAUAUUGUUCAUAGAUAAACUUGAUCAUAAAACCACAAUUCAUCGGUCUCAACAAACACACCACAAAAGAAGAUUACAUCGAAUAUAUCUCCACGAAAGAGGGGGAGAACAUUGUAUUGAGAUCCAAAAAGAGAGAAGAAGCCAUCUAGCUAAUAACUACGGACCCGAAGGUCUGAGGCAAACUACUCACACAUCAUCGGAGAGGCUAUGGUAUUGAUGUAGAAGCCCUCCGUGAUCGAUGCCCCCUCCGGCGGAGCUCCGGAACAGGCCCCAAGAUGGGAUCUCACUGGUACAGAAGGUUGCGUCGGUGGAUUAGGUUUUUGGCACCGUAUCUGGUAGUUUGGGGUACGUAGGUAUAUAUAGGAGGAAGGAGUACGUAGGUGGAGCAACAGGAGGCCCACGAGGGAGGAGGGCGCGCCCCCCUACCUCGUUCCCUCCUGGUUGAUGUCUUGACGUAGGGUCCAAGUCCUCUGGAUCACGUUCGUUCCGAAAAUCACGUUCCUGAAGGUUUCAUUCCGUUUGGACUCCGUUUGAUAUUCUUUUUCUGCGAAACUCUGUAAUAGGCAAAAAAACAACAAUUCUGGGCCGGGCCUCCGGUUAAUAGGUUAGUCCCAAAAAUAAUAUAAAAGUGUAUAAUAAAGCCCAAUAAUGUCCAAAACAGAAUAUAAUAUAGCAUGGAGCAAUAAAAAUUAUAGAUACAUUGGAGACGUAUCAAGCAUCCCCAAGCUUAAUUCCUGCUCGUCCUCGAGUAGGUAAAUGAUAAAAACAGAAUUUUUGAUGUGGAAUGCUACUUGGCAUAAUUUCAAUGUAAUUCUUCUUAAUUGUGGUAUGAAUAUUCAGAUCGAAAGAUUCAAGACAAAAGUUCAAUAUUGACAUAAAAAUAGUAAUACUUCAAGCAUACUAACUAAGCAAUUAUGUCUUCUCAAAAUAACAUGGCUAAAGAAAGUUAUCCCUACAAAAUCAUAUAGUUUGGCUAUGCUCUAUCUUCACCACACAAAAUAUUUAAAUCAUGCACAACCCCGAUGACAAGCCAAGCAAUUGUUUCAUACUUUUGACGUUCUCAAACUUUUUCAAUCUUCACGCAAUACAUGAGCGUGAGCCAUGGACAUAGCACUAUAUGUGGAAUAGAAUGGUGGUUGUGGAGAAGACAAAAAAGGAGAAGAUAGUCUCACAUCAACAAGCGUAUCAACGAGCUAUGGAGAUGCCCAUUAAUAGAUAUCAAUGUGAGUGAGUAGAGAUUGCCAUGCAACAGAUGCACUAGAGCUAUAAGUAUAUGAAAGCUCAACAAAAGAAACUAAGUGGGUGUGCAUCCAACUCGCUUGCUCACGAAGACCUAGGGCAUUUUGAGGAAGCCCAUCAUUGGAAUAUACAAGCCAAGUUCUAUAAUGAAAAAUUCCCACUAGUAUAUGAAAGUGACAUCAUAGGAGACUCUCUAUCAUGAAGAUAAUGGUGCUACUUUGAAGCACAAGUGUGGUAAAAGGAUAGUAGCAUUGUCCCUUCUCUCUUUUUCUCUCAUUUUUUUAAUUGGGCCUUUUCUUCUCUUUUUUUAUGGCCUCUUUUUUUCUCUUUUUUUUAUUUAGUCCGGAGUCUCAUCCCGACUUGUGGGGGAGUCAUAGUCUCCAUGAUCCUUUCCUCACUUGGGACAAUGCUCUAAAAAUGAUGAUCAUCACACUUUUAUUUACUUACAACUCAACAAUUACAACUCAAUACUUAGAACAAAAUAUGACUCUAUGUGAAUGCCUCCGGCAGUGUACCGGGAUAUGCGAGUAACAUGUAUGAAAGAAUUAUGAACGGUGGCUUUGCCACAAAUACGAUGUCAACUACAUGAUCAUGCGAAGCAAUAUGACAAAGAUGGAGCAUGUCAUAAUAAACGGAACAGUGGUAAGUUGCAUGGCAAUAUAUCUCGGAAUGGCUAUGGAAAUGCCAUGAUAGGUAGGUAUGGUGGCUGUUUUGAGGAAGGUAUAUGGUGGGUGUAUGAUACCGGCAAAAAGUGCGCGGUAUUAGAGAGGCUAGCAAUGGUGGAAGGAGGAAAAGUGCGUAUAAUCCAUGGACUCAACAUUAGUCAUAAAGAACUCAUAUACUUACUGCAAAAAUCUACAAGUUAUCUAAGCAAAGUAUUACGCGCAUUCUCCUAGGGGGAUAGAUUGGUAGGAAAAGACCAUCGCUCGCCCCCGACCGCCACUCAUAAGGAGGACAAUCAAUAAAUAAAUCAUGCUCCGACUUCAUCACAUAACGGUUCACCAUACGUGCAUGCUACGGAAUCACAAACUUUAACACAAGUAUUUCUCAAAUUCACGACUACCCAACUAGCAUGACUCUAAUAUUACUACCUCCAUAUCUCAAAACAAUCAUCAAGCAUCAAACUUCUCUUGGUAUUCAACACACUCAUAAGAAAGUUUUUACAAUUCUUGAAUACCUAGCAUAUUAGGAUUAUUUAAGAAAAUUACCAUGCUGUUUAAGACUCUCAAAAUAAUCCAAGUGAAGCAUGAGAGAAUAAUAGUUUCUAUAAAACAAAUCCACCACCGUGCUCUAAAAGAUAUAAGUGAAGCACUAGAGCAAAAACUAUAUAACUCAAAAGAUAUAAGUGAAGCACAUAGAGUAUUCUAAUAAUUUCCGAAUCAAGUGUGUCUCUCAAAAGGUGUGUACAGCAAAGAUGAUUGUGGUAAACUAAAAAGCAAAGACUCAAAUAAUACAAGACGCUCCAAGCAAAACACAUAUCAUGUGGUGAAUAAAAAUAUAGCUCCAAGUAAAGUUACCGAGGGAAGUAGACGAAAGAGGGGAUGCCUUCCGGGGCAUCCCCAAGCUUUGGAUUUUAGGUGUCCUUAGAUUAUCUUGGGGUGCCAUGAGCAUCCCCAAGCUUAGGCUCUUGCCACUCAUUGUUCCAUAAUCCAUCAAAUCUUUCACCCAAAACUUGAAAACUUCACAACACAAAACUUAACAGAAAAUCUCGUAAGCUCCGUUAGCGAAAGAAAACAAAAGACCACUUCAAGGUACUGUAAUGAAAUCAUUCUUUAUUUAUAUUGGUGUUAAACCUACUGCAUUCCAACUUCUCUAUGGUUUAUAAACUAUUUUCCUAGCCAUAGAUUCAUCAAAAUAAGCAAACAACACACGAAAAACAGAAUCUGUCAAAAACAGAACAGUCUGUAGUAAUCUGUAACUAACGCAAACUUUUGGAACUCCAAAAAUUCAGCCAAAAUAGGAAGACCUAGAAAAUUUGUUUAUUGAUCAGCAGAAAUUGGAAUCAAUAUUUUAUCACGUUCUGGUGAUUUUUAACAAUUAUUUUCGGGAACAGAAAGUUUCUGGAAAUUACAGCAAGAUCAAAUAACUAUCAUCCAAGAAGAUCCUAUAGGUUUAACUUGGCACAAACACUAAUUAAAACAUAAAAACAAAUCUAAACAGAGGCUAGAGCAAACAUUUAUUCCUAAACAGAAGAAAAAAGCAAAAAACUAAAAAUAAAAUUGGGUUGCCUCCCAACAAGCGCUAUCGUUUAACGCCCCUAGCUAGGCAUAAAAGCAAGGAUAGAUCUAGGUAUUACCAUCUUUGGUAGGCAAUCCAUAAGUGGCUCUCAUAAUAGAUUCAUAAGGUAAUUUUAUUUUCUUUCUAGGGAAGUGUUCCAUGCCUUUCCUUAACGGAAAUUGGAAUCUAAUAUUCCCUUCCUUCAUAUCAAUAGUUGCACCAAUCGUUCUAAGGAAAGGUCUACCAAGAAUAAUAGGACAUGAAGGAUUGCAAUCUAUAUCAAGAACAAUAAAGUCUACGGGCACAUAGUUCCUAUUUGCAACAAUAAGAACAUCAUUAAUUCUUCCGAUAGGUUUCUUAAUAGUGGAAUCCGCAAGGUGCAAGUUCAGAGAGCAAUCAUCAAAAUCACGGAAACCUAGAAAAUCACACAAAGUCUUUGGAAUCGUGGAAACACUAGCACCCAAAUCGCACAAAGCAUAGCAUUCAUGAUCUUUAAUUUUAAUUUUAAUAGUAGGUUCCCACUCAUCACAAAGUUUUCUAGGGAUAGAAACUUCCAACUCAAGUUUUUCUUCAUAACAUUGCAUCAAAGCAUCAACGAUAUGUUUGGUAAAGGCUUUAUUUUGACUAUAAGCAUGAGGAGAAUUUAGCACGGAUUGCAACAAGGAAAUACAAUCUAUCAAAGAGCAAUUAUCAUAAUUAAAUUCCUUGAAAUCCGCAAUAGUGGGUUCAUUAAUAUCUAAUGUUUUGAUCUCUUCAAUCCCACUUUUAUCAAUUUUAGCAUCAAGAUCUAAAAACUCCGAAUUUCUGGAACGCCUUCUAGGUAAAGUUGGAUCAUAUUCAGUCCCUUCAUUAUCAAGAUUCAUAUUGCAAAACAAAGAUUUAAUAGGGUACACAUCAAUAACUUUUAGAUCUUCAUCUUUAUUUUCAUAGAAAUUUGAAGAACACACUUUCACAAAGCAGUCUUUCUUAGCACGCAUCCUAGCGGUUCUUUCUUUGCACUCAUCAAUGGAAAUUCUCAUGGCUUUGAGAGACUCAUUGAUAUCAUGCUUAGGAGGAAUAGAUCUAAGUUUUAAAGAAUCAACAUCAAGAGAAAUUCUAUCAACGUUCCUAGCCAAUUCAUCAACUUUAAGCAAUUUUUCUUCAAGCAAAGCAUUGAAAUUCUUUUGUGAAUUCAUAAAUUCUUGAACACUAGUCUCAAAUUCAGAAGGCAUCUUAUUAAAGUUUCCAUAAGAAUUGUUGUAGGAAUUACCAUAAUUAUUAGAGCAAUUACUAGGAUAAGGCCUAGGACUAAAGUUUCCUCUAUACGCGUUGUUACCAAAAAAUUUCCUACCAACAAAAUUCACAUCCAUGGAUUCAUUAUUAUUCUCAAUCAAAGUAGAAAGAGGCAUAUCAUUAGGAUCAGAAGAAACACUCUUAGUAGCAAAUAAUUUCAUAAGUUCAUCCAUCUUUCCACUCAAAACAUUAAUUUCUUCUAUCGCAUGCACUUUUUUAUUAGUAGGUCUUUCAGUGUGCCAUUGAGAAUAAUUAACCAUAAUAUUAUCUAGGAGUUUAGUAGCUUCUCCUAAAGUGAUUUCCAUAAAAGUGCCUCCCGCGGCCGAAUCUAAAAGAUUUCUAGAAGCAAAAUUCAAUCCGGCAUAAAUUUUUUCUAUAAUCAUCCAUAAAUUCAAACCAUGAGUAGGACAAUUACGUAUCAUUAAUUUCAUCCUCUGCCAAGCUUGUGCAACAUGUUCAAGAUCAAGUUGCUUAAAAUUCAUAAUAUCGUUUCUAAGAGAGAUGAUCUUAGCGGGAGGAAAAUAUUUAGAGAUAAAAGCAUCUUUGCACUUAUUUUUAGGCAAAGACGAAAACCAAGCUUUAGCACGAUCUCUAAGCGAAAAAGGAAAUAGCUUCAAUUUAACAAUAUCAUUGUCCACAUCUUUCUUCUUUUGCAUAUCACACAAAUCAACAAAGCUAUUUAGAUGGGUAGCGGCAUCUUCACUAGGAAGGCCGGUGAAUUGAUCUUUCAUGACAAGAUUCAACAAAGCGGUAUUAAUUUCACAAGAUUCAGUAUCGGUAAGAGGAGCAAUCGGAGUGCUAAGGAAAUCAUUAUUGUUGGUAUUGGUAAAGUCACACAAUUUGGUAUUAUCUUGAGCCAUCGUGACAAGCAAGCAGUCCAACACACGAGCAAACAAGAAGCAAGCGGAAAAAAGCGAACGGAAAAGAGAAGGCGAAUAAAAUGGCAAGGGUGAAGUGGGGGAGAGGAAAACGAGAGGCAAAUGGCAAAUAAUGUAAUGCGGGAGAUAAGGGUUUGUGAUGGGUACUUGGUAUGUUGACUUUUGCGUAGACUCCCCGGCAGCGGCGCCAGAAAUCCUUCUUGCUACCUGUUGAGCACUGCGUUGAUUUUCCCUUGAAGAGGAACGGGUGAUGCAGCAAAGUAGCGUAGGUAUUUCCCUCAGUUUUUGAGAACCAAGGUAUCAAUCCAGUAGGAGGCCACGCACGAGUCCCUCGCACCUACACAAACAAAUAAAUCCUCGCAACCAACGCGAUAAGGGGUUAUCAAUCCCUACACGGUCACUUACAAGAGUGAGAUCUGACAGAUAUGAUAAGAUAAUAUUUUUGGUGUUUUUAUGAUGAAGAUGCAAAGUAAAGAAAGCAAAAUAAAAAGGCAAUGGAAAUAGCUUGUUGUCGGGAGAUUAAAUAUGAUGGAAAAUAGACCCGGGGGCCAUAGGUUUCACUAGUGGCUUCUCUCGAGAGCAUAAGUAUUACGGUGGGUGCACAAAUUACUGUUGAGCAAUUGACAGAAUUGAGCAUAGUUAUGAGAAUAUCUAGGUAUGAUCAUGUAUAUAGGCAUCACGUCCGAGACAAGUAGACCGACUCCUGCCUGCAUCUACUACUAUUACUCCACACACCGACCGCUAUCCAGCAUGCAUCUAGAGUAUUAAGUUCAUAAGAACAGAGUAACGCUUUAAGCAAGAUGACAUGAUGUAGAGGGAUAAACUCAUGCAAUAUGAUAUAAACCCCAUCUUGUUAUCCUCGAUGGCAACAAUACAAUACGUGCCUUGCUGCCCCUACUGUCACUGGGAAAGGACACCGCAAGAUUGAACCCAAAGCUAAGCACUUCUCCCAUUGCAAGAAAGAUCAAUCUAGUAGGCCAAACCAAACUGAUAAUUCGAAGAGACUUGCAAAGAUAACCAAUCAUACAUAAAAGAAUUCAGAGAAGAUUCAAUUAUUGUUCAUAGAUAAACUUGAUCAUAAACCCACAAUUCAUCGGUCUCAACAAACACACCGCAAAAGAAGAUUACAUCGAAUAGAUCUCCACGAGAGAGGGGGAGAACAUUGUAUUGAGAUCCAAAAAGAGAGAAGAAGCCAUCUAGCUAAUAACUAUGGACCCGAAGGUCUGAGGUAAACUACUCACACAUCAUCGGAGAGGCUAUGGUGUUGAUGUAGAAGCCCUCCGUGAUUGAUGCCCCCUCCAGCGGAGCUCCGGAACAGGCCCCAAGAUGGGAUCUCACGGGUACAGAAGGUUGCGGUGGUGGAAUUAGGUUUUUGGCUCCGUAUCUGGUAGUUUGGGGGUACGUAGGUAUAUAUAGGAGGAAGGAGUACGUCGGUGGAGCAAUAGGGGGCCCACGAGGGUGCUGGGCGCGCCCAGGGGGUGUAGGCGCGCCCCCUACCUUGUGCCCUCCUGGUUGAUGUCUUGACGUAGAGUCCAAGUCCUCUGGAUCACGUUCGUUCCGAAAAUCACGUUCCCGAAGGUUUCAUUCCGUUUGGACUCCGUUUGAUAUUCUUUUUCUGUGAAACUCUGAAAUAGGCAAAAAAACAACAAUUCUGGGUUGGGCCUCCGGUUAAUAGGUUAGUCCCAAAAAUAAUAUAGAAGUGUAUAAUAAAGCCCAAUAAUGUCCAAAACAGAUUAUAAUAUAGCAUGGAGCAAUAAAAAAUUAUAGAUACGUUGGAGACGUAUCAGCCACCAGGUGGGGAGAACCCACCUGGGCGCGCCAGGAGAGGGGGGAGCGCCCUGGUGGGUUGUGCCCACCCAGGUGCCCCUCUCCGGUGGAUUUUGGCUCCAGAAAUUCUUAUUUAUUGUAUAAAAAUCCCCGCAAAGUUUCGUUCCAUUCCGAGAACUUUUAUUUCUGCACAAAAACAACACCAUGGUAGUUUUGCUGAAAAGUAGAGUCCAAAACAAGAGGAAAAUCGUUAGGAAAAGUAGAUACGUUGGAGACGUAUCAUGAUGCUCAAACCUGUGACAUCUUAUUCAACUCUUGUGUCCCGACGAGUUUAACAAGAUUAGUCUUCUUGAAAGUGUAAGGGAAAUUUGGAAUACUUCAGUGGAAAUGCACGAAGGCACCACAUCCAUUAAGGAAUCCAAGCUUCACAUACUUCAAGGUCAACUUGAUAAUUUCAAGAUGAAGGAUGAUUAAGGCGUUUACUCUAGGCUUGCAUUCAUCAUAAAUGAGAUUGUCGGUUGGGGUGAUGAAGAGAUGACGAACAAGUUUGUCACGAAGAAGAUCUUAUAAGGGCAUUAGAUGGAAAGUAUGACACCAUAUGCACUCUUAUCCAAAUGGUGCCAAAUUACAAAGAUCUCACGCCUACUAGAGUGAUUGGAAGGAUUGUAGGUCAUAAGACAAAUCUUAAGCAUAAACAGGAACUCCAUUGCCAAUCAUCUAGUAGUGGUGCUUACAAGGCCACUAGUGACACUCCCAACUCUUCGAGUGAAAAAGUGAAGGUAACUAGCGAGGAACUUAGCAUCAUGGUCUGCAACUUCAACAAGUUCUACUCCAAGAACAAGUUCAAGCGCAAAGAUCAAAGCUACUAAAGGUCAAGAAACGAAGAUUCAAGAUCUAGCAAUUAUGAGAGGUAUUGCUACAAUUGUGAAAACCCUAACAUUUAGCCUCCGAUUGUUCAGAACCUUCCAAAAGAAGAAACCAAUCUCCUUGAAAAUAAAGAAUAAAUGAGGAUGACAAAAAGGAACAAAGGCAUCAGAGACAUAAGGACACACAAAAGAAAUGCAAGUACGUAGGUCCGGUCCUGAGGUUUUGGGGGCCGGGGACGAAACUCAAAUUUGGGGCCCUUAAUAUAAACGUUGUAAAAAUAAUUAUCAAUGUUCUAUAUAUAGAAAAUGUUACCGAUAAACACAUGGAUUUGUAUCACUGCGAUCUCGCGAGUAUCCAAAGAUCUAUAUAAUAGCCACUGAAGGAAGUACAGAAAGUAUGUAUUUGUCUAUCACAAGACAUACUUGAAAAUUCAAAGCCAUGUUUAGCUUCAGGCCAUAGUACAGCUAUAGAAGAACAUUAUAUGUUUGAGGUACCAAAAGGUUAAGAGACAUGUGACUCCAUGAAUUGUUGUAAUGAAAUUUGCAUCAAAAACAUAGUUCUUGGACUAACUAAAAUGAUAUGAUUGUCAUUCCAAAUAGCAGUAUCCCUGAAUCUAAGAUCGAUGAACAAAUACAUAUGAGUGAUAUUUAAAAUAUUCUUCAUGCAUCAAAAAAUUCAAAUCAACAAUACUAUAUUAGUGCAGAGUUACUCUUACUUAGACGUGCAAAUGAGUAAAUCAGUACAGAACUCCUCCCCAAAUAUUUAUGCCGUGAUUGCGGCGGGGACAAAAAUUAUAUCACUGAUUUUGCUCUCGCCGCAGUUGGUCUCAGUAGUUAAAUUUGUGGUCAAGCUUGGAUCUAGGAAAGCGCGUGCGCACUACAUUGUGAAAUAGAGGGAGUACAUACAUAGUACCCGGGAGGGGCCCCUAGACUUUGCGGGGCUCGGGGCAGCCGCCCCUCUUGCCCCCUCCCCCCUCAGGGCCGGCCCUGAAGUACGCCAAGAGAUACUCCUAUAAAAGAUCACAAGCAAACAUUGGUGAGUGGGUAUCUGAGGGAGUCCUGAAUUAGGGGGUCCUCGGGUGUUCGGGCUGUGUGAUAUGGGCUGGACUGAUGGGCCGUGAAGAUACAAGGCAGAAGACCUUCCCCCGUAUCCGGAUAGGACUCUCCUAUGCGUGUAUGGCAAGAUUGGCGUCUGGAUAUGUAAUUUCCUUCCUCACCAAGCCGACUCUGUACAACCCUAGGCCCCUCCGGUGUGUAUAUAAACCGGAGGGUUUAGUCCGUAGAGGCUAUCAUAAUUCAUAUAGGCUAGACGGCUAGGGUUUAGCCAUUACGAUCUCGAGGUAGAUCAACUCUUGUAACCCAUAUACUCAUCAAAGACAAUCAAGCAGGAGUAGGGUUUUACCUCCAUCAAGAAGGCCCGAACCUAGGUAAACAUCGUGUCCCCUUUGUCUCAUGUUACCUUCGAUUCUCAGACGCACAGUUCGGGACCCCCUACCCGAAAUCGGCCGGUUUUGACACCGACAAUAUCCAACUCAAAAUCCAAGACAACUCCGAAGCUACCUACUACUCCAACUCUUCGUGGCUAUGUUUUACCUGGCACACACCACAGGUAUGCUCACAUAUUACCAGUGGUGUGUGCCACUAGAGGCACACAACUGGUAUCCUCAAAAUUUUGGCCUAUAUUCAAACUAAUUUCUAUCCAAAUUCAGUUUCAGUCAAAAUCCCUCCAAAUUAAGUGAAUUUUGUCAGACCGGAUUCCAAAAGAAUUUUCAGCUUUUCCAAUUUUUCGGAUAUUUGAGUGAGGAUAAAAAUUUAUCUAAUAUCGGUAUUUUUUGACGUUUCUAAUAUCGGUAUUUUAAACCUUGCCAUCCUCAUCCAUGUUUGAAGACCCCAACACGUGGGACCCAAACUGGACGAACGCAAUCUUCAUGGAUACAUAUAAAAUGUUGUCAACUUCAGCAUGGCUGAGACACAAUCUUUUGCCCCCUGCUUCUCUGCUGCUGACUGAGACUGCCAUGGAUCCAGCUCUCCCCCUGCAGGACCUGGACACUCACGAGUGUACCAUUCAUAGGGAGCGCUGCAAAACGGCACACGACCAGUCCGUUUCCAAAGACAAGCUGCGGCGGAGCGCGCGGCUGGCUGACAAGGAGGCCAAGUACUCCCCCAUGCUCGCCAAAGCCGUCAAGGCCAAGGCGGCCCGCCUCUCCGCUUCGGAUGUUGGCACGGCCAUCCUCCGCGCUAUCCAGGAAGCCCGUCUCCACGAGUCCGACGCCCCUCCAGCUUCCGCCAAAGAUCUCGCGGCCAUUGCGCUGCUCUGCGGCGCCGACGACGGCCAGGUGGACGCCAUCCUUGGAUCCAAGGCCUCUGCCUCUGGUGACAAUGAGGCUCCAUGAUCUGCACUUCCAGCGUCCUUGGCCCGGUGGCGCGUUCUUGCCCGUCUCCGCCACCGUCAGCUUCCCCGACCGUUACUGCCGUUUCCAUGUACUUUUGGUUGCUGAAACCGCUGUUGCCUGUACCACUGCGACUCCUGAUCUCGCGCGUACCUUUUGUAAUUGUACAGCUGAUGUACCCUGCCUCUGAUAUCUGGUGCCUUAACAAACUUUAUGAGUAAUGACACCUUCUUAAUUUGCUCCUGGAAUGUACGUGGCCUUGGCGAUAACGAUAAAUGGGCUGACGUUCUCUCCGAACUAGUGACGACUAAACCACACGUAACCCUCUUGAGAAUCAAAGCUCGAAAUCCUCCCUGCCCCUAAACUUAAAUCUUUUCUGCCACACACACUGGAUCAAGCCUUCUCGCUUCCAGCCGUCGGAUCUGCCGGUGGCACUAUCUCUGCCAUCAACUCAACCUUCUUCCAAGUCGUCUUUUACUCACACCUAACCUUCUCUUCUACCCUAAUCCUACGAUCAGCUGCGUGCGCCCAACCCAUUGCUAUCACAAACAUCUAUGCUCCAUCAUCACGAUCACUCAAGCAAGCUUUUUUAAACGAACUCUCAUCCAUCUCACAACCCGAGGACACCCCCUGGAUUAUCGCUGGUGAUUUUAACCUCAUCCGCUUCCCGUCUGAGAAAAACAACCCUGCGUUCCAUCACGCUGAAGCCACUGCCUUUAACCAAGCCUUGGAUGAUCUAGCCCUCAUCGAACUGCCCCUACUUGACCGCAGGUUUACCUGGUCGAACAAUCGAGCUACUCCCACCUUAGAACGGCUAGAUCGAGUUUUCUUUAACCUCGCAUGGGCGGACGCCUUCCCUAACACCUCGUUGUCCUCUCGCACACGCUUCACGUCCGAUCACGUCCCACUCCUCAUCCAUGUCACCAUCACCAUCCCACGUUCCAAUUUUUUCAAAUUUGAGCCGGGCUGGGCCAGUUUCCGGCCCUGCGGCGACAUCAUCAACCAAAUUUGGGCCUCACAGCCCUCACCACCUUCCAACGCUGCCGCUUCCCUCGUCGCCGUGCUCAAAAAAUCCCGUACCCGCCUCAAAAAAUGGGCGCGCUCGCGCAUUCCCGCCCCCCUCCGCGAAGCUCGGUGCCACGCUGCUAUCUCUGCCCUAGAUCUCGUGGAGGAAAACAGGCCUCUAUCUCCAUCAGAGUCUCUCACGCGCAAAAUCAUCGUCUCCAUACUCAAAUGCACCAUCCAGGAAAAAAUGUCAUACUGGCGUUGGCGUGCUAAGGUCUCACGUGCCAUAAACGGUGGUGAGAACACUAAGUUCUUCCACAUGUCUGCCUUUCAACGCCUACGCAAAAACAAAAUCUUCACCCUCUCUUGAGAUGGUUCUGAAUACUCUGCUCACCAGCAAAAAGCUGAAAUCCUACGUGACUUCUUCAUGUAACUAAUUGGCACCGCAGUUCCAACAUCUUGGGCCUUUGAUCUAAAUUAUAUUUACUCACAACCGGUGCCCGGGUUACACACCUUAGAUGAGCCCUUCUCCGAAGAGGAAAUCAAGCUUGCCUUCUUCACAAUGAAUCCCCAAGCCGGCCCUAGACCGGACGGGUUCGGACCCUCUUUCUAUAGAUCAUUCUGGCCUUUAGUCAAAAAUUCAAUUAUGUCUUUCUUCUCCUUAUUCCAUCAAGGCUUAGCAGACACUGAACGCCUAAAUCGUGCCCACAUUGCCCUCCUCCCCAAAAAGGAGGCACCAACCACGUCGGACGCCUUUAGGCCCAUCUCACUACAAAACUGCCCAAUCAAAGCUGUCGCCAAAGUGAUCACUUCUCGACUAAAGACGCUCAUCCCUCUGCUAGUUCAUGGCAACCGGACUGGUUUCAUCUCUGGAAGAAACAUCGCCGAAAACUUUGUGUUUGCAGCCGAUCUUAUUAGCUCUUGCCACACACGAAAAAAACCAACGAUGGUCUUUAAGUUAGACUUCAGAAAAGCUUUCGAUUCAGUUGCAUGGCCUGCCCUCGACAAAAUCCUGGCAGUUCGCGGGCUCUCACUUCUCUUCGCAGUUGGAUACAAAAUCUUCUCCACACAGGCAAAACGGUAGUACUUUUGAACGGGAUCCCGGGCAAAUGGAUUCAAUGCAAAAAUGGGCUGAGGCAAGGGGACCCAGCCUCUCCCUACCUCUUCCUCAUCAUAGCCGAUCUUCUUCAACAGCUCAUCCUCCAGAACUCUGACCCGUCCCUCCACCACCCCAUCUUCUCCCACCUGCCUCCCACUGUCCUCCAAUACGCCGAUGACACGCUCAUCGUCGUAGCCGCCUCUCCCACCGCCGCCUCAACCCUUAAAGUUCUCCUAAACAAUUUCGCACACGCCACAGGCCUCGCCAUCAACUUCUCCAAAACUACCCUAGCCACUCUACACACAGACGAUGACACGACCGCUUCCAUCGCCCUCGCCAUGGGGUGCUCAUGCGCCUCCUUCCCGCAAAAUACCUCGAUCUCCCUCUCGCCCCGACCAAGCCUCUCACCAAUGUUUUCAACCCUCUGGUAGAGCGUACUAGGAAACUUCUUACCGGCUGGCGGGCCAAACUUCUCGAUAAAGGUGAUCGACUCAUACUCAUCUCCGUGGUCCUGGAUUCAAUCCUCACCUAUUUCAUGUCUGUUUUUCGCAUCCCAAAGAAAACAAUCAAAACUUUGGACUCUCUAAGAAGGGGGUUUUUUGGGCAGGAGAGGAUGCUUGCUCAGGUGCUUAAUGUCUUAUUGCUUGAAAAAAUGUCUGUUUAUCAAAAAAAAUCGGUGGUCUAGGGCUUAAAAACUUACAUGUUCAAAACAACUGCCUUCUUAUGAAAUUUGCAGCCAAAGCUCUCUCCACUGCCCAAACACCUUGGCUUGAGUGGCUUGAUCUUCAACAUCCGAACGCCUUAGUAUCCCCUCCACCACAAACCUCCUUUCUGUGCCGCACAAUUUCACAGCAAAUCACCACUCUACAAAAUAUUUCCUUCGUGCUCACAAAUAGCAGUUCACAUACUUAUUUUUGGUUAGACACGUGGCUGGCCUCUCAACCCCUCGCCAUCACCUUCCCCCACCUAUUUUCACACUGCACCUUACAGCUGGUUAAAGUGGCUAACAUUUUGCAUUUCGGUAUUGAAGCUAACCUCCGUAAUCGCCUCUCCCUCACGGCAGAACAAGAGCUUGUGUCGCUUCUGGCUAUUUUGCAGGAUUUCGUGCCAUCGGCGGGGAAGAUCAACGCUUCCUACGACAUGGCAUUUGCUUCUCCACCAAGCAUGCAUAUGGUGUCCUCAUGGCUCGGCCAGAGACCGAUCUCAUGGCCCCUCUCAUAUGGAGUGCCAAGGUUCCUCGGAAACUCAAAGUAUUCUCAUGGUUACUCUUCAAAGACCGUCUCAACACUCGAGUUAACCUUGCACGCAAGCAUAUAAUCGACUCAGACAUAUGCCCUCGAUGUGCUACGACAACCGAAGACUCCAACCACCUCUUCAUCACAUGUCCUCUUGCCAAUAGGAUUUGGCAACGGCUGGGGUUCCUACCACCUUCCAGCGACAUCACAGAUCUAUGGGACGUCUCUACUUCUCCUCACCUCCCGACCACAGCAUGGCCUUCAGUCCUCUUGGCUUUGCUUUGGAUGACUUGGGCAGCACGUAAUGACAUAGGUCGGUAGACCAAAGCUCUGUAAUNNNNNNNNNNNNNNNNNNNNNNNNNNNNNNNNNNNNNNNNNNNNNNNNNNNNNNNNNNNNNNNNNNNNNNNNNNNNNNNNNNNNNNNNNNNNNNNNNNNNNNNNNNNNNNNNNNNNNNNNNNNNNNNNNNNNNNNNNNNNNNNNNNNNNNNNNNNNNNNNNNNNNNNNNNNNNNNNNNNNNNNNNNNNNNNNNNNNNNNNNNNNNNNNNNNNNNNNNNNNNNNNNNNNNNNNNNNNNNNNNNNNNNNNNNNNNNNNNNNNNNNNNNNNNNNNNNNNNNNNNNNNNNNNNNNNNNNNNNNNNNNNNNNNNNNNNNNNNNNNNNNNNNNNNNNNNNNNNNNNNNNNNNNNNNNNNNNNNNNNNNNNNNNNNNNNNNNNNNNNNNNNNNNNNNNNNNNNNNNNNNNNNNNNNNNNNNNNNNNNNNNNNNNNNNNNNNNNNNNNNNNNNNNNNNNNNNNNNNNNNNNNNNNNNNNNNNNNNNNNNNNNNNNNNNNNNNNNNNNNNNNNNNNNNNNNNNNNNNNNNNNNNNNUCUCAAAAAAAAAACUUCAGCAUGGCGACAUGAGCUUUCAAAGUUCAAACACGUAAAAGCCUGACGAGAGGCAUGAAACCCGCCUGGCCAUGGAUGCGUGAAGCGUGCACAAUCAAAAACGUCAUUUUCUUCAACUGCAGGCCGGCGUGAAAUCGCGCACAACACAAGUAGUCUCGCCACUGCUAUAUAUACGCCCAUAUAUCCAUUUCAAAACUCAUCGAGCAGCUCUAGGCUCUAGCAUUCAGCGGCACACAUUUUCUCCUGCUUCCUGAGUUCUUCCGGUCACCAAGAAGCAAUUAUAACAUGGAUGCCCAGAACAACGAGGUCGCUGCUCUGAUCGAGAAGAUCGCCGGUCUCCAGGCCGCCAUCGCUGAGCUGCCGUCGCUGAGCCCGUCCCCCGAGGUCGACAGGCUCUUCACCGCCCUCGUCACGGCCUGCGUCCCGCCGAGCCCCGUCGACGUGACGAAGCUCAGCCCGGAGCACCAGAGGAUGCGGGAGGCGCUCAUCCGCCUCUGCUCCGCCGCCGAGGGGAAGCUCGAGGCGCACUACGCCGACCUGCUCGCCACCUUCGACAACCCGCUCGACCACCUCGGCCGCUUCCCCUACUACAGCAACUAUGUCAACCUCAGCAGGCUGGAGUACGAGCUCCUGGCGCGCCACGUGCCGGGCAUCGCGCCGGCGCGCGUCGCCUUCGUCGGCUCCGGCCCGCUGCCGUUCAGCUCGUUCGUCCUCGCCGCGCACCACCUGCCCGACGCCCAGUUCGACAACUACGACCUGUGCGGCGCGGCCAACGAGCGCGCCAGGAAGCUGUUCGGCGCGAGCGAGGACGGCGUGGGCGCGCGCAUGAAGUUCCACACGGCGGACGUCGCCGACCUCACGCAGGAGCUCGGCGCGUACGACGUGGUCUUCCUCGCCGCGCUCGUCGGCAUGGCGGCAGAGGAGAAGGCCAAGGUGAUAGCCCACCUGGGCGCGCACAUGGUGGAGGGGGCGUCCCUGGUCGUGCGGAGCGCGCACGGCGCCCGCGGCUUCCUGUACCCCAUCGUCGACCCGGAGGACAUCAGGCGGGGC
rnacentral:lncRNA from 1 species